CCAAGAACAAGUGAUCCUACUUAGGGACCGUUUGGCUAGAUGUAAUUAUAAAUAUAAUGUAGCUAGAGAUGCACGCAGUUAGAAAUAUAGCAGUUAUAACUACAUGAAUCUUGUUUAGUUGGAUGUAGUAGAAAGCGCUGCAAAUAUAUAAAUAAUUUGUUUGGUUGCAUGCAAUUGAGAAAUAAUUUUUAAAAUUUUAUUAUUUUAUAUAGUUUUUCCUUUUAGGAAAAACUUCAAAAAAACCCCCUGUGGUUUCGUAGUUUCUUACUUUAGUACCAUGUGGUUUAAAGUGUAUCAAUUUGCCUUCUUGUGGUUUCGUUUUUAUCUUUUCGGUAGCUUUUUCAUUAAUAUUUCAUUAAAUUCUAUACAAAAAACUUCAGAUACUCAUCUAUAUUUAUCAAAUAUUCACUUUAGUAUCCUUUAAUUUUAACUUUAUCACUGAUUUAAGAAAAAAAAAAUAAUGAAAUUGAUAAGAAAAAGAGAAAAAAGAAACCACAAGGGGGCAAAUUGAUACAUUUUGAACCACAUGGGGGCAAAGUGAGAAACUACGAAACCACAGGGUGGGUUUUUGAAGUUUUCCCUUUUAUAUAUAUGAUGGUGAGAUUACCUCCAAUGUAAAAAAGAAAAAUAAUUUUUGUUUAAAAAAUAUUGAGGAGGUAAGCAAACCUUUUAUUUAAAAUUUCUCUCUCCAACUGAUGUAGUUGGAACUGCGGCCAAUUUGGGCGUAGUUCGAACUGCUGUAGUUGGGCCUCCUCCUGCAGUUCCUACUGCAGCAGUUGGAAUUAAAUAUAUCAAACCAAACACGAAAUUUUCAUUUACAUGCAAUUACAACUGCAAUCCAGUUGCAACUAUAUGCAACCAAACGGCCCCUUAGUGUUGGCUAUUUAUUCAUGUCGAAACCCGUAAAUGCUUUGGUCGAGCCCUUAAGUGCGAUUGUACAUCUUUUCUAUCAGCAUAUGCUAUUGGAAUAGUUGAUUAGCGUUUACGGUCCAUAUUUAGUUCUCCAAAUCAAAUAAAAUCGAAAUAUUAGAUUAUAUUGAUUCACUUAAUCUGUUGUCUUUCGCUGUAACAUGUAAUAUGAAAUCACAUUUCAAAUUAUCAAUAAAUGGUAUAUCAAGCAAAGUGAAUCAAUUUGUUUGGGUAAUUAACUAACAAUACUUUUUAUUUAGGGCUAAUUGCAGAUGGCUCCCUAGAAAAGUACCAAGUAGCAAAUAUAUUCCUAAAAAACUUAAGUUAUUAAAUUUAUCGCAUCAUAAGCCUUUCCGUUUGCAAAUAUAUUAUUCUUUUAACAAACUUUAGAUAACCGUGAGUUAAAAAAACUAAUCACAAUUAGCUAAGAAAUAAAUAACCUUUUUACCUUUAUAUAUAUAUAUAUAUAUAUAGGCUGGGGCUACUAUACUCAUAUGAGUAUAGAGCCCUUUGUACUCAUAAGUUUUCGACCGUUCAGAUGAAAAAAUGUGCGGUUAGGAUGAAAGUGGUUAUGGUUAGGUUGAUAGUAGGCUCCCUAUGGUUGAGUGGGUGGUUGGUUGAAUAGUAUAAUCUAAUGGGUGAAAAUGAUUAAAAGAUAGAUCUAACGGCCAAAAACUUAUGAGUACAAUAGGCUCUAUACUAUAUAUAUAUAUAUAUAUAUAUAUACUAUUGAGUGUACGUGCAAAUGCACGUAACAAUUAUUUUAAUUUAUUUUAAAUCAAUAAAAUUUAUAAAUCAUAUUUAUCAACAAAUUUAGAAUAAAAUUUAUAUUUUAAAAUUUAACUUUGAUCCAUUAUAUAAUUAAAAGUUUUUAAUUGUUAAUUCAAAUUUGAUAUCAAAAAUUAAAAAUUAAAUCUAAAUCCCGAUUUAAACUCAAAUUUAAAUUUUAAUGUAAAAUAAAUGGAUCGAAGUGUUAUUUUUUAACAGAUUAAUUAUAAUCGUUUAUUUUUAUUUGAAAUAUUUUUAACAAAUUGAUCAUAAGUGUUCGUAGAAUUGAAUUUAUUGAUAGAUUCGAAUGUUUUUUUUUUUAACAGAUUGAUCAAUCAUAACCGUUUGUUCUUAUUUGAGAUAUUUUUUUUACAAAUUGAUCAUAACUGUUCGUAGAAAUAUUCUUAUACGCUUUUAUAUAUAUAGUAUAGAUAUAGAUAGGAAUACUAUUUUUUAAUAUAUUGAUCGUAACCGUUCAUUUUUAAUUGGUCAUAGCUGUUUGUUUUUAAUUGAACACUCGUUUGUAGGCUCGAUAUAAAUUAAAAUUUUAACAGAUUGAUCAUAACUAUUUGUUUUUAAUUGAUUACAACCGAUGAAUACUUCAAAUUUGAUACCCAAAUUAAAUUUAAUUUACUAUUUAAACAUUUUUUAAUUUUAAUUUAUAAUAAUUUUAAUUUUCGAUUUAGAUUAAAAUUUUAACAGAUUAAUCAUAACCGUUCAUUUUUAAUUGAUCAUAACCGUUCAUAAGAUUGAAUUUAUAAAUGGAUAAGAAAUGCUAUCUUUUAACAGAUUGAUCAUAACCGUUCAUUUUUAAUUGAUACAACUGUUUGUAGGAUUGGAUUUAUAGAUGGAUAAGAAUGCAAAUUUUUAACAGAUUGAUCAUAACCGUUCGUUCUUAUUUGAGAUUUUUUUAAUAAACUGAUUAUAUCCGUUUGUGAGUAUAGGAAAUAUUAUUUUAUUUCUUUUUGGAUUUCGUCUGUCAAUGUCGAAAUUCUUAUAACGCUUAUAUAUAUAUAAUCAAUUAUUAUAAUAUAUUUAUAUAUAUAUAUAUAUUAUAUAUAUAUAUAUUAUAAUUGAGCACUUAUGCUUUUAAAAGUACUAAGCCAUUGGUGCUUGUAAGUUUUCAGCCCUUGGAUUAAGGAAUGUGUGGUUAGAUGAUGUGGGCCUCGUAGGUUGAGUGAGUGGUUGGUUAAUAGUAUAAUAUAGGGUGUAAAUGGUCAACGGAGCUGAUCUAACGGCUAAAAACUACAACACAAGGUGCUUGGUGCUUUUAAAAGCACAUAGCGGACUCCAUAUAUAUAUAUAUAUAUAUAUAUAGAGUCUGGCUACUAUACUUUUAUGAGUAUGGCUUCCUUAUACUCAUAAAUUUUCAGGCCCUUAGAUUUAUUCCAUGAUCAUUUCCACCCGUUAGAUCUAUACUAUUCAACCAACUACCCAAUCAACCCUAGGGACCGCUAUCAUUCUAAGUGGGGACCGCAUCAUCUCCUAACUACACAUCCUAUCAAUCAACGGUUAACAAUUUAUGAUACAAGGGUUCUGUACUCAUAAGAGUAUAGGUAGGCCCAGCCUAUAAGAUAUAUUUAUAAUUAUAAUAUAUAUAUAUACUAUAUAUAUAUAGAGUCCACUGCGUAUACUAUCGGUAGCAUGGAGCUUCCGUGCUACAAGUAGUUUUCGAUAAUCGGCUUCCAAAUCGACGAUCGGCCUCGCGUUAGUCUUGAUCUACACUGUUGAAAGUAUUUGGAAACUAAAUUUCGAAUUUUUCGACAUCAUUUGGCUAGUGAUCAAAAGUGUCUCAAAAUUACAAUUUAAUGGUAGAUGUGAUUCAUUUGUAAAUUUAACGUGUAAAACAAUCCAAAUUAGAAUGAAUUUUUAUAGAAAAUUUUUUUACUAUUUAGAGUAAGAUCAGUACCUCUGAUCUUAAAUUCAAGUCUUCUAUCAUCAUUUUUUAUGAGAUUUUUAUUUUCACGCGUUCAUAUUUUAGACUACUCGUUUGAUAGAUCAAAUGAUACACAAAAUUAUGAAUUUAGUUUCCAAAUUAUUUUAAUAAUGUAGAUCAAGUUAACGGAGCUGAUCAUUGAUUUGGAAGCGGCAUCAUUGAAAAUAACUUGCGUAGCACGGACGCCUCCGUGCUACCGAGGUAUUAGCAGCCUAUAUAUAUAUAUAUAUAAUAUAUAUUUAUAUAUAUAUAUGUGGAUGAAUUGUACAGUAAAUUUUGGUCGGCGUGAAAGAGCCGAUGGAUGAAAUGCACAGUAAUUUGGUUGGCUGAAAGAGUCGAAUGCCUUUAUUUAUUGAAAUUAAAUCUGGAAACUUGACAAAAGCAAAUGUGCCUCUAGGGCAUACAGACUCUAAGGCUGGCGUUUGGUUCGGGUAUAAGUAAGAACUGCUAGUUAGGGAUAGGUACAAGUUUCAGGUAUAAGCGAAGAAACUUAGACCAAUUUUUGCGUUGGAUGAAAAUUGGGUUGUUCCUAGGAAUAAGAUAAAUAGGUUUGGAUGAUUAGAUGUGGAACAAGAGGAAUAAAUGUUAUAAUUUGAAAUUAAAUAUUAUAUUAUGUAAUUAAUUAACAUAAAAAUAUACUUAAAAAUAAAUAAAAAUUAAUUAUUAAUAUUAAUUAUAAAUAAUAAAAUAAUAAUAAUUAAUUAUAAUAAUAUAUUAUUAAUAACGAAUUAUCUAAUUAAUAAUAAUAAUUAUUAUUAUUAUUAAUAAAUAAUAAUAAUAUUACUUAUUCUUAUUAAUUAAUUAUAAAUAAUAAAUUAUUAAUAAUAUUGAUUAUCUAAUUAUUAAUAAUAAUUAAUAUUAAUAUUUAUUAAUAAAUAAUAAUAAUAAUUAUUAAUAAUUAAUUAUAAAUAAUAAAUUAAUAAUAACAUCGAUUAUCUAAUUAUUAAGAAUAAUAAUUAUUAAUUAAUUAUUAAUAAAUAAUAAUAUUAAUUAUUAAUUAUUAAUUAUAAAUAAUAUAUUAAUAAUAAUAUCGAUUAUCAUUAAGAAUAAUAAUUAUUAAUAAUUAUUAAUAAAAAAUUAAUAAAUAUUAUUAAUUAUUAAUAAUUAAUUAUAAAUAAUAAAUUAAUAAUAAUUAUUAUCUAAUUAUUAAUAAGUAAUUAUAAAUAAUAAAUUAUUUAAUUAUUUAAUUAUUAAACCAAUAAAUAAUAAUGUAAAUAUAUUAAUUAGAUUAAUUAAUAAUUUACUGCCAUUAAAAUUAAAUUUAGAUUUUAAUUAAUCUUGUUCUCAUCAAGGAACAAGCUUGUUCUAGGAAACGGGUGGAACAGCAGUUCCAGCCUUAUUCCAGCUAGUUCCAGAUUCCCGGAAACUACUGUUCCCGGGAGCCAAACAUAACGUUUGGGAACAAAGGGGGGAACAAGGGCUUAUUCCCCCCCUUGUUCCCCAACCAAACGCUACCUAAGAAUAUAACUUAGAACUACUCCUACGAAAAGCAGUAGAUGCGGAAAAGGAAAAGAUUAUAAGUAGACUAUUCCUAGAAAUUGCAAAGAAAAUGCAGAGGAAAUAAAAGUGGUCAGGUGUCCGUCGACCGGGUCAGGUCUGGGUAGUUGAUAUACUGUACCCAUACCCUAAAAAGAAAUGAUUAGAAAAAAAAAUAUAUACCCUACCCAUUUAACUUUGGGUCGGGUCCGGAUCUGGGUACUUAAGUUACUAACAUACCCAUCGGGUCUAUUUGAGCGGGUCUGGGUAGUGACUAUCCGUAUACUAUCCGUUCAAAACCGGAUACGGGUCGAGUACGGGUACCUGUAUAUAUAUUUUUUUAUAGACUUUAUUAAAGUUCGGGCAAAAUUUAUUUCGGCCAUUAUAUUUACUGAUUAAAAGUCUAAAAUUCAAAAUAAUUUUAUAUGUAAACAUACAAAAAUUAAAAAAUUAUGAUACCAUAUUAUAGAUAAAGAGAAUAAAAGUUGUAGUAAUUAUUAAUAUUAUAUACUAACAUUCAAAAAAAAAGUGGAAAAAAAUAAAGAUGAAUCAGAAAAUUUACUAAAUAGAAUAUUCAUUAAAAAAAACUAGAUUGUCGACUAUGAUUGGAGAAGGGAUUUGGAAAAAAAACUCAUUUGUACCACACCUGUAAAUGAUUAAUAUCGCUAAUGAUGACGACGAUAGAAAUAUUGUUUAUAAAAAACUCUUAGGCGGAAAUGAAACAAAAAAAAUAAAGAGUUAAAAACAAAGAGUAAAAAAAUUAGAAAAAAGAAAUUAGUAAAAGAGCGGCUAGGGUUUUAAUGUUUCCCUAGGAUGAAAAUACUUAGAGAUCCCUCAUCUAUAAGUCCUAUUAAAAUUGAUCCCUCAAGUUUAAAAGUUCAAAAUUUUUUUAUUUACUAUCGGAUAUUUCAUCGGGUCCGGAUCCAGAUCCGAAUUUAAAAACUAUUCCGGACCCUACCCAUUUAAAAGUUGGGUUCGGGUCGGGUCCAAAUUGGAUAUGGGUAUAAAAUAUCCGGACCCAUCCCCGAAACUUUAAUGGGUAUUUUUUUUUUUACCCGUAUACUAUCCAUUUUUUAUCGGGUCCGGUUCGGGUCCAGAUAGGGUCCGGGUAGGGGCCAGGUCGGGUAUGGUAUAUCGGAUAUUUUGGACAGCUUUAAGUGGUCUUCUAUUCUCAAGGAUAAGACCUCCUUUUUGGCCGUUAUUUGCCUAUUUAUAGUUCGCCAUUGCUGUUUAGUUAUUGCUUCUUGACCGGCCACUUCCUUAUUUUUGCGGGCCACUACAAGCCGAUCAAAACAGAACAUAACCGCUUGCAGUUAUGCCUUGCGGUUAUGCUAUUAAUCCGCUAUUACUCUUGGUCCAGCAAGCAACCCAUUUAAUCUUGAUUUCUGAAGGUCCCGGCUGAACUGUGCACCGAUAUGCCACUUGGCGCUUUCUUAUUGGCCCUAACACACGUUAUUUCAACAUAUUCAGAUAUUUUGAAUUUCCUAAUAAGAUUACUACUGAUACUGUAUUAGCGUAUUUGGUUUAAUGCAGUAAUUUAAUGCUGGAUUGUCGUCUAUCAAUACCUUACCUAUAUAUUAUUUCUCCUAAAGUUGCCACAUGGCAACUUUUCCUUUAUGGUUGAGUGUGGGCUACACCCGAAACCAACUCAAAUCCUUCCUUUUAAUUUUCUCUCCCUUGGGCUGUUACUUUCGUUCAUUGGCAAAAUAAAUCUCACCCCUCACCAUCGCUUCUUUUAUCAUCAUUUUCUCUUUUUUUGUCCAUGUUUUCUAUUUUUUCUCCAAUUAUCUAUCCGUCACAUCGCAUGGGUUACUACGCUAGUAUAUACAUGUUGCGGCCAAACUAAUGACGCUACUACUCUAAUUAAGCCUUGCAUGUUAGAGAGAGCCAAACCAAGUCGUGUUGGUCCGUACGGACCAACACGACUUUAAAGUUGUAUAGCAUUAUUGUGUUUGAUUCAAUUUAUAAAAUUAAGUAAUUCUGACAAUAAAAUGUAAUAUAUUUCAAAAUUGCCCUUAUUCAUAUUUGACAAAAAUUUUUUACUGUUUACAAAUAAUAAUUUUUUACUAAUUUUAUGUUAAAUAAUUUAAAAUUUGAAGUUAAAUUUUAUUUUUAAAUUUUAAAUUUUAAAUUCUAAAUGUGGAAAAAAAUAUAAAUUUUAAUAUUUUAAUUUAAAAUAUAAAUAUGAAAUUUAAAUUUAAAAUUUAAAAUUUAAAAUCUAAAUUUGAAGUUUAAAAUUUAUAAUUUAUAAUUUAUAAUUUAUAAUUUAAAACUUGAAAGUUGAAAACUUGAAAUUUAAAAAUUUAAAAUUUAAAAUUUUAAAAAUUUAAAAUUUAAAAAUUCAAAUUAAAAUUUAAAAUUUAAAAAUUGAAAAUUAAAAUAUUUAAAUUUAAAAGUUAAAUUAAAAUUUUAAAAAUGAUGUAUUAAAAGGGUUUGGGGUUGGAGGAAUAAACUUGUAAUUUUACAUACAUACAAGAUAAUCCGCUGUUAGUAAUACGAGAUACUCACCUCCCGCUCGAUAGUAUUUUCGAUAUAAUCUUGCACCAUUUGUAAUGUUACAUUACUUACCAGAUUACAUACUGGAUGAAGCGAACACAGUAAUUUUGACAGGAUUGUUUAUAAUCCUGAUAGAAUAAUCCAAACCAAACGCACCCUUCAAAUGUAGCAUAAGGGCAAAUGAAGUGACGCAUGGGUAGGGGUGUCAAACGGGCCGGGCAGCUCUCGGCACGAGAGUGGGCCGGGCCAGGCACCACACGAGUACUGUAGCACUUGUGCCGGGCUGGGUCGGCCAGUUAAGCCGGGUCGUGCUGGGCCUUGCUCCCGUGGCUCGGUGGCUCGGCGCGGCACGACAUGGGCCUAGACCGUGCCGAGCCUAAGGGGAUGCCUCAGCCCGGCAUGACACGACACGGCCCGUCCUGUCCCCUGUGGCCAGUGCCUCCCGAGCCGGGCCCGAACAGGGAGUUGGGUUGUACCUAACUUCCAAGGCCCCCUGCACCACCCAAACUCCCAAUGCUUUGGUAGUUGGGUCUUGGCUUUGAGGCUCUCCCAAGGGUAUGCUAUGAUAGACCCUUAGGGGAUGGGCCUAUAUAUUGGACCAAAAUGCCCUUUCCAACAGGAGGGUAUUUUGGUCCAAAAAUUUUAAAAUUUUAAUAUUUUUAUAAAUAUAUUUUAAAAUUUUAAUUUUUUUACUUUUAUAUUAUUUUUUUUAAAAAAAUAAUAUUUUUGUUUUUAUUUUUAAAAAAUUUUAAAUAUUUUUAAAUAAAAUUAAUAAAAUAAAAAAGGACUGGCCCGAACACCGGCCGGCCGGGCACGGCCCGUACAGUCCGAGCCAGGGGGCCGUGCUGGGCCGACGUCCCAGAGCUCUGACUUACGGGCCGGGCCGUGCCGAGCUGGCCUUCGGCCCGUUUUGGCCCGGGUAAAGGUGGGCCGUGCUGGUCCGGCACGGCCCAUAUAACAUCCCUACGCAUGGGGAAUUAGCUAGUCACUGCGCAUGAAUUGAUGUGAAUUGAAGUAGUUAGUUUUCGGCUGUAAUGCUUAUUUUUGUCGGUUGGUUAAUUUGCUGUAAUUACACUUUCGGCCCAAACUCAAAACUUUUCAAAAAAAUCAAUUAUUUACUUCGGCUCAUCCCUAUCCUCGCGUGGAAUGCAGAGUGCGACACAAACACGCAAGACUUAGAAAAUAUAUAUAGGUCUAAAAUUUAUUUCAUUCUAAAUCCCACUUUCGAUUAAACAAACAGGUAGGAAAAAAAUUUUGACUUACCUCUGCUUCCCUUAUUCUGACCCGACCCUGCGGGCGGCAGCACUGGUGGCACUGGCGUCGGCGUCACUGUAACGUUCCCGUCGGCCGACAUAUUAUAAAACGGUGUUGACUCGAACCGGAUUUUGCAGUUAUUUACGAAAAUCCACCCGCCGGUCUGAUUUGCGCAGUACUUCGGGAUGCUCCCGAUGCAGUUCGUCAAGCACUCGUAGCAGCUGACCAGCGACAGAUCCCUCGUGCACUGCACCAGUCCGUAUAUGUUUGUGAAGUUGUAGGAUUCGAUCUUCGCCGCCUGGAACAGCAGCGGCGGCGCCAACCCAUAGGCCGCUGAGGAAGACAAGUAACUCAUGAGCUGAUCUAGCCGGUCGUUGAACAUCCCUGCGGCCAGGUCCGUGACGUAGUGCAUGUUCCUCGCAAACUUCUGGGUCCAGUCGAUGACACCGAAGAAGCUGCUGUUGGAGUAGCGCAGCAUGCAGGUGUCGUUCCACACGGUGUUCGACACGCCGCCUGGGCACACCGCGACGGCGUAUUGUGCAGCUGAACUCAAACAAGUGUUGCACUCGGUGGAGGAGACGUCGCCGCGGCAUAAGGCGAGGCCGUAGACUUCGCCGCCGCUGCCGUUUUGACCGACCGUGGUGUUGUAGAAGCCGGACGGCGAGGUCGCGGCAGGGAGGGUGGACAGUAGAUGGUUGAGGUUUGACUCGAAGGCGUUGUUCGCCGUGAAGAUUGCGGGGCAGUUGUAGAAGACGGAGUAGUUUAGGAUUUGGGAUUUGGAUGUGGGUGUGUGGAGGACUAGGAGGAGAAGCGAGCAGAGAAGGAACCGGAAAGGGGAAGGCUCCAUAGUUUGCUCACAAAUAGGAGGGAAUAUGUAAAGGAAAAGCUAUUUUUUAUAGGGUGGGGGGCGGAGCUAUUGAGGGGCUGAGGGGGGCCAUGGGCCCCCCCCAACAUUUUUAUAAUUUACAUAAUAGUCCUUUAUAUAUAAGCAAUUUUUUUAAAAAAAAUAUUUAAUUUUAAAAGUAUGAUGAGUAAUUUGUUUUUUUUAAAAAAAAUUUGACGCUAAUAUAAUACUCUCUCAACUUUGAGUUUAUUUUAUUUUUUAUUUAGUACGUUCAUAAUUUCUAAUUAUUUUAGAUAAUUUUUUUAUUUAAUUAAAUUAAAAAUUAUAUUAAAGUUAAUAGCUCUGUUAACUAAUAGUUAUUUAUCGUCACAAUUAUAUUUAGUAAAAAUUAAGAAAUUAAAUCAUUCACUGAAUUACUAUUAGAUUUAGUAAACUUCAAAGUUAUUUGAGUGAAAUAAUAUAAAUAAAAUAAUUAAAAGUUAAGUAUAAAUAAAAAAAGGGUAAUGCCAUUUUACACUAAUUAUUUAGUCAAUAUAUUUUCUCAUCAAAAAUUUAACUAGGUAAACCUUGUUUGUUUGCUAAAAUUUUGAUUUGUAUGUAUUUUGGCCCCCCUCAUAAUUGAAUGCUAGCUUCGUCCCGGAGGGGGUUUAACCAUCAAACAAUGACUUAGACGCCACACAGCGCGUUGCUUUAAAAUAAAUGCCACACAGCGCGUUGCUUUAAAAUAAAUUUGGACCGUAUGUAAAAUUGAACUCCUAUGCCUUUAAAAUCACCAAAAUUAUUAGUACUUUUAAGUUUUCAGUCUUUGGACGAAGAUUUAACAAGUUAGGAUAAUGAUGAUUAGAAUUUAGUGGAUGGUUGGUAGAAUAACAUCAUCUAAGAAGUGGAAUUGGUCAAAAUAAUAAAUCUAACGGCAAAAAAACCUGUAAAAACCAGUGCUUGGAGCUUUAAAAAGCACCCAGGCGAGACUCUGUAUACAUAACAUAAUUAAAUUAUUAUAAAGAGCUAGACUCAGGCAGGAAAUAGAAAUCGAACACUAUCCAUAUAUAGUUACUUCUAACUCCGUGACUAAAGGCUCUGAAACAUACUAUAUGCCUAAAACUGGUGAUGCAGAUAAUGCGGUAUCUGUCGGAAUUUGAUCGGCUUGCUUAAAUAGAAUUUCUCUCUAAAAGAAAUGGAAUGGCUAAUUCCACGAAAAAAUCUUUUUUACAAGGUAAAACUGGCUAUUUUAUCUGUUACGGAAUCGACCAUGGAUCAAUUCUUUUUAGAGGAAUCCUUCAUCAGUGGUUGUGAAUUACUGACUUUUUCAAUUCUUUCGACCUUGGUUCCGUAGGAGCAAAAACAUAGAGGCCUUCGUGUUUUCGAAAGCAUAGUAGCCUAAACUCUUGACUAUGUCUACUAUACUUUUGAUAACUCGAAGACCUCAGUACUUUUGAGUUGUUUCGAUGAUGGGACAUCCCAUACAGUGAUCGAUUUUGUUAGAAAUGAUCUAUUUUAUUGAAACUACCUGGAAACCAAAUUUUAUAAUUUUCAACUUUACUUGCCUAGUGAACGAAUAAUCUAAAAAUGAACGGUUGAAAAUAAAAAUCUCAUAAAAAUAAUGAUAGAAAACUUUAAUUUUCAAAUCAGAAGUAGUGAUCUUGCUCUUGAUGGUAAGUAGAAUUUUUUACUAAAUUUUACCUAAUUUCAAUUGUUCUACACCAUUAAACUUAGAAAUAUACCACAUUAGUCAUUAAAAUAGUAAUUUUUUAGACCCUUUGAUCACCUGCCAAAUAAUAUUGAAAAAUCAUAAAAUUUUAUUGAUAGGCAGUUUUAAUAGCAUAGAUCAUACCUAAUGAAACUGAUCAUUAAAUCGGAUGUCUUAUCAUCGAAAAUAACCUAAAAGUACGAAAAUUUUUGUGUGCUUUCGAAAACAUAAUAGACAUACUCUUAUUAUAAAUGUAUUGCCAUAUAUUUAUAUAUUGUACAGGUAUAAAUCUAGUUAUUAGAUUAAUGAUAAAAAUUUUAAUUGUCCGAGUCAAAGUGAUAAUCUAUACUCUUAUAUAAAUCCCCAAUAUGAAAUGAUGACGUGGCAAGCUCUCAUUUUUUUUAAUUUACGUUUCAUCUCCACUUCUAAAUGCUCAACCUUUCACCUCUCCACAUUUAAUUACAUGCAUCAUAUUCCACGAAUUAGUGAGCUUAAUUUGUAACUUUAAUCCACUCCCCUCCACCAUUAAUCCCCCCACUCCCUCUUUUUUGCAUGACAUGUUAUGAAUCCCCAAUAUGAAAUGAUGAUUUGGCAAGCUCUCAUUUUUUUUAAUUUACGUUUCAUCUCCACUUCUAAAUGCUCAACCCUUCACCUCUCCACAUUUAAUUAUAUGCAUCAUAUUCCACCAAUCAGUGAGCUUAAUUUGUAACUCCAAUCCACUCCCCUCCACCAUUAAUCCCGCCAACCCCUCUUUUUUGCAUGACAUAUUAUUUUCCAUGCAAAAAAGAAGAUUAUCAUCUAAUCUCUCACCUUACACUCAUCUCCUUCUCUCUAUCUCAUUGUAUUAACAAAGAUUAUGAGGAUAAUGAAGAAGAAGAGCAUGCGAAGAACGUUGUCUCCUUGAAGAAGUAUCGUCCUGUAAAGUCCAGCCAUGGCCCACAUAAGUGCUCGCGCGGGCCGGUCUGCGCCGGAGCCCUCGCUCGCCGUGAACCGUUGCCACCUCGGCUGCCUCCUCGUGCGGCUUGCGCGCGCCAACAACUGGGCCGAGGGGAGCAGCAUCCUAGCCUCCUCUUCGCGGGGACAUUGCGCGGGAGCUUGCUUCUCAAGAAUCGCAAGAACUUCUUGGUAAAUCAAAUUGUUUAAGAAUUAGGAUUUCUGUGGUUGAUAUGAUGGCAAGGCUGUGUCGGUUUAGAUAUCGCAGUUUGGUAAUGCAGAUGAGGUGUUUUUUCAUAGGUUACAAUGGAAAUCUAGAAGUGACUCAGCGCGGGAAGCAACUACCAGCUAAAGAUUAAGAAGAUGUAUAAGGUUUGGAUGAGUAAGAAAAGUGCUCCAAAAAAGUAUUAGUUUUUUUAAGAUUGAUGUUUUUUGUUUUAUUUUCAUCUUAUGACCAUUUUUUUGAGUAGACACUGUUGUGGGCAAAAUUCCUUUCGUAGAUUAAAAAGUAUGAUGUGGAGACUGGAGCCUGACACCCCACCUAAAAUUUUCUUAAGACAGAUACGUACGUUAAGUUAUUAUUUAUGUAUUUCAUAUGCUUCUAACUAUGAUUCUAUUUUUUUAACAAUUGAAUUUAGUCAUGUAAAUUGACUGUGCUUAACAUGGUAUAGCUUCCUAUAAGCUGUAAAUAUAAAUUUUAUUAAAAUUUUAAAAAUUUGCUUCUAUUAUCUACCCGCUGCAUCGCGCGGGUCUCUACACUAGUAAAUAAGAUGAGUAGAUAUUUUGAAGUUACUGAAUGACACACUACCCGUCAAUAAGUGAUGAAAUUCUUAUUAGGCAUGUGAAAUAAGAGUAAUAUUAUUUGUAUACUUAAAAUGAUCAAUCAUAUAUUUUAUUUAUCUUUAUACUAGUUUUAUCAACUUAUUUGUUAAUAAUUAAAAGUUUAAAAGUACUUCAAAAAUUUUAUAUUAGUGAGUGUAUAUAAAAUUUAGAGUUAAUUGCAUAUUACUCUUUAUAAACAUAGUUCAACUUUUUAUUUUUAUCCUGCAAAAAUUCUAAUAUUUUCAAAUAUACCCAUAUAGUUAGAAUUUAUUAGAAAAAUAUAGUUAACCAUAAGUAAAAUACUUAACCCUGAUUUGUGAAUGAGUUUAAUUAAUUUUUUUUGCCUCUCUUAUAUUAUUAGAUCAAAUUCAUUUUUGGGAGGCCAUUUCUCCAUAAUUCUAACAGUUGGGGUUUUUGGAAAGAUAUACUUGUGAGGGCAAACACAUAUCUUCACAUCGAAACGAUUAUCGUCAGAUAAUCGUUUUGAUCCGGAUUUUCGAAAGUGUCCGCUUCGACAUCGAAACCCACCAUCGCUCACCCGUCGUUUCCGAACCCUCGAAACGACGCGAGUGACCAGCGGACAAGGCUCCGCAACAACAUAAUUUACCGUGAGGCACCAUCGGAAGAAUUCAGAAUCGAAAUAGCCUUCCGGCGGCAGAUUUCGCCAAAGAACACACCGAAAAAUCAACAUCCGAUUUUCGGAAAGGCCUGGUGCCUUGGACAACCAGUCCAGAAGUCACCCGCUGCCUGCACACACUGCCCACAGCAACCACAAAAAGUAAAUUUGCACAUAAGUCCCUGCGACUACUGAAAAUCACAUUAUUUUAUGUGAUUUUUAGGGUUUUAUAGCCCGACAGCGCAAACCGAGAGCUUCCGAGCCUGGCUGAGACACCCGCUGACAGGUCUCGACAUGCCGGAGGCCGUGCUCAUGAUUCGGAGCAUGGCCAACCACUGUGGAGAGCGCAAGAGCGUCGUGAAAUUCAACGAACCCUACUCGCUGAACAUAAAACACUUCUAAUUCACUUAUCCAGGGCUUGUUGACCCUAAAUGAGGUGAGCACUGUGAUCAACACUGACCAACGAUCACCGUGCUCAUCUCGGAGGCAUCGGAGCAGCCCCAGGUCGCCGAAACAGAGAUCCGAAUAGAAAAUAGUGCGCAAACAGUAUAAUAAAGCUUACCAGGCCAAGGCGAGCUAGGGCACGGCCGGUGGUGGCCCACCGGCAGGCACGCCGACGGCAGGUCGGUGCGAGCGACGGAGGGAGGCCAGGGCGCGCAUCAGCCUGCGACGGAAGGCUGCGGCGGGCACUGAUGCCCUAGCCGCACAAGGUGGUGAGGAACUCAGCUCCAACCCGGCCGGCAGGGGCCUCCGACGGCGGGAGCGCCGGCGGCAGCCGAGUGUGGCCGACCUAGCGGAGGCGGUGCGCAGGUCGACUAGCGGCGGUGGCGGCGCAAGGAGAAGCCGAGGAAGGCGACUCGGCCUGCCAUAGGCAGCGGCGACGUGCGAGGGCAAUGCCGGCCAAGGCUCGUCCCAUGCUCGAGCAGGGCGGCCGUAGGGAGCAAGGUGGCGGCCGGCAGCCCGCGGGUACGACGGGGGCUGCGCAUGGGAGGUUGCCGGAGGUCGGGGAGGGCGACGGGGCUGACGUAGUGCGGCGGCGACUCGCGGGCCACGAGCUCAGAUGAGCUCGGCCCGAGCUAGCUGAAGCUUGCGCGAGUCGCCCAGGCGGCAACGGCGGCGAACGCGGACGGCGGGGGCCGGUGGGGACGGCGCCGGAGGUCGGGCCUCGGCUGAGGGAGGUGGCCCGACGUGUGUGGUUCACUCCUUGAGGUGCACAGCCAGGAAGAUGGUAGCUUGGUAGGGAGGAUGCAAUGUCGGCCUUUUUCGGCGGCCGGGGUGCGCGCAGUGAGGGGCUGGGAGGUGGGGGAGUCUGCUGGGGGCAUAGCUCAGGGAGCUAGAUUCAGGUUAGGGUUAGGGUUAGCAUGAAAUCCCUAAAUGCACGAUAUAUUAGCAGCAAAAUCGCGCAAAAGUCUCUGUAAAACAUAGAUUUAUAUGCUUAGUCCCUCAUAGCACGAGUAAAAUGUAUUUGCGUACACCCACGUUUGAUUUCAUACAAAACGGUACAUAAAAUGCAGGAUUUUUCACAAAAUUACCGUUUCGCCCUAAUGACCCCUCCUCGAUCAACGCACGAUAUCAGGAGAUCUAUCGGUCGGAUUUUCGAUCGGAUUGUGCUAGUGCGUUUAACACGAGUGGGGCGUCAAAACUACAAUUUUGUUUCACCCAAUUUGGUGGUCGAUUUGCGACGGAACCCAUCCACUCUCUAAUUACCAAAAAUCUCUUUUUGCGAUAAAACUCCUUUUUCUCGAAAACCGUGCAUCAAAACCCAAAAUCGUCAGUGCUAUUGUCUCUAGGACAGUCGAACCGUCGAAAACGAGCUAUUAGAUCACUAUGAAUGGAGUCCAAUACGCACCAGAAGCCAUCUCCACUCAUUGGCUUCUUCGGAAAAUCGAAGUUACUAUUCACUUUAAGUGAUUAGUAAAGUUUGCGUAACUUCUCCAUCCUAACUCGUUUUCACCUGAAACUUGACGAAUGUUUAUGUAAUUUUAAAUUACACACAAAAACAUCAUUAACACAAUCCAUUACACAGAGUUUAGCUACACAGUCAAAUUUUCAGUCUUACAUAGAGAGAGAAUGGAGUAAAGUAUAGCAUACAAUAUUGGUUGUUGGAGAGUUCUAUAUACUAUUUUAGGCAUGAUUUAUAGAGAGGCGAGGAAGAAGAGAGAGAGAGAAGAGAGAGAGAAUAUUGUGUGAAACAAAUUAAAAAUUGAAUUAGAACAGAAGAAGACAAGUGAUACAAAGGUCAAACUAUGUGUUUAAAUGCAUCAAUGAGGUUUCUAGGAUAAAUACUGAACAUUCAAUCAAAUUUGAUAGUUUGGUGAAAAGUUGAUAAAUGAAGAAUAUAUAUAAUAUUAUAUAUUUAUAUUAUACUAAUAUAUAUAUAUUAUAAGAGAAGAGAGAGAGAGAGAGAGUGGAGAGAGGAGAGGAUGGAGAGAGAGAGAGAGAGAGAGUGAGCUAGAAUACUAUCAGUAGCAAACGGGCCUCGUUUGUACCAUUUGUUUCGAUUAUGGAGCUCCAAAUCGAUGAUCCGGCACGUUUGAAUAUGAUCUAUAUCACUUGAAGUAUCUAAAAUCAAAUUUCAUGUUGUCCGAUAUUGUUUCUUUGUCUAUCAAAGUGGGCGUAAAAUGAAAGGCUAAAAUGAAUAUCUCUAAAAGUGAUAUAGGAAUUUUGUAAUCAAGAUCGAGAGUAUAGAUCUUUAUUCUAAAUAGUUUAAGAAUUUUCUAACCAAAAAUUCAAUUGAUUUGGAUAGCUUUACACGAUUAAAGUGAAACGCCUAUAUAUUUUAAAAUAUAAAAUUUGAAAACUUUGAUCAUUAGGUCAAUGAUGUUGAAAUGAUUUGAAUUUGGCUUUUCUAAAUAUUUCAAGUAUUAUAGAUCAUGUUCAACGGUGCGAUCAUCAAUUUAAAGGCUCCAUCAUCGAACAACAAAUGAGGUGUCAAUGGAGCCUGGUUUGUUACGAUAGCUUCAACUCAACCCUUUCUUCUCUCUCCUCUACUCUCUCUACUGUAUAUAUAUAUAUAUAUGAUAUAUAUAUAUAUAUCACUAUAUAUAUUUAUACAGAUGAGAGACAGAUGAGAAAGAGUUAUGAAGAGAGAGAAGUUGAGCCUGAAUAGUCCUAAAGACUAUGGGUGGUGCUUUUGAGUUUUUAGCUUUAGAUGGAGAGAUGUUAGGGUUUGGGAUUGAUGGUGGUAGGUAGCGGGUGGUGGUGGUAGAUGGAAAUAGUGUUUGAUCCAAGGGCUAUUGUAAUAAAAGUAAAUCUAGGGCUAUAAAUAUAGAAGCACCAAGGGUUGGUGCUUCUAAAGUACUCUACCUCAAUUUAUAUAUGCAAUUUGGAGAAUUUGUAGGGCUUGGAUGCAAAAUAUAGGUUUCAUUGUGAAAGAGGGUGAAAAACUUCUCAAGGGUCGAUCACAAGUUUUUAAGAAGGUGAAUAAGUAUAAAGAGCCUAGGAACAAGACGAUGGUAACCUGUUGUCCUGCAGGAACGAGCACUUUCGGGUUCCAAAUACAAAGGCAGUCUUGAAUCCUCUAGGCCAUACAACACUCCCUCUUCGGUUCCUCUCUGUAGUACGAUGUGCCCUUAACGUGAUCCGGCGAUACCUCACUACUACUACAGUGUCAACGCAAUCGUAAUCUCAUAGUGAACAUUCGAGCCCACUUCGGGCCGCCAAAAUUGGAUCCGAAUUGGCUUUAGUUUCAGUUCAGUUGUCGCACUCAGUUCUGGGGCGACCCAACCAUAUUCUUGGCGCCUAAUAGCAAAACUCCAGUUUUGCUUAUUUGAGUGCGCCGAGUUUGUUUUUGCAUCCUUUUGGACAAAAACGACUCGAUUCAGUCCGACACUCUCCAGAUGUGUCGACCAAUCACUAAUAUGUAAGCCAAUCCAUUACCAAACCCCGAAACAAUAUAUAUAUAUAUAUAUAUAUAUAUAUAUAUAUAUUAUUAUAUUGUCCCACCCGAAUUACUCAUUUCCCGGGCACGCCGACAAUCUGCCGUAUACAAAGGAAUUCCCUGUAUACGAAGCGAUAGCUGUACCUGUAAAAUAUACAAUACUACAAACAGUUAGUAUAGAGCUGCUAGAAGAUAAUAACUAAAAUAAACUGAGUUCCAUUAAUACAUCAAAACCAAAGGUACAAACUACUGCACUGGCGAGUUAAAUAACUGUUAUGUACAUGAACUCAAACGAACAUGUAUAGCUCGGCACGGACGGUAGGGCUCUAAUUCCGACUCCCUUGCCUCAAUCCUGAUCAGCAACAGCAACAGCGAGCGAUGGCUCUGCAAACGGGGGACGAGUAACAACAGGGCGUGAGAACUACUGUAAAAACAGUAUGUCAUCAGUGGGUGCCGCCUAACAACAUCGGUCCACCACUAAGUCUAAUAAAGGAGAGAAGAUAGUAAUAAAUGCUGGAUAAUAGCUACAGCUACCAUUUAUUACACUUACUAUGCUCUAAUCUGACCGUACUGUAGUAAUGUGAAUUCCGACCCAAUCUCUUUAGGGGGCUGUAAACAUACCCGCCCCAGGGACUGUGAACACACAUAUCCCGCCGGAGUUAAGACUAUCCAGCUACCUCAUACAUAACUAGUCCGUGGAGAGCAGUCUAACCGGCAUAACACGACACCAACGCGAAAGCACAGCGCCCGUCUCCGGAGUGGCACUCGUGGGAGCUACCCAACGAGUAUGCAGCGUAUCUCUGUUGAGCUCAAUCAGGCUCUCUCAAGCCAAAGUCAAGUAAUCGACACCUAACUGGUCUAACAACCAACAGUCACGUGCCCUCAGCACAAUUCGACGCCAAAAAGGCGAUAUGGUCCACUCGUUCCCCCGACGCGUACCAACAGUCCGGACAGCCUAAACGCUAUAGUAAAUACACUCGGCAUCCCAGCACGAGCGUAGCAAAAAGCAAACUACUGGGUAUCCAUCGCCUCAAUACUGCGACGAUACAAAAUUACAAACGGCUCCUAAAGCUAAAUCAGGUAGUAUAAGCAGGUGACAGGUCCAAAUCACUGUUUUCUCUCUAAGUCAAAUUUCAAGUCCAACAUGUAUAUUUAUGGUUACUAAUCAUGUCCUCAAUGCUGAUUUCAUCAUGAUACAAUCAACGAAAAUGCCUACAACAUGAUUUACAAACUGAAAAUCAUACAUGUCGACUAAUACUGUGCUUAGGAAUAAACGAUGUAACCACCUCAAAAACUAAUCCAAUUCGGCGCGAGUGUGUGAACGACGGAAACGCACCCUCGCCCGGCCUCCUUGCGAUGCUACGACGACAACCGUACGUUCGAACGGCUCGCGGCGAGGCGGUGUCGGCGUCAAAUCCAGCUCCAACGGCAACUCCACCCGAGCUCUCGAUGUGAUCGAGCCUAGAGAGAGAGAGAGAGGAGAAGAAGCAAGUAAUUCUUCUCUCUCUGUCUCUCUACACUGUAUAUAGUGAGGAGAGGAUAGGAUGACACGUAAGAGGUUGGAAAUUACAAAACACCCCUUACACUACACUGGUGUAUCCGUACACAGGCCCGUGUACCGGUACCAGAGGCAACCGAGAGCAGACUGCGCGGGCACAGGCGCAAUGUACCGGUACACGCGCUGGUUGUACCGGUACAGGCAAGCAGAGAAUUCUGUCUGCAUUGUACAGAGUCGUUUGAGUCUAUUUCGCACCAACGCGACUAGACUUGUCCCGACACUCUCCAGAGCUGUCGACAAGACUACACUACUGUACCCAUGGAUAUAUAUAUAUAUAUUCAAUAUAUAUAUUAUAUAUUAAUAUUAUAUAUUUAUUUUUAUAUAUAUAUAUAUAUAUAUGGAGAGAGAGAGAGAGAGAGUUGAGCUAGAAUACUCUCAAAAGCACCAAGAGGGUGGUGCUUUUGAGUUUUUGGCCAUUGGAUGAAGAGAUGUAAGGUUGGGAUGAUGGUAGUAGGUGGUGGUAGGUGGAAUAGUGUUUAAUCCAAGGGCUAUUAGUAAUCAAGGAGUAGAUCCAAGGGCUAGAAAACUAGAAGCACCAAGGAGUUGGUGCUUCUAAAAGUAUUCUAGCUCAAUUCUAUAUAUAUAUAUAUAUAUAUACAUAGAGAGAGAGAGAGAGAGAGAGGGAUCUAGGCUGGUAUACUAUCGGUAUCACGGAGGUCUCCAUGCUCUUCAUUUGUUUUCAAUGAUGUAGGUUUCAAAUCGACGAUCGGCUUCGUUAAACUUGAUCUACACUAUUGAAAGUAUUUGGAAACCAAAUUUCAUAAUUUUUCAACAUCAUUGACUUAUCAAACGAAUAGUUUAAAAGUAAACGGCUGAAAAUAAAAAUCUCAUAAAAAAUGAUGAUAAAAGACUUGAAUUUAAGAUUAGAGUUACUGAUCUAACUCUAAAUAAUGACAAAAAAAAUUAUAAAAAUUUCAUCAGAUUUGAAUUGUUUUACACCGUUAAAUUCACAAACACAUGACAUCGAGCAUUAAAAUUGUCAAUUUCGAGACAUUUUGAUUACUAGCCAAAUGAUGUCAAAAAAUUAUAAAAUUAUGUUUCCAAAUACUUUCAAUAGUGUAAAUCAAGUCUAACGGAGCCGAUCAUCGAUUUGAAAGCAGUAUCAUUGAAAACAAUUUGGUAGCACGGCCUCUGUGCUACCGAUAGUAUACCGGUCUAGCUAUAUAUAUAUAUAUAUAUAUAUAUAUAUAUAUAUAUAUAUAUAUAUAUAUAUAUAUAUAUAUAUAUAUAUAUAUAUAGGCCUACUUAUACUUAUAAAUUUUUAACCGUUGAUUGAUGGGAUGUGUGGUUAGGAUGAUGGGGAUCCUCACUUAAAAUGAUAGUGGUCCCUUAGGGUUAAGUGGGUAGUUGGUUAAAUAGUAUGAUCUAACGGAUGGAAAUGAUCAGUGGAAUAAAUCUAAGGGCCAAAAACUUAUGAGUAUAAGGGAGCCAAUACUCAUAAAAGUAUAGUAGCCGGACUCUAUAUAUAUAUAUAUAUANUCUAUAAAAACAUUCUUCAUAUAUAUAUCGCGAGCUUGUUCUUCAAUAGGAUUGAAGGUCCACAAAGUAGCUUGUCCAUCCUUCAUUUUGAACUCUUGUAAAUUUUCAUUUUCAUAUCGACUUGCCACAAUUUUUUUCAAAUUGUAUCACAAACUUAUAUAUUGAAGUGUGGGAGUCCAACAAUAUUUUCAAUAAAGCAUUCAUACCUUCGCUUCGUUGAGAAGUAGACAUAUUAGCGAAAAAUGUAUUUCGAAAAUAAACAGGGGUCCAUUGACUGCGGCUCUUCCAUUGCACACGAAAAUAGUUAUUAUCAUGCAAAUUAUACUUUUGAAGCAUAGAUUCCCACCCACUUUAAAAUUCUUCAAUAGUCAAGCUAUCAUUUAUGCAUGAAUGCAACUCAUCUUUAAACCCUGUCUUCGAAGAAUAUAAUACUCCUAAGUGCUCUCGUGCUUUUCUCAUUAUGUGCUACUAACAACAUCUAUGAAUUGUGUUACCAUAUAUAUUACAUACCAUAUAUUUAUUAUAAAUGUUACCAUAUAUAAUAUAUAUAUAUAUAUAUAUAUAUAUAUAUAUAUAUAUAUAUAUAUAUAUAUAUAUAUAUAUAUAUAUAUAUAUUAAUUAGUUUAAAAAAAUGUCUUACCUUUCAUUAAAUAUAAUACAUCUGUUCUUAUUCUAUUCAACUCUCUCUUUUAUGUCUGAACUCGAAGUAUUUUAAUAGGCCAAUACAUAUAGAUUAAUUAAAAUGAGAGUGUUAAAUAAUUUAGUAUUAGGAUUUGGUUAGAUUUGUAAUUGAAUCCUAAUUGGAUUAGAAUUAAUAUUUAAAUCUGUUGGAGAAUAAAUUAAGAUUUAAAUAUUAAUUAGAGCAUGAAUCUAAUUAAAUUAGAAUAAAUAUUUAAAUCUAUUAGAGAUAAACGAAAUAUUGAUUUAAAUACUUUUUAGAGUAGGAAUCCUAAAUAUAGUAGGAUUUGGGUACGUUUUAUUGUAUGCCUUAUAUAAGCACCAUGUGGGAUGCUUUUGGAGAGAGAGAGUAGGGCCAAAAAGUUGACGCUCUUUGGUGGGUUAUACCAAAAAGAGAGUUGGCCGGUUGCAUGCACCUAGUGCAUGGGUGCAUGUGAGAGAGAAAGAAAGUUGUCUUUUAGAUUUAUAAAAGACGAGAAAAUGGUAGACGAAAUUCAAAAAGAGGGCUCGAGUUGUAUUUACUUUGUUGCAGAAGAGGAGUCAGGUGUAAUCUUCUCUUAUUUAAUGAAUCUUAUUUUACCCGCAUAUAUAUUUUCUAUUUUGAUUUUUUCUCUCUUGUGUGAUUGUAUCAGAUUUUGCUGAGAAGACGGGUUUAUGGUAAAAAUCCGAUUUGACGCUUCCGUUGCGGAAUCAACAACAGUCGGUAUCGGAGAGGGUUGUGGAUUCACAAGAUCCCAUAUCGGGACGAGUACUAGAUUCCCAACAUUUAACUGCCAGAAAAAUUAGCCGCUAUCACAAAAGGAUAAGUAGCAACGUGUUAUGAAUAUAAAUAGUUAAAAUAUUGUUCUUUGACAACUUAAGUUUUUUAAGCCUCGCCGAACUCAAAACAAGAAUACUUUAAAACUCCGUUACAAUGAUUGUUUUACAUUAUAUACGGCAAGAAUUCUAGGAGAGAGCUCAAACUUAGAACUUAAUUUUUUUUUAUAUUAUGUUAAAUAGCAUCAAAUAAUCAAUUUUUUGAGAAACUUAAAGCUGUGAGAAAAUAAUAUUUUAUUUUUUUAUAUAUGUGUUCAACAUUUAUACGCAAUUGAUCCUCUUGGACCAGCUUUUGAUGAGUUGGCAAAUUGGCUUAGUAUAAUGUGUAAGUCCAAGUUUCGAAUUAUGUUGGGUAGUUUUUAUUCUACUAAUUCUUCUUUUUUUUUUUCUUUUUUUUUUUUCAACAGUGAGCAUGUCACCCAAAAAGAAAAAAAAUUAAAAAAAUUAAAAAAAAUAGAAUGAAAAAGAAAGGUGAAAAAGUGGGUAUGUAUGCAUGGACUUUUUUGCCAUUUUCUUAUCGUACUACGAUCAAUGCCGUAGCAAUAAAUAUUAACAAAAGGAGAGCAAACCCUUUUAUUCCUUAAUUUCAACUUGAAUUAAUUCACGCAGCUCGGUUCGUAAAAUUUUUUUUAUUUUAUUCACAACUUACUAAUCCCAAGAUGUCGGAUUCUCCAUUAGCUUUCAGAGGUGUUAUCUGCGAGAUCAAAAUGGUCUGAGAAGUAGAUAACAAUAUUUUGGGGGAUGAAAGUGACAAAUAUGAUGUAAUUAAUUAAUCUUUGUUGAAUACAUAAAUUAAAAAUAUUAUCUUUCGACCGCUUACGUUUUUACAUAACAACAGUUGUUUUUACAUAAUUUAGCAUGAUAUUGGAACAGAAGAUCGUGAGUAAAAAGUCUCGAGUUCAGAUGUGAAGGAAAAUAUUUUAUAUAUAAAUUAGACACAUCAGUCUCUGAUAGUUUAAACUUUCUGAAAAAAUUAAUUAUAUAUAAUUUAACAUUCUUAAAGAUUAAGAUCUGAUUAGUUCUAAAAAAAAAAAGAUUAAGAUCUGAUUAUUAAAGAAGAGAUAGGAAAGAAAAAUAAGAUUAGGCACCAAUGUAGAAUAGCUCUUCCGUAAAAGCGCAUGAAGUUCAUAAGCACACCUGCAUUAUUGGUGUUGUGUGUAAAAUAUGUUCUCACAAAUGUGUACAUGGAAGACCACAAAUUUGUUAGUUAGAGAUCAUAUAUAAUGAGUCAAAUAUUUUCACAAGAUGCAUCCUAUAUAAAUCUAAUAGUACCAACUUGCAGUGUACUUUGUUCAUACAAAAUAGUUGAUCACCUUUUGUUUCACUUUAUCAAAAAUUUUAUUUCACUUUUUUUUUUUUGUCUAGAAUUUUAUAUUAUGUUUGUUUUAAAAAAUUACUAAUAUUAGAUCUAAUUAAUUUGGAUGGGAUUGAAAACUUGUGAUUUGGUACAUAUGAUCGAUACUUGAUGUAAACAAGAAAUUGUUAAUUUAUUUUGAUUUUGAUGAAAAAUAUUAUGUUGAAAUAUAUACCGAUUUACUCGAAUUUCAGUUAUUGUGGCAUAGUGGUUAAAUGUAAAGUUUUACUUUUCAUUGAGUUAAAAUGUAGAAUAAUAAAUAGUAUUACAAACUUUUUAUGACCAAAUAAUAAAUAGUCACCAUAUAUUUGAUAAUUAUCGAUAGGAUUUGAAAAUUUUAUAAUGAACGAAACAACAUUUGGCCACAAACAUACAUAACUAUUUAUGGUCAAAACAAUGUUUCUCCAAUGCGUGAGGCUAAACAAUAAAUUUUGCAGUAGCAAUCGCUAUAGUAAAUUUUCACAAAUUAUAUUUUACUAUUUAUGUCUAAAAAUACCUUUUCCAUAAAAAGUUAGGUAUUUUGAUAGUUAUCUUCUGGCCUUUUGUGACAGAUAUUGAAAAUUUAGUACCGAAUACAUUUGCCAGAAAGAUUGAACUUUUUUUGUGGCGAAUAAGUUUUGGCCAUGGUAAUCUUUUAUAGCGAUUUAACUGUGGUGGAGCAACAACAAAAUAAUUUUCGCCAAAAUAAUGCGGCGAAUUAUUAUGUUUUUGUGGCUAUUUGUUUGGCCACCAAAAUUUAGAUUUUCUUGUAGUGACACACUAUUGUUGUGUUGGAAAUAUUUUCUCACUAACGUGUACACGGUAGACCCCAAAUAUGUUAAUUAGAGACCUAUGUAAUGAGUCAAUUAUUUUGACAAGAUGCAUGCUAUAUAUAUAUAUAUUUAUGUAUAGUGCGGCUAGUAUGCUUACGGGAGUACGGAGCACUCCGUGCUUCCAAAUUAUUUUCGAUGUUGGGACUUUCAAAUUGACGAUCGGUUCCGUUAGACUUGAUCUAGAGUAUUUGAAGUACCUAAAAAAUAAAUUUUGCAAUUUUUCGAUAUCAUUUACCUAGUGAUCGAAGGGGCUCAAAAUCAACGGCUGAAAAUAAAAAUCUCACAAAAUGUGAUGAUAUGACAUUAAAAAUUUAAAUCAAAGAUAUUAAUCUUAUUUUAUAUAGUAUAAAGAAUUUUCUAUCAAAAUUUUACGUGAUUUGAAAAUUUCUACACCGUUAAACUUGCAACGGCUCACCAGGCCAUUAAAAUUAUGAUUUUGAGUCCCUUCGAUCACUAGGCAAAUGAUAUCGAAAAAUCACGAAAUUUAUUUUCUAGGUAUUUCAAAUACUCUAGAUCAAGUCUAACGGAGCCGAUCGUUGAUUCGAAAGUCCGAACAUCAAAAACGACUUGAAAGUACGGAAGGCUCCGUGUUCUAUAAGCAUACCAGCCACUAUAAUAUAUAUAUAUAUAUAUAUAUAUAUAUAUAUAUAUAUAUAUAUAUAUAUAUAUAUAUAUAUGCUGCCAACCUGUAGUGUACUUUGUUCAUACAGAGUAGCUGGUCACCAUAUAUAUAUUGAUGGUAGAAUAGCUCCAUUAUUAAUUCAAUAAUAAUUGAGGUUAAAUUUAUAUAAGCCUCCUUGAUCAUUAUUUAGUGUAUUUUUACUUUGCUAAUUUGCAGUUUGAAAAAAAAAAAUUUAUUUCACUAUCCUAUAAUUAAUUAGGGCUGAAAAUUCAGCUCAUUGUUCGCCAGCUAGCUUGCGUUCGGCUUGAAAUAAUUAAGUUCUAGAUCGAUCGCUCAUUUAGUAAACGAGCUAAACCCGAGCUAAAUUUUUCAGCUCGAAAUCAUAACAAGUCGAGCACGAAUUAAGGUUAGCUUGCUCAUGCUCAGCUAGAUAUAGCUGGAAUAUACAUAAUAAAAAUUUCUACUAUUUAGAUUUUAGGCCAACAUAAAUGUAAUGAGAUAUAUAUUUGUGAAUUUUAAUUAUUAGAUUAAAUUCUUUAAACUUUUCACCCAAUAGUAGAGCUGAAAAUCUAACUUGCAAUUCGCGAGACAACUCGUAUUCGGCUUGAUUUUUCAGCUGAAUUUUUCAUGAGCCAGUUCAUGUUCGGCUCGUUUUAUAAAUUAACGAGCGAAUACCAGUCGGGCUCAGUUUGCUCGUGUUUAGCUCAUUGACAGCCCUACAUUAAUUUGAAAUGGACCUUCGAUCUCCUCGGGAGGACAGGUGCCGUGUUUCAGGCAUAGUUGGUUAAUUCGGAUUCGGCAAAAAUUCGGUACGGAUAUAAUACGCAUAAAAUUUGUUUUCCAAUUUUUAAAUUCGUUGAAAAAUUCGGCUUAAAGAAACGAAUUCGGUAUAAAGUAUAAAAUAUAAGAUAUAAAAUAUAAGAUAAUUUAUAUUUAAAAAUAAAAAUUAUAAGUUUUUAUUUAUAUUUUCAAUAAUUCGUGAAUAAUUCGCGAAUAAUUCGGUUGGCCCAAAAAUUUGCGAAUAAUUCUCUUUCUUUGGAAAAAAUUCGUAAACGAACCGUUUAAUUUGGAUUUUCAAUAAUUAACUAGGGUUUCAGGUAAGAUCUAAUACAGGUCUAAAAAUCUAUUGACUCGAUCAUCAUGCGUUCCAGGACCAUCACAGCUCAUCUCUUCUCAGUAAUCCAUGCCCCAAAGUGGGGUUCCCAAGGCAUUUCUCUUUAUAAAAUACAUCAAUUUAAUACUCUCUAGUUUCUAAAUCAUAGCAUUUUGGUAGUACUCGAUCCAUUUAAUGACAAAUCAUUUUAAUUAAUAAAAUUUCUUAAAUCAUAAGAAGAUAAAAGCAAAAAAUAUACUAAACUAACUUUUCGAAAAUUAAAAUUUUCCAAAAAGAAAUUAAUUAAUUAAUUCUUCCUCUAGAAAUUAAAGCACAAGAAACACACCUAUCUCUACUAGCCAGUGUACCCUUCGACUUUGAGUCGGACUUUGACUUCUUUUUGAAGACACAAAAUGCAUUUUAAGACGUGUAAUUGGACAGCAUUCGUAACUAACGUAUACGUACUUCACGUGCAUGUAAGGAGUCAAGAGCAUUUUCCAUGCACAUUUAAGAAUAUUAAAUGUGGGGGGUACGUAUAAGCAAAUAACUUAUGUUGGUGCCUCUCAUUUCUCUCUUCGAUUUUGGUUUCACAUUAUUCUCCAAGUGGAAAAAGAUAUUAUAACUUUUAUGACAAAUAAAUUAAAUUUGUUGAGUCUGAUCAUAUUUAAUUAGUAAUUAGUAAUUAAUGGCCGAACUUAAUAAAUAAUAGCAAAAUUGAUUCUGUUAAUCACAAACCUUAUUAACUAUAUGUAUAUAUAUGUUUAAGCAAAAUACAUAAUUUUGACAAAAUGUACGGAGACCCCCUCAACUAUUUGUAAACUUUAAUUUGUCAUCGUACGGUUUAAUAAAUUAUACUUAACUACUAUAUAUAUGUUGUUUAAUUUUAUUUCAUCAUAGAAAUUUUCAAGCAGUAAAGUGAUAUUUUUUCUUCUUCUUCUGCUUCUUGAAGAUAUUGGAAGCUCAAAUGUUCGAUUUCGUCAGAAACAAUGGAAUCAUAAACAGUAGGGACCCAAUUAAAAUAAAGUCUAAAGAUUGGUGAAAAAAGGUUCAGGAACAAUGGUGAAAUUAAUCUUAAUAUUCAUAAAGUUAUUUUUAUUAUAUAUAUAUAUUAGAUUUGUUGAGAUCUGAUCAAAACCAGUCAGUAAAUAAUGGUCAAUUCAACGAAUAUCUUAACGAAUAAUAAAAUCAAUUUUGGUAAUCGCACCACCUCAAUAGGCUACUCAGGAAUGACACCAAUAUACUUUUAUAUUUUUAUUUUCUUUUGUAAAAAAAAAAGACAUUCCUUAAUUUUCAUAAAAAAUCAUAUUUUUAAGUUUCAAUUUGAGUUUGAAUUUGUAGUCAUAAUCAGGUAGGUAAUUGCAUUACUUCGUGAUCUCACAGAAGCAGCAAUAAGUACUAUAGAUGUUCUCAUUAACAACUUUGAAUAUUGUUGCUAGUUAUUUUGAUCCGCUUUAUGGAGUUGGGCUUUUCUUACUUUGCUUUUGAAAUAAGCAUUUGUGGACAAUGGAAAAGUGCUUUUACUCUAUUGUCUUUUCAGACGAUGUAGCAUUUAUAUUCAUAACAAACAUUGCUAAAUAAAAGUAAAAUUGCAGGGUGUUGACGCCAUGAAAAUGAUGUCACGUUGUAAGUCGGUAUACACUACAUGUAGGAUUUUCAAAGCCAAACGUAGCGCGAUAUGUGACACGUCUGGAUCUAAAAAAACGCGCCAAAACCGAAAAUUGGUUGGGCGAGAUGCGGUUGAGGUCGGCAAGGAGUGGUCCGCAAAAAUAGGGAUAUGGUCGAGACACACUCCGUAAUGGGGAAUAACGGAAUUACGACAAGUGGAACUAUAAAUAAAAAAAAUACGCCCGUCAAAAAGAUCUUUUUUCCCUGCGAAAAGAAAGUCCAUUUUAUUUCCAGCACUUUUUUGCUUUUUAAGAGUAAUCUAUUUGUAAUCUUCACUUUUCAUGUAUUUCCUAAUUUAAAAUAGAUUUUCCUGUUUAAGAUAGAUUUUCCUGUUAAAUAGUAAAUUUUACUGUAUUUCUGAGUGGGACUCAUUACAUGUUUAUCUUCUUUUCAUCAAAAUAUAUCAAAAUCACUUGGCUCAUUUUAGCCGAAUUGAUAAUAACAUAGAGUGUACGGACUUGGCUGAGCAGAUCUCUCAUUUGCCGAUCACUCGAGUCUGUCUAAGACGCAUUUCGAGGGUCACCAAUACUCAUCACUCGACUUAUUUCCCAAAUCAGAGUUUGACCGGUACAACGGUCCAGAAAUUCGGCUCCCAACACAGGGUAAAACUAAGUGUAACUUUUUUUUAAUCAUACGGCAAUAAAGUGAAAAUAAUAUUAAACCGCAGGGGAGGCAAAUAUAUUAUGAAUUUGUUGUUGGGAAUUCGGUACUCGCCUUGGUACCGGAUUUUGUGAAUCCGCAACCCGCUCCGACACCGACUGUUAUUGAUUCGGUAUUGAUUGUUGGGAUUCCGCAACGGAAACAUCGAAUCGGGUUUUUACCAUAACCCCGUCUCCUCAGCAAAAGCUGAUACAAUUAUAAAAAAGAGAAAAACCAACCAAACAGAAAAUAUGGGGGUAAAAUAAGAUUCAGUAAAUAAGAGAAAAUUAUACUUGAUUCCUUUUCUGCAACUAAGUAGCUACAAUCCGAGCCCUCUUUUUGAAUCUCUCCUAUCCUUUUCUCGUCUUUAAUAAAUCUAAAAGACAACCAUUCAUGUGCACAUAUGCACUAGGUGCACUCAACUCACCAACUCUCUCUCUCCUUUUCUCUUUAGAUACGGCAGCCGUACCUAAUCACGGCCUCUUGGCUAAUUAAUUAGCCCAAUGCAUUAUAUAUAAUGCUCAACUUAAAACAUACCGCAAUCCUAAUAAAUUUAGAUUCCGAUUUUAAUUAAUAUCUAAAUUUAUUUUAAUUUAUCUCUAAUAGAUUUAAAUAUUAAUCAUAAUCUAGUUAGAUUUAUACUCUAAUUAAUAUUUAAAUCUUAAUUUAUCUCCAACAGAUUUAAAUAUUAAUUCUAAUCCAACUAGAAUUAAUCUACAAAUCUAACCAAAUCCUAACAUUUGUAGUCAUAAUCAGGUAGGUAAUUGCACUACUAAGUGAUCUCACAGAAGCGGCAACAAGUACUAUAGAUGUUCUCAUUAACAACUUUGAAUAUUGAUACUUAUUAUGACUAUCACUAGAAGCCAUCUACUAUGUUUCAAGACAUAAAGAGUGUGCAUGCUUUUACUUCCAUGUCGUUUCAAACGAUGGACACUAUUACAGGGUAAAACUAUGUACAACUUUUUGAGCUAUGGGACAAUAAACUGAUCAAAUGAACGGCAAAUUGAUGUUUACCUAUUCUUUUGGAUUCAGACCUCAAUUUUUUCUUUUUAAAUCUUUAUUUCUAGUCAUAAAGUGUGCUUUUACUUCCUUUUUUUUUUAUAAUAUAGCCACUUAAAUCUACAAAACUAGAAGUUGAUGGAAGUCUCAAAAAAGAAAAAAAAAAGUUGUGAGGUUUAUUUCAGAAUAGUCUACGGUAGAUGGGAUUUCUACACCAUUCUCUAAUGUGACUAGCGGAGAUGAGAAAUACUAUUCAUACACUACAAAAGAAAUGUAUAUCAUACAUUAAUUUCACUCAUCUAAAGAAUGUGAUUUUUUUAUUUGUCACAAUAUGUGACAGGUAAAAGAAAUCUUAUCCAUUAAAUAAAUAACUCUAAAUCAUACACUCUCGAAUGGGGUGUAUGAUUAGCUUUUUCCUUCAGUAUAAUAUUAAGGAUUAAUUACACCAUUAGUCCACAACCUUUUCAAAUUUUCAAUUGAAUCUCGAACUUUCUUUCUUAAUCAAUCGAGUCUUCAACCUUUAGAAUUUAUUUCAGUUAUAUUCUCAUCAUCCAUGUCUAUAUUACCUUUAACGGGAUUGAUAAGUGGUCGUGUUAUGAUUUAGAUAGUGUUGUAACAUUUUAUUAUUAAUUAUGAAAAUUUAAUUUUUUAACAUAUGCAAUGAAGUUACAACUUCACUUGCAUUCAAUGCGAAUUGUGAUAACCUAUACUACAUAGUUUGCAACUUCACAUUCAUAAUGAAGUGCAAUUAAGUUACAUAUUGCAUUCAUUGUUAAUUUAUACUUAUGCAUACUCACAACCAAAAUGUGAAACCUCUUAGCUAUUUAAUACUCUCAUAACCUAUAGCUUAUGAGGCCUAUAUAUGAAUUGAGCUAGAAUACUUUCAAAAGCACCAACCUCUUGGUGCUUUUGAGUUUCUAGCUAUUGGAUCUACUUUGGAUUAAACACUAUUCCACCUACCACCACCUACCACCACCUACCACCAUCAUCUCAACCUAACAUCUUUCCAUCCAAUGGCUAACAACUCAAAAGUACCACCUUUCCAUCCAAUGGCUAACAACUCAAAAGUACCACCUUCAUGGUGCAUUUGAGAGUAUUCUCUUUCUCAUUUUCCGCACUAAACCGAUGUAAUAAAGGGUAUAUUUAUAAUAGUGACUAAAUCCUAAUAUAAUUAGGAAUAGAAACCCACCAAGAUUAGGAAUAUCUCAAUAAAAUUAGGCAAAAUCUAAACUUAAGUUAAUGGGAUAAUCAAAACAGAAUAGAGUGUUAGAAAAUCUUGCGUACUGAUAUUGCGAGAGAAUAUUUAAAUUUUGUAGUGUUUUGAGCAUCCAUGUUAUGUGUAGAGUUUGUGAAGCUUAUACGAUAGAAGAGUUGACUUGUAUUCUGGAGGACCAAGUCAGAUUUUGCCAGCAUCCCGAUUCAAGGCUUUGCCGAGAUGGCUUUUUGAAUUCUUAAGGAGCUGAUUUUGUAUCGUCUUGAUCGAUGUUUGACAUUUUAUUUUUUUUGGUAUCUUUUUUCAUUUGAAUAUUUGACCACAGAUGAUUUAAUUAAAUUUUAGAUUGGUUCCAGUCUAAAUAUUAGAAAUGAGAUUAUAUUCGUAUUAAGAGAUUUAGAAUUGUAAUACUAACUGGAUUAAGUAUUUUUGGCUAGUAGUUAUGGUUCAAACGAGUUAUUAUUGUGUUGCCUGAUGGUUACAUUGGUAUCCGAAUAUCACCAAUGAAAGUUGAGAUGAAUUCGCUAGUAGGAUGUCAAAUGAUAGAAUAAAUGAUUGGAAGAAUGAUAAGAUUCAAGUAAAAUACCAGACAAAUAUAAGAUCGCUGAUGCUUUGGUAUGUGCUAUUGCUUUGAGUGGUUGCACGUCAUAGGUAUUGGUGAUCCUUACAGCGUAAUGAGCCAUGUGGUCCUAUGGGUUGGGAAAUUGCUAAAGUUUGUUCACUGUGCCCAAAAGGAGAGAAGUAUUCUUGGUUUAGUGUAUUUGUUUUCGUAAUGGUGUGGAUGAAAUUCCGAUAAAACACCUUUUUUAGUUUUAAUCAUUUAAUUUUAGAAUUUUUUUUUUAUUAAUUUUAUAGAAAAGUGUUUCCUUUUUCCAAAAGGAUAAAUUCAGAAAUAAAAUUCUAGUUGUAUAGUAUGAAAAAAAAAAGAUUUUCAAAUGUCUAUUUUCUUCUAACAAUAAAUGAAAGUUAGAAAAUAUUCUUUAAUUUUUUUUUUUGAGAAAAGUAGCUUUUGUUACUGCUUAUUCAUAAGCAAAAUGAUAGGGUACAUGUUGAAGCAAUAGUCGUCAUGGAUAGUAAUGGAGGAAACAAGGAAGGUUAAAACCCGAAACAAAACUAGUAAUAAAAUAAAAUAACGAAAACGUCCGGUAAAAUCAAUAAACACAAAGGGCCAUGUCUCUUAAUCAAAGAGUGCGGUCCUAAUCCUUUGAUGUAAGAAAAUGACGUUCCAAAGCGGGCGGUGUGGGCGGAUCGCGGAAGAUAGUUGUUUAUUGUUCGUCUCUGUCAACACAGAUUGCCGUGUAGAAUAGGUACAGACUUUUUGUCCAUACCUUAAUAAUGUUGCUGUGUUCUCCAUUAGUCGGCUCAUCCCCGUUAUCAUCUGAUAUCUGAAUUCUCCGACUAUGGAUAGAGAUAUUGACAAAGCGUCCCGAAAGGACGUGAUCGGUGGUUUCUGGCUAAUGCACCAAAAACACGAAAUGAUCCCCACGGUUCUCACGGAUCAUCUGUCCUUUGUAAGUAUCUUUGCUUGAAGGGAAUCAAAAUUGAAUAUUUUUUUUAGUAGAUCUUAGCUCCAUAGCAUGUAAAUAAGGGGUCUUCUGGCAUGUCGGUGAUAUUCGUAACGAGUCUUACAGUAUUUUGUCCGGCGGUCAACGUCCUUUGAUUAUCAAUCUGGGGUCGACGGGACUGGUACUGUAGGACAGGUUUGAGAGGUCAGUUGAGGCGGCGUUAGUGUCGGUUUUCUGAGGUUUCUGAAGUACCCUCAUAUCCACCUUCCCAUUCAGAAGUUGUUGGAUUGAUCCUUGUUCGUUAUUGUAGUAUCCUUAUUUUAUGUUAUUUUAUUUUAUUUUUUUGAUUUAUACUUAGGGGUCGCGUUAUGAUAUUGGGGUGUUUGAUGCCAGUGCACCCAUGCAUAUUAUACUGUGGCUGUAUAGUAUGAGAGCAGUGGGAUAUUGAUGGUUUGUCAUUCCUCUCUCUCUGUUGAAGUGGAGGUCGUGGGCGCAGUGAGUUGGCGAGUCAAUUCGCGGGGAUCUGUUGGAGGUGGUUGCGCUCUGGGUAGUGCGUUGAGCAGACGGGAGAAAGUUUUCUCCUAUGCUUUUCCUUUCGGAUUAGCUUUUGAGGUGGGUUUAAUAAUGGAAUUCCUAGCCUAUAUAUGUUCCGGUGAAUGUAUGUUCUAUUACAAUUGAUAUGUUUAGCUCAAUAUGAGUAGGUAUUUUUAGACUCAUAAAGAUUGGCGAAUGUGAUUUAGUUGUUAUUAAUCAUACUUGACUUGGAUAAAAUAGGGAACAGCGUUGAGUGGCAUAUGUGAUAACUGAUUUAGCUUACGGGGCCGGUUGUAUUUUUUACAGAUGUUUAUUCGGUUGGUGAAGAUACCAGUGCUUUAGUUUACUUUACCUGUGUGGCGAUCCGAGUUACUGUUUAUAGUCAUGUUUAGAUGUCUGAAUAGUGAUUCGGUCGCAGUGUUGCGGUGGACACGGAUUUGUAUUUUGAGUUUGUUGUGCCGAGGAGUGGAUAGUGUUAGUUGCGUGUCGGUGAGAUAUUGUUGAUUGCCUGUGGGGCACUGAGAUGAAUAGUAUUCUGGGUCGCGCCACCGAGACCAUUACCGAUGAAUGUUUCAGUCGCCUCGCCAUCUGUGCAGUUUUUAAUAGGUAUGCGCGCCACUUGGAGCCAGGUGUUCGGGCAUAUCUGAUUAAAGCGAUGGGUCCGUGUUGGAGCUCAAUGAUUGUGACUGUGAUCAUGUUGAAAUCAUUGGGUCAGUGCAUAUUGUCAGUAGGAUGUUAUGGAUUUAUAGCUGUAGAUUACUUCACUUACUUUCCAGCCUUGUUUUACUGUAGUUUUAGUGGGUAAGACGGAAUGAUGUGGGGGUAACAUGACACUGUUUUUACAGUAGUUUCCGCAGUUGUCCCUGUGUUUUUUGAGAGCUUCUGUUCGGCGCUGAGCUUCUAGACCCGAUCAGAGGGAAAGGUGUGCGGCUAGAGCCUACCUGAUAUGUCCCCUGUAGAGGCCAGUGCACCGAGGGUGUAGAGUUUUAGUUUCGAUAUUGUAUUGAUUUUACUGAACUUUCGCUGUCACCGGUGAGUACUUGUUUGUGUGUUUUGUGUACUUGGGGUAUAGUAUGUAUUAUUAUGUGAUGGUGGCUUUUUUUGUUUGUAUUACUCUUAGUUUUAUAGAUCUCGUUCUGUCUUGACUUUGUGUUAGAUACUGUAUUGUCUGAUACUAGUGAAAUUUUCUUUGUACCGGCAGCUAUUAGGACCCCUUCGUACCCAUAACCCCCGGCUCGUGAAAAAGUGCUAUCCGGGGGUGUGCGGUGACAGUAUUUGAGAAUAAGUCUUGAUAAAUUGGGGUGUGGAGUGGGUAUUCUUUCCCCAUCAAUAUUUGCCACUCCUGAUAUUUUUCCUGUUCUAGUAGUAACGAACAUGUUUUGAACUUUCUGUAUUUUAUCAGCUUCGCAAACACUUUGAGGGUAGCUCUCUCCGGUUGUUUUGACAGUGUUGCAUUUAUUUUUUGGAAAACUUUUUUCCUAACUUCUAUAGGUUGGCUUUCUUUGUGUUUUCUAUAGUCCAUUUGUUAAGCAGGAGUGCUUCUCGGACUGAUACACUAGAAGCAUUAAUUGUCUUUCAUAUUAAUAAGGUGAUGCUUUGAUUAUGUCUAUUCAGCCAGAUGUUGACAUUUAAUUACGUAUGAUUUAUUAAUAAGAUUAAAAUUCAGGCGAUUAGUACAGUAUUUUGAAUACGUAGACGAGGAUGUGAAUAAAGACUUAAAUACGAUGAGAAAAUUGUAUGUUACUUGGUCUUGCUGUUUUCGACUUUGCUCAAUUUUUUUUUUCUUUUUUUUCGGGAUUUAAUUAUUAUUGAUAAUUUUUAUUAAUUCAUAUAUUUAUUUAUAGAAUAUUUAUUGUUAAGCUGUUUGUUGAGCUAAAGUUGAUAAAACCAAGGAUAGUAAAUUUAGCCCAAUGAUUUAAUAAUUUCCUUUAUUUCUCUCUCACAAACUCUGCAAAAAAUUAGACGAUGGCAGUCUCAUCAAACAAAUGUUGAGGAGUCUAUUUAAAAUAGCUAUAGUAGAUGAGGUUUUACAUUUUUACCUAAAUAUAUACUAAGAUUAAUGUAUAUUGGUCAACAUUUUCGAUUUUUCAUUAUGUCCCUAACUUUCUUUCUUACUUAUUUGAGUUACAUCGAAUUUAUUUCAAUUAGGCAUGUGUACAUAACUAUUAUCUUUUACAUAUGAUAAGUGCGUUGAGAUAUAAUGUAGAGCUUGGUAGUAUCGUAUCGUAUUUUCUUCAUAUAAUUUUUAGUUUUUAUAUAAAUUUUAUUAGGAUAAAAAAUACUGAUUUGGACAUAGUUUUAGGAUCCAAAUUUUAAUUUAUACUUUUUUAUACUUUAUCAGGAUAAUUUUACAAGAAACUAUCUACUUUUAAAAAUAUUAUAAAAAUUUAUUUAGAGAUAAUUAUUUAUGUCUCUCUAGUUUUAAUUAUUUUACUUGCUCCUCCGAUAAACUUUGGAAUUUAUAAUUUGUCUUCUUUUAGUUGACAUAUUAUAUUAAUUUUUCCCGGUAACAGAAGUCUUCUUCAUCUUCUUUCUUUUUUGUUUUGAUUAUGAAUCAUAUUGAUAAUUUUUUAUGCUUAUUUUGUAUUUAGUUUUAUUUUUUUCGCAAUGUGCGGAAAGUUAAUUAUUUAUAGUUAAAUCCUAGUUGGAAAAAUAAUAUUUUAUAUUAGAAAUAAUGGCUAUUUAAAUGUAAUUAGGGUGGAUUUGUUAGAUAUGACCGAAAUCUAUUACGAUCAGGUCGAAUUACGACUUGGCAGAUGCCCCGUUGUGUUCUUAUUUGUUUGUUUGAUUGUUUUUGUGUUGAUUUUAUUUUCGUUUAGCAUUGCCGGCAACGUUAAGACUUCUCCUUAAAGAGGCUAGGAUUGGGAUAGCUUUUAAUGCAAGCCAUAUGUAUAUAUAGGUAUAGCAUAAGUGAUGAGUAUGGCCAGGUUAGUCUCAGGUUAGUCUCAGGCGAUGGGUAUGGCCAGGUUAGUCUCAGGUUAGUCCCAGGUGAUGAGUAUGGCCAAUGCCUUAGUGGUCCAUAUAGGAUAGAGAAAUUUGGACUAAAAUUUAGUACAGGGGUGCAUGGAAAAGAGAAAAACCUUCUUGAUUUGUAGAAGAUGAAAUAAGGGUGAGAGGGAUUUACAAAGAAAUAAGCUCAGGUUGAAACUACUCUACGUAGAAGUGGAGUCGGAUAUAAUUCUUUUUUUUUAGUUAGUAAACCUUAUUUUAUUUAUAUAUAUUUUCUUUUUCUUUUUUUUUAGUAAUUACUUAUAUAUUCUUGAAAAGUUUUCGACUUUCUGAUUAUCUCUCUUAGAAGGUUAAUAUUGAAAAUACCCUUUUUACGUUCCAACUAUUUCAAAUAUACUCCUGGAGUUUAAUUUCGUUAAUGAACGAUUAGCAAUAACUGUUAUCUGUAUGAAAUUACUAUUUUGCACUUUCAAAUAUACUUUUCCAUCAUUAUCGACUUUGCUUAUUUGCUCUUAAGUUAGGGGUACAAAGAGUAUUUUAAUUUUUGAUCUUUUCAAAUAUACUCUUCUACCAUCACCAAUAUUUCUUUUUUGCCCUUAAGUUAAGGGCAAAAUAAGUAUUUUAAUUUUUUUUUUAACUCUAGUAGAUAUUUAACUGACGUUUAAUCCAAAUUAAUUUAACGGAUGGUAACUGCAGGAGUAUUUUAGAAUAACGGAUGAACAUAUGAGGGAUAUAUAUUGGAAAGAAGAAAAAAAAAUAAGGGCAAAUGAGAUAUUUCUGAAGUUUUGAAAAGUAUAUAGGCAAUUAUUCCUUUAAUUUAAUAUUAAAAACUAUGAGAGUAUAUCUGCGGCAAAGAAUUCAAAAGAUACGAUGCGCCGAGAAAAUUAAUAUUUCGCGACCUAUUCCAACACCUGAGAAUGAAUGCUACUGCAGAAAUAAGUGACCACAAUUUUGUCACAUAUGGUGAGAAAAUUUCUUAAAAGGGAUUUAAGUAACCAAGAAUUAUUUUUGGUAUUCAAUUAUUGAGAGGCAGUUUCCAAUUGGUAUAUUAUUUUCUCAAGGAAGAUAUAUACAAGUCAAAAAAAGAUAACUUGGAUUUUAACAGGCCAUAAUGUAUAUAGAAAUUAAGAUAUAUACUUUUUAAUUGGUUGUUGAUUGAGAGAGUUGUAUCCUUUUGAGAGGAUUUGGGCUGAAAUUAUUAUUUUUCCACUUUUGUCAAAAUCAAUUUGAUGUCGUUUGAUUUGACGAUCAGAGCAGUUGGAAAUAAUUUAUAGUAUUUAAAGUUACUAGAAACUAAAUUUUACUGAAAGUUUUUCAAUUAGGCAUUCGGCUCUCAUAACGAUCUGUAGAUUUGACUAUUUUAAUAAUUUGAAUUUAGAUGUAACAUUGGCCUCUCCGAUUCAGCGCUAUGGCACGUUGAAAAAAAGUGUAAAAACGGGAAUCGAGAGGGAUAUUACGAAGAACGCAUCUCUUUCACCAACAGACAAAAAUAUUAUCAAUUUAUUCUCAAAAACUUUUAUUACAAUCUAACUGAGUGCAUGUCUAUAUAUUGAGGUGUUGAAACUCGAUCCCACUUCUCUACCCUCCUAGAGAAAAACAUAAUGAAAUUCUAAUAUAUCUCUAAGCCUAUUAGAGAGUACAAAAUCAAUAGCUUAAAACCAGGCAGCGUGGACAAAAUAAAAAAAAAAUACCAAUUUUUUUUGGAAAUAAUCGAAAAAUGGCCAGAAUGGGCUAUUUGCAUGUCGAGACAUGUAGAUCUCGAAAGUAUAUUCCAAAAUUAGCGUUGUAUGCCGGAUCGUGGAUAAUUCAAGCGUAAAUUUUAGCCGUUUAAAGAUAAUAUCGCGCUCAACUUUGGUUAAGUUGUAGUUUUUUCAAAAACGUCUAACACUAAAAUUGCCGCAUUCCCUACAUAUUAAAACAUGGUACUCUUCUAUACUGUAUAGAGUCUAUACCACUAUAACUCUUUUCGAUAUUAUAUCUGACCUUUUACGGAAUUGACCUUUAAGUGUGUAGGAUGGAUGAGAGGCUGAGGAGGAAAGGGUCGCAGGUGGGGAGAGUAGGGCGGUCGAUUGAAGGCGGAGAUAGGAUCGACGGCGACCGAGUGCGAGGCAAGCGUAAGCGACAAACGGAAACAGCAUUAUGGUUGGUACACGCUUUCACUCUAUCGUGCGUAACUUCUCGGCCGCAGGCGCAAGCACCGCUCAACGGAAAGGUGACGCCCACCAUGCCAGAACUUGAACGGUCCUCAUUCGAUCGCCAAAAUAGCAUCCGUCGUGAAACCUGCAUAUAGAUAAUUGUUGUCAUUAGGUCAAAUGUACACACAUUAUUGUGUCACUUUGUGUGACAUUGGAGAGUGCACGUCUUCUCAAAAAAUUUUACUUAGACGGGAGGUGUGGUGAGCGUGUAAUUUGAGUUCUUGCAUUAAUUUCGUUUCUGCGUCUAAAAAUUUUUUUGCAAAACAUAACACUUAUUGAAUAGCAAUUUAGAAAACAUCCACCAUGAGAAAAAUGAGGUUGGUCCUAUAUUCAAUUUUUUUUUUUUUUUUUUUUUUUUUGUUUGUUUGGUGGGAUGAUGUAUGAGCAUUAUAUCACAAGCACGGAGAAUUUUUCUAUAUAAAGCGUAUAUCUCAUAAUAAUAGGGUAUAUCACAAUCAAAGAUGAUAACUCAUUUAAUGCUUCAAUACUAAUUAUUGAGACUAAUUGAGUCCCUUAUUAGAUAAUGUACAUGCACAGUGGAGACAAUAAUUCUCUAUGCCAUCGAUGAGAUUCAUAUAUAAGCAAGUUAUUGCCGUGUGUGCAAACGCGACUGAUAACCAUACUUAAUCUAAUCAAUUUGGUACCGUAUUCCCAAAAACAUCAAAAUAUUGUGAAAUAAUAAAUCACGUUAUUAUAUAUAUAGUAUAUAUAAUAUAUAUAAUAUACUAUAGUAUAUAUAUUAUAUAUAUAGCUAGACUGCUAUGCUAUCAAUAGUAUGAAGUUUGUGCCUACCAGUAUUUUUUUAUCGGAUACGGUUUUUCAAAGUGCGAUCGGUUAUUCUUAGACCGAUUCUACGCUAUUUCAAAAGUAUUUAGAAGCCAAAUUCAUAUUUUUUUUCAUAUUUAUUUAACUACGUGAUCGUAAAAGACUCAAAAUUGACAAUUUAAAUAGCCAAUUUCUGUAAUGCCACCCUACAACAAAACUGGAUAAUAGGCGACACAUUUUUUGAGCACAUUUUUGUAGCCAGUGUUCACGCAUUGUUAUGUCCUAUAAAUUCUUCUAACAAAAUCCACACUAGGGCCCGGCCAAAUAUAAAGCCCAUAUUUAUUCCUACUUCCACCCCAUCCCAAUUGUCAAAACUAUAUUAAAGAUCCACCAAUUACCAAAAAAAAAAGUAAAAAAAAACUCCCUUGCUCAGCAGAUCAUUCAUCUUCCCCAAACCCCAUCGCUAUCUAGUACCCUCAAAACUCACCAUGGCGAACUCUUACAUGGCAAGCUCUCCCCCGUAUCCCAGGGCGAGCUCUGACCAUUCCUCGCAGCGGGCAUGUCUCUCUUCAUCUCGUGUUUCGAUCUCUUCUCCGCGAAACAUCUUCCGUCGUCAAGCGGAGCUACUCGACGACCCCGCCUUCGACUUCACGACGCGUCGCGCGCCAAUGGAUCGCAUCGGGUACGUGCGUGAUCCUCCCCCGCAUUGCCUCGAUCUUUCGUCGAUUCGGGGUGAUCUUAGGUUUGGUGCAGAAUUUGAGGGGUUAAUGUGAGUUCUGCGUUGUAUGGCAUCGGAUCUCCUUGCUGGGACAAGACAUUUGCGUUGUUGUGCAAUUUUAGUGAUCCUGGUAGUGACUUGCUAGCGUAUAAUUAAUCGAUUCUCUUUAAUUUACUCCCCGACAAAAGAAAAGAAACAAUGAAAAGAAUGGAAAAAAAAGAAGAAGACGGAUUUGAUGGGUUUGGGAGGGAGCGAGUGCGUGGGUUAUUAAAGGGACAAUGCUGUUGUUUGUUGCCUAUGAGUUACAGAUGCAUUUUAACAUAUAGAUUAUUAAUAUACUACAUAAAUUUUUCAUUUAUAAUCUUCUUUUACGUAUAGCUGUUGUCUGUGGUAGAACAAUCAUGGUGUGAGUGGAAAACGGAAUGCUAUACAAUUAUAUUUUGUUAAUCGAAUUUUAACAAUAGGGUGUUAAAAUUACAUUUGUUUUUUUUAGAGAGAGAAAGUCGUAUGCUAUUGCAGCUUCGUUUAUUUUUUUUAGAAAUAACUUAGCUAGAAAAUAUGAUAAAUAAUUUAAAUUUUGAGGAAAUCAGAUAUAACUAUUCAAAUUUUUUUCUUUGCUUAGAUACGGGUCGAGUCGUUAAAAUUGCUAAGUUUCAAAUGAGAAAGUAUUAAUUUAAAUUUAUAGAUAAUACACUCUUUGAUAGUUCAGGGAAAAAAAUAAUGAAAAGAAUAAUUUAUAUUAAUUUCAACAGAUUUAUCUAUAUCCAAUUUAUAUAUAUUAUAAGAAGAGAGAGAGAGGAGACAGAGAAGAGAAGCUUAGAAUCAUUUAUUUAUAGCUAAAAAAUAAUGUUUUGCUAUCAAUUUUUAAUCAUUACACGCCUGAGUUUAGUAGUAGUUAGAUAAAGUUGAUAUAAAUACUUUUCAUAACUUUUAGUAAGUAUAAUAGUAUACGAUUAUAUAAUAUAUAUAUAUAAUAUUUAUAUAUAUAUAUAUACUAUAUUACUAUANNNNNNNNNNNNNNNNNNNNNNNNNNNNNNNNNNNNNNNNNNNNNNNNNNNNNNNNNNNNNNNNNNNNNNNNNNNNNNNNNNNNNNNNNNNNNNNNNNNNNNNNNNNNNNNNNNNNNNNNNNNNNNNNNNNNNNNNNNNNNNNNNNNNNNNNNNNNNNNNNNNNNNNNNNNNNNNNNNNNNNNNNNNNNNNNNNNNNNNNNNNNNNNNNNNNNNNNNNNNNNNNNNNNNNNNNNNNNNNNNNNNNNNNNNNNNNNNNNNNNNNNNNNNNNNNNCCUUUGAUCAUUAGGCAAAUGAUGUCGAAAAGAUUUGAAAUUUGAUUUCUAAACACUUCAAGUGGUAUAAAUCAUGUUCAACGGAGCCGAUCGUCAAUUCGGAAGCUCUAUCAUCGAAAACAACUCGAGAGUAAACAGACUCGUUUACUCUCGAGAGUAUUCUAGCUCAACUCUAUAUAUAUAUAUAGUGUAGAGCUACUAUGUUAUUUGAAGUAUAGAGAAUUUGAUGCUUCCAAUUUUUUGACCUUUAGAUCAAGAAUUGUACGAUUACGGUCCUCCCCAAGGGUUUAGUAGUAUUCCUAGGGUUGACGGGUCUUCACAGGGUAAUAGUAUUAAUUCAAAUAUUAGAAAUAAUCAAAAUGGUUGAUUUAAGAGCCAAAAAGUCAGAAGAACUAGAUUCUCUAUACUUCCAAUAGUAUAAUAACUCUACUAUAUAUAUAUAUUAUAAUAUAAAUCUAUUCCGAGUACAUAAUUAUUAAUCGACCAUCCCUAGCAUUGACAGGAAAGGUUUUGAUGGUUAGUGCCUAAAGUCUUCUAAGUUCGAACCUUACUUGUUUUACACUUACAACUAAAUUCACUUCUGAAAACAAAUGAACAAAGAAAAUAGUACGCUACCUUAAAUGUGCUUAUUCUUACUUAAAAGUACAAGACAGGGCCAACACUCAUCUUAUUGUGCUAGGACUCGAAAUUUUGUUUAUUCAUGUACUGGUCCUGCUGCUUGAAUCCCCACAUUUGAAACAUACAACUGACAUGAUGAUCAAAAUUUGACUCAUAAUCCGUUUACUGGUUAUGACUAAUAGCUCUGCUUCAUUGACACUGUAGUUGUUAGUUGGAUAUAGUCUACCUACUGUCGCUAAGCUGUCCAAUUAGUGUGUAUCAGAGGAGAAGGCAUGCUCCUCAUUCUUCUCGUGUUGUAUUGGCUUUUCAGUUGUUUUUUUUUUCUUUCUUAAUAAUUACAAUUUGACCCUAUUUAAUGUUCUUAUAACUUCAUUUUGAUACAGAUGUUGGACUACAAUGUGCCUGGAGGUUAGAGAAUUCUCUAUUUCUGAGGAAAUGAUGAAAUGCAUAUGUUUAAGCAGUCCCUGACUUGACAGAUAUGACUACUGGUAGGGAAACUAAACCAUGGACUAUCAGUGAUUGAUAGCUACAAGUUGUUAAAAGCCGGUGUUGAGGUCACUGAAGAUGAAAUCUUUCUUGGGUGUGCCCUUAAUUGGUUGGUACAUUGAAUGGGUAAAGAGCGUUUUCUUUCUUAUUGAACUCUUCUUUAGAAAAUAUGAUAUAUUUUAUAUAGUCAUCCUCAUGGUUCAAUUCUUAUCCCUUUACAACUGUAAUUUGCAGCUUCAAGCAUAUUUCCUUGUACUUGAUGAUAUUAUGGACAAUUCUCAUACAAGACGUGGUCAGCUUUAUAGCGCGAUUAUUGCUAAUGCCACUAACAAAAAACUGAUAAUGGGCACAUUGUUGAGACAGCUUUUGCAACGUGUCCGCAGUUUAUGUCUAAAAUCUUCUAACUAAAAAUCCAACCUAUAGGCCCGGCCCUAAAUAAAAGCCCAAUCUUAUUUCCUACUCCCACCCAUCCCAUUGUCAAAACCUAAUUAAAUCCAACCCCAAUUACCAAAAAAAAAAAGUAAAAAAAAACACUCCCUCUCUCCCUGCCAACAGAUCAUCAUUUCCCAAACCCCCAAUCCCUCUCCAGACCCUCAAACCUCACAUGGCGACUUACCUGCAGCUCUCCCCCGUACUGUGAUCUCCCAUUGGCGAGCUCUGACCAUUUCCCUCCCCUGCGCAUUCUCUCCUCAUCUCGUGUCGUCUCCUCUCCGCGAAAUCAUCUUCCAGUUCGUCAAGGCGGAGCUCCUCGACGACCCGCGCUUCGACUUCACCGACGAGUCGCGCAAUGAUCCGAUCGGUGUACUGCGUGCAUCCUCCCCGCAUUGCCUCGAUCUUUCGUCGAUUCGGUGUGAUCUAGGGUUUUGGUCAAAUUGGAGGGUUUAAUGUAAAUUCGCGUUGCUGGAUGCUCGAUCGUCCUUGCUGGCACAACUUUGCGUUGGUUGUGCAAUUAGUGAUCUGUAGUAGAUUGUGGUAUAAUUAAUCGGAUUCCCUUUAAUUUACUCCCCGACAAAAAAAAGAAAAGAAAGAAAAAGAAAAAGAGAAGGACGGAUUAGAUCCGGUUUGGUAGGAGGAGAUGGUGUUUAUAAAGGGACAAUGCUUUGUCUUUGCUAUGAGUUUUACAGUGCAUUUUAACUAUAAUUAUUUAAUAUAACACAUAAAUUUUUCAUUUAUAAAUCUUCUUUUACGUAUAGCUUUGUUGUGGUAACAAUCAUGUGUGAUGGAAAACGAUGCUAUACAAUAUCAUUUGAUUAAUCGAAAUUUAACAAUAGGGUCGUUAAAUUAUCAUUUUUUUUUUUAAGAGGAGAAAGUCGUAUUGCUAUUCGCCAGCUUCGGUAUAUUUUUUUAGAAAUAACUUACAGAAAUAUAAAUAACUAAAUUUUAAAUUUGAGACAUCAGUACUAACUAUCAAAUUUUUUGUCAUUUGCUCUAUGAUACUGUCGGUGUUAAAAUUGCAAGUUCAAAUGGAGAAAGUAUAUAAAUUUAAAUUUAUAAUAAUAACUCUUUGAUAAGUUCAAGGGAAAAAAAAUAAUGAAAAGAAGUAAUUUAUUAAUUAAUUUCAACUAGAUUUAUCUCUAUAGAAAUUUAUAUAUAAUAUAUAUGAGAGAGAGAGAGAGAGAGAGAGAGAAGCUAGAAUAUUUUUAUAGUAAAGAAUAAUUUUUGCUAUCAAUUUUUUUAUCAUUAGAGCCUAGAGUUAGUGGAGUUAGUAGAAAAGUUGAUAAUAAAUACUUUUCAAUACUUUUAGUAAGAAUAUGCUAAUAUAUAUAUAUAUAUAUAUAUAUAUAUAUAUAUAUAUAUAUAUAUAUAUAUAUAUAGCUAUCGGUAGUAUGAAGGUCUCUGUGCUACCAAGUUAUGGUUUUCAAAGUGACGAUCGAUUGUCUUAGACACGAUCUACGCUAUUCAAAAUAUUUAGAAGCCAAAUUUUCUAUUUUUUUUCAAUAUUAUUUAACUAGUGAUCGAAAAGCCUCAAAAUUGACAAUUUUAAUGGCCGAUAUUGUAAUGCGUUUAUAAAUUUAACAGUAUAAAACAAUUCGAAUCCGAAGAAAUUUUUAUAGAAAAUUUUUUAUACUAUUUAGAGUAAAUCAAAUCUAGCGGAGCCGAACGUCAAUUUCAAAGCCGCAUUAUUGAAAGCAAUUUAGUAGCACGAAAACCUCUGUACUACUAACAGUGUACCGGCUAGAUUCUCUCUCUCUCUCUCUCUCUCUCUCUAAUAUAUACACAACAACAUGAUAUUACUUACACUGAUGUGUAUUUCCAGAUGUGAAAGUAAACAAUCAUGUUUACUUUUAAAAAUAUUCUAACCUAAUUAUAUGUAUAUUUAGAGCAAUUAAUAUGUACAUGUCGUUUACAUUGACCAUCUCUUGCGCAUGCAGGUGACAAAAAGCUUAAUUUGUCAGUAUCCAAAAUCCGUAAUUAGUUGAACUAAGUUAUUUAAUAGUUAAUAUCUGAGAUUUCAAAUUCAAAAUUUAAUUAACCUAAUUAACUUAAUUUAUUUCUUAAAUAAAAAAAACACAGGCAUAAAAAAAAAAAAAACAAAACAAAAGAACAUGAUGUCACAAAAAAACAAAAGAAGCUACGUACUACUCCCUCGUGCACGUGUUUUUAUUUUUUUUUUAAUUUUCUUCUUGGUCUUAGCUUUAAUUUGACUGUUAAUUUUGUUUUUGUUUUUUUGUUUUCGUGGUCUAAACUUUUGACAAAUAAUUCUUGCCUUUUUCUUAGAACUUGUACUGCUGUUUUCCUACGCCCCUUCAUAUUUGCAUUUUAAUUAAUGGUUUGAAUUUUUAUAUAUUUUUUUUACCAUACACCUCUUUUGUCAUCUUUGUAAUUAGCAGUGCACAAUGACAUAUAUAUAUAUUUCCUAUUAAACCACUCUUUUGAAUAAAAAAAAUGAAAAACUAUAUAUAUAUAUUGCUCGUGCGUAUUUGGUGCUUCUGUAUAUUCGUUCACUAUAUAUCUAUACUAAUAUAUGUCGCAAUUUGCUUCGAAAGAGGUCACCCAUCGCUGAGACUACGGUUCAAUUAACUUAAUAUUUUUAUAUGUUAUUAGCUAUAACUAUUCCACAUAGCUAGAAUUAUUCUUAAAUCUUGGGAUAUCACAAUAUAUGUCAUUUUCUACGGCUUUGGUUUUUAAAUUUUUUUAAAAAAAUUCUUAUUUUUAACUAAAAGGACAGAAAAUAAUUUUUCAGCCAGAAUGUGCUACGUACGUACCAGGCAAAGAAAGAGGAAGAAGGAAAGGAAGAAGAGCAUCUUCGCGGCGGUGUCGAAACCACCACCGCUGCCACCGCCGCCGGAGAUGGCGGCCCAGGCGACGCUGGCGGUGGCGGGGGCGGCGAAGAAGAGGAAGAACACCGGCCGGAGCAGCGCGGGGAGGAGGCUCUCGCUCCCCGCGAGGCGUUGGUACAGCGUCACGAAAAGUACGAGGUAGUGGGCCAAGCCCACCGUAAACAUGCACGUCGCAAUCUCCUUCAAGUCCGUCGUCGCCGCCGCCGCUGCCGCCGCCGCCGCCAUGUUCGCGAUCACCGUCAUCUGGCUCGUCGGGUUCGCCACCGCUGACAGGCAGUAUUUCCGGCCCUUGGUGAACCACUGCCCGUACACUUUCACGUCCAGCACCAGAAUUGGGACCGCAAACGCCCACCUGCACGUGCAUAUGUUAAUUAAAAACAUGCAGGUACGUAAAAAAAAAAAGAAAAAAAAAGAUUAAAUCAUNAUAUAGUAUAAUUAAUAAUUUUAUAAUAAAAAUAAUGUAUUAUAAUAUAUAACAUAUUAUAUUUAUUUUAUUUAGUUUUAAUUCAAUUUAUAAUUUUAAUUAAGUUUGAAAUUAAGCAUUGGAAUAGCACUAUUCCACCAAAAUGGUGGAAUAGUAAAUUUCUUGCUAUUCCGGGAUAAUCGGGAAUAGCAAGGUUUGACCGGGAUAAAAUAUUCCGGUCAAAUUUCAUCUCGUUUGGCGGAAUAGCGAGGAUAACUUUCGUUAUUCCCACUUAUCCUUCAAACCAAACGGGGCUUUAAGUUUUUUGAAUAGGCCAAUACAUAUAAAUUAAUUAAAAUAAGAGUGUUAAAUAAUUUAGCUGCAUGCCAGAAAAAUUAGCCGGUAUCACAAAAGGAUAAGUAGCAAUGUGUUAUGAAUAUAAAUAUUUAAAACAUUAUUCUCUCGCAACUUAAGCUUUUUAAGCCUCACCGAACUCAAAACAAGAAUAUUUUAAAACUCCGUUACAAUUAUUGUUUUACAUUAUAUACGACAAGGAUUCUAGGAGAGAGCUCAAACUUAGAACUUUAAUUUCUUUUUUGAUAUUAUAUUAAAUAAUAUCAAAUAAUCAAUUUUUCGAAAAACUUAAAGCUGUCAGAAAAUAAUAUUUUAUUAUUUUAUAUAUGUGUUCAACAUUUAUACGCAAUUGAUCCUCUCGGACCAGCUUUUGAUGAGUUGGCAAAUUGGCUUAAUAUAAUGUGCAAGUCCAAGUUUAGAAUGUUGGGUAGUUUUUAUUCGACUAAUUCUUCUUUUUUUCUUUUUUUUUCAACAGUGAGCAUGUCACCCAAAAAGAAAAAAAAAAAAAAGAAAAAAAAGAAAAAGAAAAAAAAGAGAGAGAAAAUAAAAAGGGUAAAAGUGGGUACGUAUGCGUGGACUCUUUGGCCAUUUUCUUGGUACUACGAUCAACGCCGUAGCAAUAAAUAUUAACAAAAGGAGAGCAAACCCUUUUAUUAUUCAUUAAUUCCAACUUGAAUUAAUCCACGUGUUCUCCAGAAGCGUUCAGAGGUGUUAAUGGCGAGGACGAGAUGGUCCUAAGAAGAUAGAUAACAAUAUUUUUGGGUAUGAAAAGUGAAAAAUAAGUGCAAUUAAUUAACUAAUCUUUGUUGAAUAUAUAAAUUAGAAAUAUUAUCUUUGACCGUUUAAGUUUUUAAACCAGAACAACAAUUGUUUUUACAUAAUUUAAGCAUAUAUUCGAGUAGGCAGUCAUGAGUAAAAAUCUCUCCGAGUUUAUUUUCCAGAAAUGGGUGACCAAAGAAAAAAUAUUUUAUAUAUAAAUUAGACACAUCAGUUAUGACAGUUUAACGUUUUGAGAAAAUUAAUUAUUCAUAUAAUUAACAUUCUUUUAAGAUUAAGAUCAUGAUUACUAAAAAUAGAUAGGAAAGAAAAAAAAAUUAGGCACAUAUUAGAAUAGCUCUUUCCUAAAGCCAUGAAGUUUCAUAAGGCACACAUCAUUAUUGUGUUGUGUUUAAAAUAUUUCUCACAAAUGUGUACAUGGAAAAACGCCAAAUAUUUAGUGUAGAGAUCGUAUAUAUAUGAGUCAAUUAUUUGACAAGAUGCAUGCUAUAUAUAUUCUAAUUAGAGUGUACUUUGUUCACACAAAUAGUUGGUCACUUUGUUCACAGUUUAUCAAAAAUUUUUUAGGACAAACUUUAAAUACCUGGUUUCGUAUUUCGCACUUUAAUAACUAUAUGAUUUAAAGUGUAUCAUGUAGUACCAUGUGUGAUUUUAUUUUUCUUUUUUUAUUCAGGCUCUUGUUAACUGUUUUGUUAAUUCAUAUACAAAAUUCUAGAUAUCCAUCUAGCUUUAUUGAAUAUUCACUUUAGUUGACUUUUAGUGUUUAACUUUGGUUACUGAUUCUUAACAAGAAAAAAAAUAGUGAAAGGAGAGAAUCAUAAAAUAUAUAGAAAAAUGAAACCACGGGGUAGCUAAGAUACACUUAAACAAAAAUUCUAUAAAUUGUACUGAUGUUUUCCCAAAUUUUAUAUUCUACUUUUUUGUCUAGAAUUUACAUUAUGUUCGUUUAGAAAAAUUUCUACAUAUAAUCUAAUUGGAAUGGAUUUGAAAUCUUUUGGUUUGGUACAUAUAAUUACAUGAUGUGGAUAAAAAUUGUAUAGUUAUUUGAUUUGAUGAAAAAAUAUAUGUUAUAAAUAGCUGAUUUACUUCAAUUCAGUGCAGUCAAAGAUUAAAUGUAAAGUUUUACUUUUUAUUGGUUAAAAUGUAGAAUGAUAAACAAGUAUUAGCAAGACCUUUGUGACUAACUAAUAAUAAGUCAUUAUAUAUUUGAUAAAGCGAUAAAAUUGUAUUAUUACCGCCCCUGAACUUUUGUGCGAAGUUUCACUGUACCCUCUCUGAAUUUCUUUGCUAAAAUGGACAUGCAUGCUAACCGCCCUAAACUCUAAUAUUUCGUUCAUGUGUACCCCCUUCCAUCAGUUGUCCGUCAAGCUCCGUAACGGAAACUGACGAUAGGAAUAAAUACGAUAUGAUAAUAUUAGAGUUUAGGUUUUAGAUGUCUAUUUUAGAGUCUGAGGGUUAAGUGAAACUUGCGCCAAAAAUUCAGAAGGUAACCAUACAAUUUACCUCAAAUUCUUACUAUAAAUUAUUUUUUAUAUUUUAUAUUAAUAAAUUCUAAUUGGCUAAAAUGAAUACAAAUAUUUAUUAAGUGUAUGUUAUAGAACAAUCUUCUCAAGAUAAAAGGGACAAAGGAGUACACAGAUAAAUUACUGAGAAUAAAAUCUCUAUAAUCCGAAGUGAGACACCCUGAUUAUAAAUCAACCAUAUAGCGAGUACAUACAGGAUACUAGAGUGCUGCGAGCAAUGCGUAGGUAGUUAGUAUCGCUCUUCUUGUUCUUUAGCACUCUAUAUUCAUUUCUUUCACUUUUAUUUUAGUUACAUGAAAAUAUAGGAUAAAACUAUGGUAUGAUUUAUUUUUACGAUAAAAAAAUAUAUAAAUUCAAAAUCAAGUAUAUCAUUAAUUUGAGGAUUAGUUUAGUCAAUUCAUAAGUAACAUAUUAUAAUGAAGAUAAUUGUUAUAGUCAGGGAGUCGCCGCUACGGAUAAAUUGUACUACAUUCUCUUGAACUAUGUAAUGAGUCAAUUAUUUAUUAGUGAACAGUGGCAAUUUACCAUUUGAUAUUAUCAAUAGGAUUUGAUAAAUUUUUAUAAGUGAACAAAACAAUAUUAUGGCCAAACUUAUAAAUUCUGUAGCAGCAACGACUAUAUGUAAAAUUUUCAUCGAAUUAUACUAUUGCUAAAAAUAUUUUUUCCAAUAAAAAGUUAAGGAAUUUUGACUAGGCUGCUUACUGGCCUUAUUUGACAAAUGUUGAAAAUUUAGCAGCGAAUAGUUAGCCACAGAGAUGAAAGCCGGUUUUUUUUGAGGGCGAAUAAGUUUUGCCAGUAUCUUUUACACCCGCGAUUUAACUGUACGCACAACGCAAAAAAUUUCGCUCAAAAAAGCGGGGCGAUUAUUAUGUUUUGUGGCUUAUGUUUAGCACAAAAAAAAUUCGAGUUUCUUGUAAGUGACACAACUAUUGUUGUUUGAAAAUAUUUUCCCACAAAUGUGUACAAGGGUAGAGCCCAAAUAUGUUAAUUAGGAGACCGAUGUAAUGACAUCAAAUUAUUUUGUCAUAGAUGCAUGCAUUAUUUAAUAUAUGAUCCUAUGGGCGCAACCUGUAGUACAUGUACUUGUUCAUACAGAAUAUCAUAAAUAUACUAUGAUAGGUAAAUAGCUCCCUAUUAUUAAUUGCAAUAAUAAUUCACGGUUAAAUUUAUUUAACCCUGCCUUUGAUCUUUAUUAACGUAUUCUUAACUUUGCUAAUCUGCAGUUUGAAAAAAAAAAUUAUUUCACUAUUCUAUGAUUAAUUAGGGCUACAUCCAGCAAUCUCACUGUCGCAACAGCUAGCUAAUUUAACGUUCGCUUAAAUAAGUCUAGAAUCAGCUGCUCAUUUAGUAAUCGAGCUAAAUCUGAGCCUAAAUUUUUCCUAGCUCGAAAUCCCUAACAAGUCGAGGCACAACUAGUUCAGCUUGCUCAUCGCUCGCUUCGAUAUAGGUCGCAAUAACAUAAUAAAGAAAUUUCUACCAUUUAGAUUUAGAUCAGCCCAAUGUAAUAGAUUUACAUGUUGUGAGUUUCAAUUAUUAGAUUAAGAUUCUUGCAACUUUUCACCCAAUAGUAGAGGCCUGCAGAAUCUAACUUGCAUUCGCCAAACGGAGCUGCGCUAGCUCGCUUGAUUUUCAGCUGAAUUUUCAUGAGUGCAAUCAUGUUCGGCUCUUUUUUAUAAAUUAACGAGCGAAUACCAGUCGGGCUCAUUUGCUCGUGGUUUAGGCUCAUUGAGCAGCCAAUCCAACGCAUUUGAAAUGAACUUCCUCCUCAGGAGGACAGGUUGCAUGUUUCAGGUAGAUCUAAUGUAGGUGCUAAAAAUCUAUUGACCUCAUCAUCAUGUGUUCCAAGAACCAUCCAAGCUCAUCUUUUCUCGAUAAUCCCAUGCCCCGAAGUGGGGUAUCCAAAGCAUUUCUCUUCUAAAAUACAUGCACAUUUAAUAUUUGUUAGUUUCAAAUCAUACACACUUAAUUUUGAGUAUACGUACUCCAUUUAACGACAAUCGUUUUAAUUAAUAAAAUUUCUUAAAUCAAAUAAAGAACGAUAAAAGCAAAAGGAAUAGCAAACUACUUCGAAAAUUAAAAUUCAAAAAAAAAUUCAAUAAUUAAUUAUUUAAUUCUUCUUCUAGAAAUAAAGCGCAAUAAACGCACCUAUCUCUCUAGCCAGUUUGUAUCCUUUGACUUUGACUUGGACUUUGACUUGUUUUUGAGCACAAAAUGCAUUUUUAAGACGUGUAAUUGUUAUUAGUCAAGGAUGCAUGCAUUUGCGCAUGCACAUUUCAAGAAUAAUUAAAUGUGGGGGUACGUAAUAAUGCAAAAUAGCUUAUGUUGGUGCCGCGUCGCAUUUUGUCUCUCUUUGAUUUGGUUUUCACCAAUUAGCUCCCAAGUGGAAAAAAAGAUAUUAUAAACUUUAUAACAAACAAAUUAAAUUUGUUGAAUAUGGUCAUGAUUAAUAGUUAAUUAUAAUAUAAGAAUUAAUGAUCGAACCAAUAAAUAAGAGUAAAAUUGAGUUCUGUAAUCGCAAAAACGCUCCAUUAAACUAUAUAUAUAUAUAUAUAUAUAUAUAUAUGUAUAUCUGUUUAACAAAAAUACAUAUUAUCUUAAACCAAUCAUAUGUAGAGAUCCCCUCAAGCUAUUUUGUAAAUGUUUAAUUUGUCAUUCCCCAUUUAAAUAAAUAUAUUGUAUUUAAUUUUAUUUCAUCUUAAAAAAUCCAUGUAGUAAACUAUUUUUUUUUUUCGCAAACAAUAGGGAUAGUUGAAAUGAGGUUAUAGAAUGUAUCAAAUGUUUAUUAUACCGCCCUAUGAUUUGCAACACAAAUAAUAUUCAGUAACCUAUUUUAUAGUAGGUAUUUAGUGAUAACAAAUAAAACUCACAUGCGGAAAUUUAAGAACACAUGUUUAAACCAUUAGCAGAUAAACUGAAAAAGCGCUAAAUCAAGACCGAGCAACCAAAUUAUCAUCUUUCGGGCGUUAAAUUGCUCAUUUGGUUCUAUAUAUAUAGUCGUGGGAUACUUCUGAUACAUUAAAGUCACUUUGUGCUGUUAAGUUUUCCAAAUAUGAUUUACCCCCUUUAACGCAUUUUAUCCGUUAGACAUAUACCAUUCACAACGACCCACUCAACCAUAAGGAUGCCACUCAACUACACAGGGACCACUACACUGUCAAAGCGACACAACAAUUAUUCGACCUACAAAAAAUAUGAAAGCACCAACUUACUUAUGCCCUUCAAAUGUAAUAGUAGCUCUCACUAUCUAUCUAUAGUAUAUAUAUAAGAGAGAGAGAGAUGACGUCCGACUAUGUGCUUGUAAAGCACCAAACACUUGUGCUUGUAGAUUUUUUAACCGUUUAAGAUCAGCCUGUUGACUAUUUACACACUGUUAGAUAUAUCUAUUCAAUAACUCACCACAUCAACCCUAGAGGCGCGCCAUCAUUCUAACACAAUUUCCAUAAUUCACAGGGCUGAAAUUACGAGCACCAAAUCCGAUUAACUUUCACAAGCAAUAGGAGCUUCAAUUAUAUAUAUUAUUAUAUAUAUAUAUAUAUAUAUAUAUAUAUAUAUAUAUAUAUAUAUAUAUAUAUAUAUAUAAAGUUGGACUGGGCUACUAUUAGUAGCAAAAUCCCAUUGUUGCUACCAGUUUUUUAGCCUUUGGAUCAACUCUUUUCAUUAUUUCUAACCAUUGGAUUAAAUACUAUAACCCAGUGGGGACCACUCAACCCUAGGGGGACCACUCAACUCUAACCGACUAAUAUCAUCCUGACCCUACAAUUUUUCAUCCAAGGGUUAAAAAUUUGAUAGCAAAAAAAACAUUUUACUAUUAAUAGUAUUCCAGUCUAAUUCUAUAUAUAUAUAUAUAUAUAUGAUGUUCAAUUAAUGUAAUUAAUUUUUAGAGUAGAUUAAUAAUUUUUUCGUUUUGUCAAGUAAUAAUUGAUUCGUUAUGUAUUAUCUCUUUUCGUUCUUUUGCUUAUUGGCUCGCAACGACUUAGGCCUGUGUCGAGUAAUUCUUUCAUCUCAUUCUUUUUCUACUUUUUAUCUUCUCCUCCUCUUUUUGUUAUGCUUUCUUUUUCUCUUCUCCUUUUAUUCUUUUUCUUCUUCGUUUUUAUUCUUUUUCUUCAAUUUUUUUCUUCUUCUAAUUCAUUUUAUUCAUUUUCUCAAUUUCUCUUCUUCUCGAAAGUAUCAUAUUCCGCUUCCUCACAUUUUCUUCUUCUUUCUUUCCCCUUCUUUUUCCAUUAUUCAUCAUCAUCUUCUUCUACUUCUUGAAGAUAUUGGCAGCUCAAAUGUUGGAUUUCGUCAGAAACAAUGGAAUCAGAAACAGUAGGGACCGAAUUAAAAUAGUCUAAAGAUUGGUUAAAAAAGGUUCAGGAACAAUGGUGAAAUUAACCUUAAUAUUCAUAAAGUUACUUUUAUUAUAUAUAUAUAUAUAUAUAUAUAUAUAUAUAUAUAUAUAUAUAUAUUAGAUUUGUUGAGAUCUGGUCAAAACCGGUCAGUAAAUAAUGGUCAAUUCAACGAAUAUCUCAACCAAUAAUAAAAUCAACUUUGGUAAUCGCACCACCUGAGGAAUGACACUAGUACACUUUUAUAUUUUUAUUUUCUUUUGUCAAAAAAAGAUAUUUCUUAAUUUUCAUCAAAAAUCAUAUUUUUAAGUUUCAAUUUGAGUUUGAAUUUGUAGUCAUAAUCAGGUAGGUAAUUGCACUACUUGUUGAUCUCACGGCAGCAGCAAUAAGUAGUAUGGAUGUUCUCAUUAGCAACUUUGAAUAUUCUUGCUAGUUAUUGCAACUUUGAACAUUCUUGCUAGUUAUUUUGAUUCGCUUUUGUGGAGUUGGGGUUUUCUUUCUUUGCUUUUGAAGCGAGCAUUUGUGGACAAUGGAAAAGUGCUUCUGGGAGCCAUCACUACUACCACUAGAAGCAAUCUAGUAUGUUUCUAGACAUAAAAGAGUGUGCUUUUACUUGAUUGCCGUUUCAGACGAUGUGGCAUUUAAAUUCAUAAUUAAUAAAUAUUGCUAAAUAAAAGUAAAAUUGUAGGGUGUUGGCGCCAUAAAAAUCGUGCCACGUGGUAAGUCGGCCUAGACCACAUGGAGGGCUUCCAAAGCCAAACGUAGUGGUACCACAUGGAGGGCUUCCAAAGCCAAACGUAGUGGUAUGCCAGGAUCUUGGAAGAAGGCAUCCAAAGCCAAAAAUUGGUUGGGCGAGAUGCGGUUGAGAUCGACCAGGAGUGGCCCGCAGAAAUAGGGACAUGGCGGAGACGAAUCCUGUACUAGAGAAUAACUGAAUAACGACAGGCGAGACUAUAAAAUAAACAAAAUAUACCUGCCAAAAAAGAUUUUUUUUCCUGCGAACAAGAAAACCAUUCUAUUCUAGCAUUUUUUCACUUUCUAGGAAUAGUUUACUUGUAAUCUUCACUUCUCCUGUAUUUCCUAUUUUCAUAGGAGUAGUUUGUUAAUCUGGAUUUUCCUAUUUAGGUAGCAGAUUUUAUUAUAUUUCUGAGUGGGACUCAUUACUUGUAUAACUUCUACUUACCAAAAUAUAUCAAAGUCACUCGGCUCAUUCUAGCCGAAUUGAUAAUAACAUAGAGCGUACGAACUCGACUGAGCAGAUCUCUCAUCAGCCGAUCGCUUGAGUCUGUUUGGGCCGUAUUUCGAGGGUCACUAGCAGGAGCCAUCUCAUCGCUCGACUUAUUUUCCGAAGCUGAGUUUGACCAGGUCAAUAGUCCAGAAAUUCGGCUCCCAACACAAAGUAAAAUUAAGUGCAACUUUUUGAAUCAUGGGACGGUAAAGCAAAAAUAAUAUUAAACCGCAGGGGAGGCAACAUAAUCAGGUAUUCCACUACUUAGUGAUCUCACAGGAGCAGCAAUUAAGUACUAUAUAUGUUCUCAUUAACAACUUUGAAUAUUGAUACUUGUUAUUUUGAUUCACUUUGUAGAGUUGGGCUUUUCUUUGGUUGCUUUGUAUGUAGCAUCUCUGGACAAUGGAAAAGUGCUUUUACUUCCAUGUCGUUGUUACAGACAAUGUAGCAAUUAAACUCAUGAUAAACACUAUUACAGAGUAAAACUAAGUACAACUUUUUGAGCUAUGGGACAAUAAGUGAAAUGCACAACAAAUUGAUGUGUACCUUUUCUUUUGGAUUCAUACCUUCUCAAUUUUUUCUUUUUAAAUCUUUAUUUGGAGUCAUAAAGUGUGCUUUUACUUCCUUUUUUUUUUUAUACUAUAGCCACUUAAACCUACAAACUAGAAGCGAUGGGAGUUAAGAGGUUUAUUUCAGAAUAGUCUAGGGUUGAUGGGGUUUAUACACCUUUCUCUAAUGCGACUAGUACUGGAGGAGCAAUACUAUUCAUACGUACACUAGCUCCCCGUUUGGAUUGGGGAUAAGGGGUGGAAUAACUCCUUAUCCCCCUUUAUACCCAUAAAUGCUAAUUUUUUACCCGAAAAUAGUAGUUGUUGGGUACCUGAAAUAAGCUGGUAUAACUAUCCCCACCAAUACUUCCAUUUUCUAUAUAUAACUUCCUACUAUUUUUCUUAUUCCAUAUUAUCUAUCCAAACGCUAUUUUUCUUAUCCUCGGAAAUAACCUAAUUUUCAUCCAAAUGCUAUUUUUUUAAUCCCCAUACUUGUAUCUAUUCCUGUAAUAGCUAGUUCUUCCUUAUACCCAAACCAAACGAUACCUUAACAAAAGGAAUACAUAUCAUACAGUUCAUUCAUCUAAAGAAUGUGAUUUUUUUUAUUUGUCACAACAUGUGACAGAUAAAAAAAAUCUUAUCAAUUAAAUAAAUGGCUAUAAAUCAUACACUCUCGAAUGGGGUGUAUGAUUAGCUUUUUCCUUCACGAUAAUAUUAAGGAUUAAUUGCACAAUUAGUCCACAACCUUCUCGAUUUUUCAAUUGAAUCUCGAACUUUCUUUUUCUUAAUCAAUUAAUUAGCGUUCAACCUUCAGAUUUCAUUUCAGUUAUAUUCUUGUCGUCCAUGCUUCCAUUAUCUUUAACGGGGUUGAUAAGCGGUUGUGUUGCAUGUUAUGAUUUAGAUUUAUAAUUAAAUUCUUAGAUUGUGACAUCUCAGUAGUCCUAAAUCGGAUAGAAAUGAGAUUAUAAUUGCGUAUAUAAGAGAUUAUAGACAUUAGUAAUAAUAAUUGGGUUCAAGUAUUUUGGGUCAGUGGUUUGAAUCCAACGAGUUAUUAUUACUACUGGUCUGAAUUGUUACAUUUGGUAUCAGAGGUAAUCACCAACUGGAAGUAUGAAAUGAGUCUCGGCUUAAUCAAAGUCAGAUGACAGGCUAAAUCAGGAUCAAGAAACGACAGACUAAACCAGAAUUGGAAUGAUAAGUCUAGCAAGACAAAUCUAACAUCGUCUGAUGAUUUCGGGCCGUGAGCUAUUGCUUUGAGUGUGUUGCACGCCCAAGUUUGUCAUGGGUGAUCUUUACAGCCAAUGCCAUGGUGGUCAGUUAUGGGUUAGAGAAACUUGCUCAAAAGUUUAGUCCAAAUUGGUGCUCGCAGAAGAGAGAAGUCUUCUUGGUUUAUACAUCACUAGUUAAGCCAUCUAGUAUGCUUCUAGACUUAAAAAGAGUGUGUGGGGCGACUUUGUGCAACUUUUUGAAUCAUAAGACGAUAAAGUGAAAUGCACUAAAUCACAUAGGGGAAAAAUUGAUGUUUAUUGCUUUUUCUGGAUUCAGACCUUCUCAACUUUUUUUCCUUUUUUAGAUUUUUAUACUUAUUAAAUUAAAUAUUUUAUUAAAUUUAAUAAUUUAAUUUCUUAGUAAUUAAUUACUAGUUAACCUAGUUUUGUUUACUAAAAAUUGAUCAGAACCAUUAAAUUUAGUGAAAUUAUCAAUGAAUUUAAUAGAAUUUCCUCUUAUUUUACACUAUAUAUACCACGUAAUCUGCAAAAACUAGUAGCGAUGGGAGUCUCAAUCAAAAAACAAAAUGUUGAGGGAGUCAUUUUAGAAUAGCCUAUAGUUGUUGGGGUUUCUACCCAUUUUUACCAUAAUAUAGUACUAAAGAUUAAUUACACCAUUGGUCAAAAACCUUUUCGAUUUUUCAAUUAGGUCCCUAACUUUCUUUCUUAAUUAAUCAAGUUUCCAACCUUCAGAAUUUAUUUCAAUUAGAUCUCUGUCGUCCAUAACUCUAUUAUCUUUAAUCGGGAUUGAUAAGUGGUUAUGUAUAAUACCAGGAUUUGGUUACAUCAUUUAUAGUUAAAUCCUAGUUUGAAAAAAAUAAAUAUUAAAAAUAUUAAAAAUAAAUCGAGUGUGAUUCAAAUAUAAAUUAGAGUAGAAUUCUUAAAAGAGGCUAGGAUUAGGAUAGCUUUUGAUACAAGCUAUAUAUAUAUAUAUAUAUAUAUAGAAAGAGAGAGAGAGAGAGAGCUAGGCUGGUAUACUAUCGGUAGUAUGGAGGCCUCCGUGCUAUCAAGUUGUUUUCAGUGAUGCGGCUUCCAAAUCAACGAUCGACUCCAUUAGAUUUGAUCUACACUAUUAAAAGCAAUUGGAAACUAAAUUUUGUAAUUUUUUAACAUCAUUUGACUAGUGAUUAAAAGGUCUCAAAAUUAACAAUUUUAAUGGUAGAUAUGAUGUGUUUGUGAAUUUAACGGUGUAAAACAAUUCAAAUCUGAUAAAAUUUUUAUAGAAAAUUCUCUUCACUAUUUAGAGUAAAAUUAGUACCUCUGAUUUUAAAUUCAAGUCUUUUAUCAUCAUUUUUAUGAGAUUUUUAUUUUCAGCCAUUCAUUUUUAGACUACUCGUUCGAUAGGUAAAUAACACCAAAAAAUUAUAAAAUUUAGGCUCCAGAUGCUUUUAAUGGUGUAGAUCAAGUCUAACGGAGCCGAUCGUCGAUUUGGAAGCCGUAUCAUUGAAAACAACUUGAUAGCAUAGAGGCCUCCGUAUUACCGAUAGUAUACCAACCUAGCGCUCUCUCUCUCUCUCUCUCUCUCUCUCUCUCCCUCUCUCUCUCUCUCUCUCUCUCUCUCUCUCUCUCUCUCUCUAUAUAUAUAUAUAUAUAUAUAUAUAUAGAAUUAGGCUACUAUGCUAUCUAUAGUACCGGUGCUCCGGUACUAUAGUUUUACUCUCUCUCUCUCUCUCUCUCUCUCUCUCUCUCUCUCUCUCUCUCUCUCUCUCUCUCUCUCUCUCNNNNNNNNNNNNNNNNNNNNNNNNNNNNNNNNNNNNNNNNNNNNNNNNNNNNNNNNNNNNNNNNNNNNNNNNNNNNNNNNNNNNNNNNNNNNNNNNNNNNCGCCAAAUCUGUGGUUCUACGGAGGAUCAUGGGUACCGUACCUCUCUUUGCAUCCUAUCUGCAAUGUGUAUGGGAAGACGAAAUACAUGAAAAAUUCAGAAUCAUCAAAACAAGGACGAUCUAAGAAGGCUAGUAAUUAAAAUGAGCAAACAGAUUUGAUUUCGGUUCUUGAAUGUGUUGACUAUCCAAUUUGUAAGUCUCAACUGUCGGGUCGUUGGCGCUAACCAUUAAUCCCAAAAGCUUGAACUGCUAGAAAUACGCAACAAAUUCACUUAAAGCGUACAGAAACAACGCCCACGGGUCUCGAUUGUGACAAGGCCUACCUGGCCUCACGCCACUUCGAAUAUGACUCGGCCCAAUCCAGCCUCACGCCAUUUCGAACAUGACUCGGCCGACAUGGCCUCCCGCCAUAGGGCAGGAUGCUGGCCCAUUUAAGCCAACAAUCCCCCCUCCAGCACCUACACAUAUUUGCAGCAUGCAGGAAUCGAACCCGUGACCUCUGGCUCUGAUACCACUUAUCGGAUCGUUAGCGCUAACUGGGAGAAGGGCCAAAAUACAACGAGACAUUUCAUUACAUCUUGAAUAGGUAAAAGAGCGAAACGGAAUAAAAUGUUGUUGCCAAUGCAUUUGAAAGAAGGAAAUUUACUAAAAUGAGCAAACUUGUGUAAAUCUAAAUUCGCAGCACCUUUGCUGCUUAUUCGGCAAUGAAGAAAAUCACACUCUUCUACUACUCGAAUUAAGUAUAUUCAUAUCAAUAUUCCCCAGCUCCGAGACACUACCGUGGCUCGAAUUCCGAAAUGGUUACGGUGUUCACCGAUGCUGCACGGGUCGCCUUCUGUUGCAGCCCGCCGGAUGCAUCGGUCUCGAUCUCCUCUGUGUUUUCUGCAGUUGAGCUGUGCCGGAUGACGAAAGCGGGGGUCGACGGGGCGGGGAGGGUGACGGAGUGGCUGCUGAGCAUGAGCACGAUGGACCCCAUGCUCGGCCGGUCCGACGGGUCCUCCUGGACGCACAACAGCCCAAUGUGGAUGCAUCUCAGCACGUCCUGCGACCGGCACUGCCCUGUGAGGCUCGGGUCGAGCACCUCGUGCGCAGUCCCUUCGGUCCAGUGCUUCCACACCUAUUUAAGGGAGGGUUACAGAAAAACUGUUAUUCUCUAAAAGCUUAAACUAGUAAGCAACGGUGCAUAAAUAUUUUUAUAUUUAACACAAUAUACUGUAUCUCAUCCAUCUAGUAAGGUAUAGGCAAUGCUUACAUAUGAUAGAAGGCUUUCCGAAGGGAUAGAUUCUUGAGGGCGAGCAUUUCUUUGUCCAGUCACAAUCUCCAAAACCAACACUCCAUAAGCAAAGACAUCUGACUUCGUUGAGAAGUGUCCAUGAAUUACAUACUCUGGUGGCAUGUAUCCGCUACAAUUAAAAACCAAGUUUUAAAUUUUAAACAUUUUUUUUUAGCUCGAAAGAAAAGUUUCAACAUUAUAUGAAUAUCUCCUUGAGACAGAAAUUAUACUGAACCUUUUUCCCGCAAGAAAAGUUUUGGGUGUAGAAUGUGCUUACUAUGUUCCUGCAAUCCGACUCGUGUUUCCUUCGCUCGCGUCGACAUCGAAGAGCUUUGCGAGACCAAAAUCGGAGAUUUUAGGGGUCAUAAAAGCAUCCAACAAGAUGUUACUCGCUUUCAGAUCGCGAUGAACGAUCUUUAGCCUCGAAUCUUCAUGGAGAUAGAGAAGACCUCGACUAAUCCCUUCGAUGAUCUUGUACCGUGUUCCCCAAUCUAAUUGUUCGCGCCUCGCAGGAACUGCAUCAUUUGAGUAAAAUAGUGUCACAUAUAUGACAUUUUUCUAGUUGAUCAGUACAGUUAAUAAGAACAUUUUCAAUCAUACAAAUAAUAUCAAAGCAGGUAAUCUAUUUUAGAAGCACAAAUGACUUGUGACAAAUGUAUCAGAGUGACAAGAACCAGCAAAAGAGCACUUCUAUUUUUCUCUUCUAUUUAAAUCAAAUGGCAAGAUUAAUAAGCAACCAUGUGAUGUUCCAUACCAAAGAGAAACUUAUCAAGGCUUGUGUUGGGGAGGUACUCAUAAACAAGAAGCCUUUCUUGCUCUUCUAUGCAGCAACCAAUUAGCCUCACCAGAUUCUUGUGCUGAAGCUUCGCCACAAGCACCACCUCAUUUUUCAGCUCAUCAAGCCCCUGUGCUGAGCUCACUGAGAGCCUCUUCACUGCUAUUUCUUGCCCAUCUUGCAAUAUCCCCUGUUGUCAUUGUUACAUGCAUACAGAAGAUAAAAAUUGUUUUUAUUGUAUUAUUAUAAGUUUUUAGAAACAAACGAUCAUAAGUCGGUCAGAAAGUCUCGAGGUUGGAUAUGGAAAAAGAAUGUAGGAUACAAAAUAUUAAAAUAAUGCUACUAAAACUUUCUAAUGCUAGUAAUUCUUAACAUGAAACAUUUAAGAAACGAAAGGAAACUGAUACAUAAGCUAAAUAUAUUGUCUUUUCGCAGGUCAUGUAGUUAACUUGGAGCAGUUAAUUACAAGAGAUUUCACCUUAUACACUGGUCCAAAUCCACCUUCUCCUAACUUAUUUUCUUCAGAGAAGUUGUUUGUGGCGGCUUUUAUCGUGGCCAAAUCGAGCAACAGAGAUUCCACGCUUAUAAUUUCCUGCUCAUCUCCUCCGUCUGCGUCACGAAGAGUAGGAACUCAGGACACAAACUAACGAAUAUUUUUGCUCAUUUCUAUGUGUGUUGAGAUAAAUGGAGUUAAUUAGUGUGUGGAACUUACGGAGCAAAGGAUCUUUAGCUUGUUUUCUUUGUUUCCUUUGGCAGAGAUAGAUAACAAAGAGGAGCAACAACGCAGCAGCAACCACCGAAAUGGUAACAAUAAUAAGUGUCUUUGUAGUUCCACUAAUUCCUGCUCCAAGAGCAAGUAAUCCUACUUAGUUUAAUUUUGAAAUCAAACUAAAUCAAAUCGUAACGUGUAAUAUCAAAUCGAGUUUCAAAUUAUCAAUAAGACGUAUCAAGCGAAAUGAAUCAGUUUGUUGGGUAACUAACAGCCCUAAAAAGUUUUUAACGUAAUUAUUUAUCUCUUUUAGAAAACUAAUAUUAUUGAAAAUACUCUUUAAUGUCUUAAGUUGUCUUUACAAAUAGGGAAAACUUCAAAAACCCCCCUUGUGGUUUCAAUUUUUUUCACUUUAGUACCCUGUGGUUUAAAAUGUAUCAAGUUAGUACCUUGUGGUUUCUCACUUUAUCACUUUAGUACCCUGUGGUUUAAAGUGUAUCAAGUUAGUACCCUAUGGUUUUGCAUUUUAUCACUUUAGUACCCUGUGGUUUUGAUUUUGUAUCAAAUUAGUACCCUGUGGUUUUUUAAACUAUAGGNUGGUUUCUCACUUUAUCACUUUAGUACCCUGUGGUUUAAAGUGUAUCAAGUUAGUACCCUAUGGUUUUGCAUUUUAUCACUUUAGUACCCUGUGGUUUUGAUUUUGUAUCAAAUUAGUACCCUGUGGUUUUUUAAACUAUAGGGUACUAAAGUGAUAAAGUGUGAAACCACAGGGUACUGAAGUAAUAAAGUGCAAAACCACAGGGUACUAACUUGAUACACUUUAAACCACAGGGUACUAAAGUGAUAAAGUGAGAAACCACAGGGUACUAACUUGAUACACUUUAAACCACAGGGUACUAAAAUGAAAAAGUACGAAACCACAGGGUACUAACUUGAUACACUUUAAACCACAGGGUACUAAAAUGAAAAAGUGUGAAACCACAGAGGGGGUUUUUAAGUUUUCCCUUACAAAUAUACUCUUAUACCAUCAGCAAUUUUUCUUAUUUGUCUUUAAAUUAUGGACAAAAAAAGUAUUUUAAUUUUUUACCUUCUCAAAUAUAUUCUUCCACUACAACAAAAUUAGGUUAUAGGGACACAUGUUUGGGACACUUUUGAGUAAGUGUCCCAUUUAUGCUAAAACUUAAAAAACCAUCUACUAAUGCCUAAAUACAAAACCCAAUCCAAUAAAAAAUAAAAGAUUACUCUACUCAACCCACCACACCCAGUCCAUUUGGCCCGAUUACAAACAGAAAAAAAAAAAGAAGAAAAAUCAAUUAUCAUAUUUUCUUCUCUCUUCACUCAAUCCACUGAAAUUCUAGACGAAGAGUCAUUCCUGUCGUCCUCCUCCGCCACCGCAGCCAACGAGAUAGAGUUUCGGCGGUUGCUAAAUGCUUAAAUAAGUUAUUGGUAAAUUAGCAGCACUCUUUUAGGUUAUAGCGACACUUUUUAACUGUCACUAUAUACCUAGCGACCCCACAUAUAGCAACACUUUUUAAAAGUGUCGGUAAUUUUAGCUAGCAGCACUUUUUUGACUUGUACCUACAUUUAAAAGUGUCGCUAUAGACCGUUUUUGUUGUAGUGUUUUGUCAUUAUCAACUUUCUUAUUUGCCUUAAGUAAGGGAUAAAAAAGGUAUUUUGACUUCUUUCUAACUCUAGAAAAUAUUUAGUCUGAAUUAAUCGGAGAUGAUUUAACGGAUAUUAACAGCGGAGUUAUUUUUAAAUAACGAAAAAAUAUAUGAGGAAUAUAGUAAAGGUAUAUGAGAUAUUUAUCCCUAUUAUUUAUGUAGGAGUGUAGUAAUCCACUCGAUCCGACGGGUAAUAAUUAAAGAAAAAAUAAAAAACGGCACAAAGGAAGAGGAAAUAACGAUAAAAGAAGCGACGAUAAGGGGUGGGAUUUAUCUUACUGAUGAAGGCAGGUAAUAGCUAAAGGAAGAUGAAGAGGAACAGUUCGACCCAUUGCAGAGGUGUGAUCUGAUUCGAUUCAAGCAAAAAAUAGAGAAGAACCCGGCUUGGUUCAACCAAACAAAGAAAAACUUAUAUGAAGGACAUGAGCCGAUUCAGUCGAGCCCACACUCAACAAUGAUUGGUUUAGUCCAAACAGAGAAAAAGAAAAAUUUCAAUCCGGUUCAUUUAAAGAGAAGACAGAAAUAUAUGAAAGACUUGAGCCAGUUCAGAGUGAAGCUUGCACACACACCAACAAUACAAAAAAAAUUACCAUGUGGUAAAUUUAAUAAAAGCAAUAUGUAGAUAUAGUUAGAUACGUAUAGAUAUGUCCAGUUUGUUCACAUUUAUUCUUAAAAAAAAAAAAAAAAAAUUAAAACACCAAGAGGAAGUCUAUUGUUUACUUUCUAGGAGAAACUUCAAAUACCAUCCAUGUGGUUUCGCAUUUUUUUACUCUAUUAUUUUGUAAUUUAAAAUGUAUCAAGUUAUAUCCUAUGAUUUUAAUUUUAUCUUUUUAUCAGUUUUUCCGUUAAUAUUUUAUUAAAUUAUAUACAAAAAAAUUUAGAUACUUCACCUAGAUUUAUCGAAUAUUUACUUUAGUAAUCUUUAGUUUUAACUUUGUCACUAUUUAACAAAAAAAUUAAACAAAAUCUAUAAUAAAAAAUUAAAAAUAAAACUAUGUAGUAAUAAAUUGAUAUAUUUUAAAUUAUAGAAUACUAAAUUCAAAAAAAUAUAAAAUCACACACUACAACAGAAUUAGGUUAUAGGGACACAUGUUUGGAACACUUUUGAGUAAGUGUCCCAUUUAUUCUAAAACUUAAAAAAAUAUCUACUAAUGCCUAAAUAUAAAGCUCAAUCCAACCAAAAAUAAAAUAUUAUUCUACUCAACCCACCACACCCAGUCCAUUUGGCCCGAUUAUAUAUAGAAAAGAAAAAAAAAAAGAAAAAUCAAUUACCAUCUUUUCUUCUCUCUUCACUCUUCACUCAAUCCACUGAAAUUCUAGACGAAAAGUCUUUCCUGUCGUCUUCCUCCGCCACCGCAGCCAACGAGAUAAAGUUUCGGCAGUUGCUAAAUGCUUAAAUAAGUGUUAGUAAAUUAGUAGCGCUCUUUUAUAUUAUAGCGACACUCUUUAACUGUCACUAUAUACCUAGCGACCCCAUAUAUAGCAACACUUUUUAAAAAUAUCGGUAAUUUUAGCAAGCAGUACUUUUUUGAUAUGUACCUAUAUUUAAAAGUGUUGUUAUAGACCGUUUUUGUUAUAGUGACAGGAGUAGUGAUGUUCGGAGUUUUUCCUGCUUUGCUAAGCAACAACGCGAUGGUGUUCGUGGACUAGUCCUAGACGUAACAUUGAUCUCAAACGUAACACGAGGGCAACUAAAAUGUGGAACUUAGUCACCGCACGUGAGUUGAUGUGAUGUUACAGGUGUGUUUGUUUUACCGGAGUAAAAAGAGAUCAACAAGCUAGUUUUGUAUAGUAAUACUUAUUUUGGUUGUUUGAUUUACUGUAACUAUAUUAAUAUUCAAAAACUUAAAAUUUACAAAUUAAAUAUCAUAAUUAAUUUCGACUCAUCUAGAUAAAAAAAAUAAUAGGAUAUUAAUUAAUCUAUCACACGCACUCUCUAAUUUUAUCCAUCAUUUUUUAUCAAACAACUAAUUAACAGAAAAAUUAGAAAAACUUUAGCUUUCACAGUUGUACAAAUAACUAACAAAAAAUAAUAAUUAUUUUUGUCCAAAAUUUAGUUCAUCUAAAAAUCUAUUUCAAUUUAAAUUUCACUUUCGGUGAAACAAACGGAUGCUAAUAUUGACAUUUCAAAAAGCACGGUUAUAUGAACCCCUAUUAUAUCCAAACAAGUUAUUAAAUAAUAAAAGUUAAUAUUAUUUUUAAUUUUUUGAUUUUUUAAAGCAUCAUAAUUUUAAAAAAUCUUGAUGUUUAAAAGCGUCGGAAUAUAUUUUACAAACGCUUGGCAUAAACGUCGAUAUAUACGUAACGAUUCUUCAUUUGCGGACACUGUAACUGACAAUUUCAAAUGUAUGUCGAUAAAGUAUAUUCGGACGUUUUUAAAUAUUGUUGAAUAAUGAAUAUUAAGAAAAAAUAUUCCUAAACGUUAAUAUUUUGUAGUAUUUUCAGCUGCAUGCCUUCCUGCAGCAAAUCCCUACGGAAAAAAUUAACGCGGGAAAAAGACUUGGACUUACCUCCACUUCGGUCCGACCCUGCCGGCGGAGGCGGCGGUGGCGGCGUCGCCGGAGUGCUCCCGAUGGCCGACGAAUUAUAAAACGGAGCCGACUCGAACCGGAUGUUGCAGUUAUUUCCGAAAACCCUGCCGCCGAUCCGAUUCUCGCAGCAAUUCGGGAUGCUCUUGACGCAGUUCGUCAAGCACCCGUCGCAGUCGGCCGGCGACAGAUCCCUCGUGCACUGCACCAGCCCGUAUAUGUUUGUGAAGUUGAUGUACUCGACCUGCCCCGUCGCGAACAGCGGCGGCCGCCCCGACCCGUAGGCCGCUUCUCUGGUCAAGUUAUUCAUCAGCGAAAAGAGCCGGGUGUCGAACAGCUUCACAUCCGUGACGUUGUUCAGGUUCCACGCGAAGUCCUGGGCCCAGUCGACGACGCCGAAGAAGCUGCUGUUGGAGUAGCGCAGCAUGCAGGUGUCGUUCCACACGGUGUUCGACGCGCUGCGCGGGCACUCCGCGACGGCGUAUUCCGCGGCGGAAUUCAAACAAGUGUUGCAGUCGGGGGAGGAGACGUCGCCGCGGCAUAAGGCGAGGCCGUAGACUUCGCCAUCGCCGCCGCCGUUUUGGCCGACUGUGGUGUUGUAGAAGCCGGACGGCGCGGUUGCGGCGGGGAGGGUGGACAGCAGCUGCUUGAGGUUCGACUGGAAGGCGUUGUUCACCGUGAAGUUUGCGGAGCAGUUGUGGAAGAUGGAGUAGGGUUGGGAUUGGGAUUUGGAUUGGGAUUGGGAUGUGGGGGUGCGGAGGAGAACGAAGAGGAGAGAGCAGAGAAGGAACUGGAAAGGGGAAGGCUCCAUAGUUUAAUUUUCUCACAAAUAGGAGGGAAUAAUAUGUAAAUAAGGAAAGGCAACCUUUUAUGGGGCGAUGUAUCUAGCGACGUAAAUAGAGCGGAUCUUCGACCAUCAAAAUUCCACCCAUCUUCUAUAUAUUCUAUAACCCACGCGGUCUCAUAACCCACUCCUACGGCGCUCCAAAUCCGCUCUUCUAACUAAUACAUUUUUUUUUUUACAAAUUAUAAUAUUAUUAAUAUUUUUAAAAUAUAAAUUAAUAAUUUUUUAAAAUAAUAAUGAGUAAUAUUGUCAAGCUAUAUAUAUAUAUAUAUAAUAUAUAUAUAAUAUAUAUAUAUAUAUAUAUAUAAUAUAUAUAAUAUAUAUAUAACUAGGCUGAAUAUCUAUUAAUAGCAUCAAACUAUUGGGCUAUUAAUUUUUUAACACCUUGGAUUGAGAAAAUGACGGUUAGGGAUGAUGUAGGCCCUAGAGUUGAGUGGGUGGUUGGUUAAAUAAUAUAAUCUAACGGGCAAAAAUAAUCAAAGGGGUUAAUCUAACGACAGAAAACUUGAUAGUAUCAAGUGCUUAGUGCUAUCGGUAGCAUAGCAGUCGGACUCUAUAUAUAUAUAUAUAUAUAUAUAUAUAUAAAUAUAAUUAACAACAUCAAUUAUAAAAAUAAAAAAUAUCAAUCACAAUUCGCAACAAAAUUCAAAAGUUUCAAAUAUAUGAAAAAUAAAAGCACCAAUUUAUUUGUAUUUUGAACAUUUUCGUGAAUAUAUUAUUUUUUGGGGUUAUUUUUUAAAAUAUAAACGACUUUUCGAGCAAAUUAGGGACGAAGUUGGGACAGAUCAUGGAGGGGUGAAUUCGGAGCGAGUCAAAAUUUUCUAUUUUCUAUCCAGAAUCUAUCACGGAUCAUAAAAUUCGCUGCAUUCUCUAUUUUUAAUCCAUAUAUUUUUUUUAUUUACUGUUUUAUUCAGGGUGCAUGGAUCAGGGUGGAGCGAAAGCUCCUCCAACCCUGAUUGGUUUUCGGAUGUAUUGAUUGCUCUAAUGGGGAUCUCAUUGGCUGUUGACCAUCAAAAGAUGAGUUGACGCCACUUAACAGUUUGCCUUAAAAUAAAUUUGGACUGUAUAUAGAAUUGAGCUCCUAUACUUUUAAAAUCAUUAAAUUAUUAGUGCUUAUAAGGUUUCAAUCUGAAAAGGUUUAUUGGAAUAGGAUAAUAGUAAUCCCCGGCUACGUUUGCUUCAAGUAUAAGUUAGAAUUGCUUAUUCCAGAAAGAGAUACAAAUUCAGGUAUAAAUCGAAACUAGACCAAUUUUACGUUUGAAUAAAAAUUAGGUUAUUUUUGGGAAUAAUAUAAAUAAUAUUUAAAUGGUUAGAUUGCAACAAGAUGAAUAAAAGUUAUAAUUUUAAAUUAGAAAUAUUUUAUCUAAUUAAUUGACAUCAAAAUAUUAAUUAAAAAUAAUUUAAUAAAUUAAUAAAUUUAUUAUCUAUGAAUAUUGUAUAAGACAAUGAAAAUAUAUUAAUUAAUUAAUUAAAUAUAAAGUAUAAUUUAACUUUUUAAUUAGUUAGUAAAAUAUUUUAGUUAGUUAUCUAGUAAAAAAUUUAAUAAGAUUAAUAGAAAUAUUGAAUAAAAAAUUUCUCAAAAUUUUAUAUUUUCACGUUUAUUGGUUGCAAGUGUUUUAUUUUAAAUACUAAGGACUAUUAGAAAAAAUUUAAUGCUAAAUCGGAUGAAAGUAUAUUUUUAAGAUACUCAACUACUAAUAAAGUAUACCAUAUUUAUAAUCGAGUAUGACUUCUAUUCAAACUACCGUAAAAAUUAAUAAAUCACUUGAAUCAUCACAAAAUAAUGUUGAAAUUGUAUCUAACGAAAGUGAAAAGCCAUCUAAAGAUAGUGAAGUUAUUCCAAGAAAUCGAAAGCGUAAGUCCCCGUACCCUCUCGAUCAAGUUAUCGGUGAUUAAUUUAUCAGAUGGCCUGUGUACACGCUAGAAAUUCCGUUAGAGACAUUUGCAACAAUUUGGCUUUUCUCUCACAAAUUAAGUCUCAAAAGCUCAAUGAAGUAUACAAUGAUGAAAAUUGAAUCAUUGCUAUACAAGAGAAAUUGAAUUAGUUUGAAAGAAACAAAGUUUGGAGGUUUGUAAAAAAACCCAUUGGCCAUAUGUAAUUGGUACAAAAUGGGUUUUUCGCAAUGAGAAAAAUAAAGAUGGCAUCAUGGUUCCAAACAAAGUCAGAUUAGUGGAUCAAGAUUUUAACCAACAAAGUGAAUAGAUUUUGAUGAAAUAUUUGCACUAGCGGCGCAAUUUUAAGCUAUUGGAAUUUUAUUCGCUUUUUCUUUUUAAAAAAAUAUAAAGUUAUUUCAAAUAGAUGUAAAAAGUAUAUUUUUAAAUAAAUUUAUAAUAAAAACAUUUAUAUUUAAGCUCUCUAAAAUACUUUAGGAAUUAAAAUAUGCACCAUAUGGUCUUGGUACGAAACGCCAAGCUAAUUUUUAAUUUCAAAAAAAUUUAGAAUUGGCAAAUUUGACACCACAACAUUAUUUAUUAAAUAUUUUAAUAAUGAUUUUUUUAUUGUUCAGAUUUUUAUUGACCAUAUUAUUUUCGGUACUACUAAUAAAGUGUUGUGCAAAGUAUUUACUAAGUUGAUAUAGAAUGAGUUUAAAAUAAGUAUGGAUAGCGAGCUAAACAAUUUUCUUAAGCUUCAAAUAAAAUAAAGUGCUGUGAUUUGCACAAAUAUCAUUCUACUUAUUUGUUGUUAAAAAAUAAACAGUGCUCUCACAGAAACUAAUCAGAGGAUCAAAUAUGAAUAUCGAUGAACUUUUACAAAAAAAAAAAUAAAAAGUUGAACUCUUUAAGAACAUAUAUAUUUGCUAUACGAUAUAUUUGUAGGAAUCUGUAUAUAAUUAACCCUAAAAUUUACAUCUUAUUUUUAAAUAUAUAUAUAUAUAAGUAGUAUUUCUGAUGAAAUAAUUGAACUAAUAAUUGCUUGAGUGUGGGACCAUUGACUGCAGGACUUGACUGCUAGACUGCCGUGGCAUGUCACUGUCGCUGGACAAAUGCCAUUCCAAUUGACGUGAUUUUCUAAUCACAAAUUUUUCAAUAAAAUUCUUUUAUUAGAACGCAGAUUCUCUCCCUGGCACUAGGGAUGCAAACGGGACAGAUCCGGGGGCGGGAGAGUUCCCCCACCUCCCGCUCCAUUUUUUAUCGGGGCGGGGCGGAUUCGGGGUUGGGCGGAUUCGGGGCGGGUUGCUUUUCAUUUUAUUUUGGCCCCCACUUACCGCUCCAUUCGGGGCGGAUCGGGGCGGAAGCCGGAUUUUUGACGGAUCGGGGCGGAUUGAAGGAAGAAAAGAAUUUUCCACCUCCCGCUCCAUUUACUUGGCGGACCGGGGCGGAUUCGGGGCGGGUUAUAUUUUUUUAUAUUUUUUGUUCCCACUUACCACCCCAUUCGGGGUGGAUCGGGGCGGAGCUCUACCAACCCGGAUCCAUUUGCAUCCCUACUUGGCACCAUCCAAUUUCAAAACGACCAUUAUUUAUCCAUUUUUCUUUAAUUAUAUAAAAAAUAAAUUUAAAAUAGUUGUUGUUCAGUAUCAUAUUUACAAUUAUACGUCAAGAAGAUUAAUGAUAGAGUACAAAAAUAUGACGUACUUAAUCUUAAGAUCUAACUAGUGUUGGACCCGCGAUUCGCAGCGGAUAAGUAUUAUUUUAGCCAACCAAGAUAUUUAGUUAUUUAAGUUUUAAACUUGAAAAAUAUGUAACAAAAUAUAUAUAAUUUUGAUAGCUAUUACAUAAAUAAUUUUUUUAGUUAAAAAUUUAAAGUUAAAGGAUUUAUUUUACAUUAAAGAAUAGAUGGGGGGUGUCUUUAUAAUUAUCUUGUGUUAAAAUUAAUUGGAGAAAAAAAAUUAUUAAAUGCACCUGAUGUAUAUUAAUACUGUGCAUACACCACAACUUAUAUUAGAUAAUUAAUAUUUUAAUAUCAAAAUUUAAUUAAAUAUAUCUAAUCUAUACAUGCAGUCUAAUAAUUUAAAUUAUGUUUGAUAAAUUAAUUUUAAAAUCUCUAUUAAAAAGUUUUAAGUUUGUGGUCCGAGUAUAGAGAAUGCUGAAUAGGAUGCACAAAUAACUAUUCCAAAGGAAAUGAGAAAUCUUUACUUGCACCCGGUGCAUACCAAUGUUCCAUACAGUGUAUAUAAUAUUAGAUGAUUGAUAAAAUAUUUGAUAAUUUUUACUGUAAAAUAUAAUAUGGCAUAAUAUAUAUAUAUAUAUAUAUAUAUAUAUAUAUAUAUAUAUAUAUAUAUAUAUAUAUAUAUAUAUAAAUUAAAUAAAUUUAAAAAUUUAUUGUCUACAGAAUAUUUAUCUUUUUAUGCACAUUUUUAGUAUACGGUGUCGUGAUAGGUCGGGUCUAAAUAAUUAAUAUACUGUAUCCAUAUCCUAAAAUGAAAUUGUUAGAAAAAAAUUAUAUACCCUACCCAUUUAAUUUCGGAUUAGGUCCAAAUCUAGAUACUUAAGUUACUAAUAUACCCAUUAGGUCUAUUUGAGCGGAUCUACACAGUUGCAACUCGUAUUCUACCCGUUCAAGAUCGGGUGCAGAUAUAGAUAUAUAUAUAUAUAUUUAUAUAUAAUUUCAAAAAAUUUUAGAAUCGGCAAAUUUGACACCACAUUAUUUAUUAAAUAUUUUAAUAAUAAUUUCCUUAUUGUUCAGAUUUAUAUUGAUAAUAUUAUUUUCGGUGCUACUAAUAAAGUGUUGUGAUUUUAAUAAUGAUUUUUUUAUUGUUCAGAUUUGUAUUGACGAUAUUAUUUUCGGUGCUACUAAUAAAAUGUUGUGCAAAGAAUUUUGAUAAUAGGGGAAGACUGUUGAAUCCAAUGAUAAAUUUUGAUAAUAACAAACAAUUUUUACAAAUAUGGUAUUAAUUCAAAAGCUUUUUACAAAUGUGAAAUAAUUUCAAAAAGGUUUUACAUUUGUAAUAUUAAUUUAAAAGCAUUUUACAAAUCUCGUAUAUUUUCAAACGAGCUUUUCAAAUAUAGUAAUAUUUUAAAUGUACUUUACAAAUGUGAUAUGAAUUUAAAAUUAUUUUGUAGUAUCCCUGAUGUUUGGUUGCCAGUAAAAUUUUAACAUCUAUGGCUUGUCGACAUAUCUGGAGAGUGUCGGGACAAAUCGAAGUUGUUUUGGUGCGAAAUGAAUGCAAAACGGACUGACGGGAGGCGAGAGUGGAGUUCUGACACUGAAAUCCACAAAGUGCAGAAUUUCAGUAUUGAGUAUCGGUACCAUACAGCGGAGUACCGGUACCCCAGUGUAUUUCUAGAAUAGCAUGCUCUCGAGUUGCCCCAACUGAUGCUGAGUACCGCUACAGUAUCGGGCUGGUACCGGUACCCUGUGAGCGAGCUGGCUGUCCGAGAGGCCAAGUACCGGUAACCAAAUCGGGUACCGAUACUCCAGCUGGCUUUUUAAGUUGGUGGGGGGUAGUAUUGUCUUUUUGUUGGUGGUUAUCCAUGCCACCUACUCUCCCUGAUAUUUAUCCACCUGAGAGAGGGUAAUUUUCUCAUGUUCCUCUAUCUCUAGUUUUGAUCGUGUGCAUGGUGGAGGCCACGGCUUGAGCUCGGGAGAUUUUCGACGUCAAUUUGGAGGGCCGUUCGAGCAUGCGUGUGUUGCGGUUGUGCCGUUGGAGAUCGGGCGAGCGUGUGAUUUCCUUUCCUUUCGACUUCUCGCCGUGGUCGGACGAGUUUUUCGAUGUGGGUUGAAGUUUACCGAAAUCGCUGGAAUACCUCCUAAGUUUUAAUAUCGUCGAUAUGUAUCAUUGGUUUAUUUUCUUGCUAGUACUCGAAUUCAUGGAUUAGAGAUAAAAUCUGAAUUUGGAGUUAAAUUAGUAGUAUAUUUUUACAUGUUGGGUUUGGAAUUGACUUAGGAGAAAACAUAUAGAUCCUACACUGUCAUUUUUGAAAAUUACCAGAUUUAGGUUUAGGAACUGUGGUUCAUCUGUAUCGCCGCUGUUUGUAUAUAGUGGAUACCCAGAUUAGUGUAGGAUGAGUUUACGCUCGUGUUGGGAUGCCGACCUUAUUUUACAGUAGUGUGUAAACUGUUUCAGACUGUCGAGUGGCGUCGCGGUUGACGGUGAACCCAGAUUACUAUUUUUUGCAUCGGAUUGUGCCAAGGGCACGUGAGUUUUGGUUGCAGGACCAGUUAGACCCAUUUGCUUUGAUUAUAGCCUGUGAGAGCCUGAUUGAGCUCGAUAGAGACACGCUUGCAUACUCAGUUGGGUGGCGCUCACGAGUGCCAUCCGGAGUUAGGUUUAGUGCGUUUGUGUUGAUGUCGUAGUGCAUGAUUGGACUUGCUCUCCACCGACAACCUAGCUUGGUGGCGGUUGGUGUAGUUUCGAUAAGCGGGACGGAUGCAUUCACAGUCCCUAGUGAGUUUGGUUCAGAGAUUGCAUCUUGCUAAUAUCUACAGAUAGCUAGAGUUGGUUAGCGAUAGUAUAGUGGUAUAUAGCUGUAGAGUUUUACCAAUAUCCUUUACUAUCCUUCUGCAUACUUUCUGUAGACUUAGUGGGUGAGCCGUUGAGGUCGGUAGCGGUACCCACUUAGGACUACUCCUUUUUGCAGUAGUUCCCACACCAAGUUGUUGAUCUUUUUUUGCAGAGCCUUCUUCUGCGGCUACUGUUGUCGCUGAUUCUGAUCGUGGAAGGGAGUCGCGAGCUAGAUCCCUUCCCUGAUUGCAGUACUAGAGGAGUACCAUCUACAUGUAGUUUUUGGAUUUUUUGUUCAUGUACAUACUUAUGUUAAUAUACUCGCUGAAGCGAGGGAUGUUUGUAUCUAGUAGACAUUUUGUAUGUAUAGUAAACCUGAUAUUUAUUUAUAUAUUCAGUUCAGUUUAGCAGCUUUACACUACUAGUUGUGGUUUGAAUUUGUUUACAGGUAAAACUAUCGCUUCGUAUACAGGAGAAAUUCCUUUGUAUACGACGGAUUUGUCGGCGUGCCCGGAAAAACGUGUAGCCCGAGGCGUGACAUAUAUUGAAAUUAAUUCAAAUGCAUUUACAAAUAAAGUUGAAAUUCAAAUUAAAAUCAAUUAUCCUUUAAUCAUACUUUUAUUCUUUUAAGUCCUAUCUAUUCUUUUGAUUUGUAUUUGUCAGCUAUAUUAAGAGGUUGUAACAGAAGUCUUAUAAAGUGUGAUCUUAAGUGGUUUUGAACUUAUCAUGUUCAAAAGGUCAAGUGAUAGUGAUUAAAUUAGUAUCUCAAGGAGAAGAAGAACUGAAUUAGAGUAGGCAAAAAGAUCAAAUCAGGAUAAAUUAUCUGUGUUAUCUUAUCGAAUUUGUUUUUCUUCCUUUUUUUUAUUUGGUUGUGCAAUUUUUAUAUAAAUUUAAUUUUACUUCAGUUUUAGUUGUCAACUAAUUCAAGGGAAAACUUCAAAAACCCCCCCGUGGUUUCAUGGUUUCUCACUUUGCCCCCCUGUGGUUUAAAGUGUAUCAAAUUGCCCCCCUGUGGUUUCGUUUUUAUCUUUUCGGUAGCUUUUUCGUUAAUAUUUCAUUAAAUUAUAUACAAAAAACUUCAAAUACCCAUCUAAAUUUAUCAAAUAUUCACUUUUGUACCCUUUAAUUUUAACUUUAUUACUGAUUUAAGAAAUAAAAAAUAAUGAAAUUGAUAAGAAACAGAGAAAAAAGAAACCACAGGGGGGCAAAUUGAUACAUUUUAAACCACAGGGUGGCAAAAUGAGAAACUACGAAACCACAGGGGGUUUUUUUGAAGUUUUCCCCUAAUUCAACCCCUCUCUUUGUUAUCAUUGACCACACUCUAUCCGUCAAUAAGCGAUGAAUUAAACUCUUAUUACGCAUGUGAAAUAAGAGUAAUACAAUCUGUAUAUUUAAAAGUGUAUAUAUAAAUCAUAUAGUUUAUUCAUCUUUAUAUUUUAAAAAUACUUCUAAAAUUUUAUACUGAUGAGUAUAUAUAAACCCUAUUUUUAAAUAUAUAUAUAUAUAUAUAUAUAUAUAAAAGUAGUAUUUCUGAUUAAAUAAUUUAAUUUAACUAAUAAUUGCUUGAAUGUGGGGCCAUUGACUGGGACAAAUUUUCUGGGCACCGUGCCCAAACAAAUUUGUUCGGGCAAGGUGCCCGAUGGGCGCCACGUGAAAAGAAAAAAAAAAUGGCGGGCUCUGUUUUUAGAGAGAGAGAGAGAGAGAGAGGGGUAGGGCUGGCAAAUGAGCGAGCCGGCUCGCGUUCGACUCGCGUUCGACUCGAUAUUUGGCUCGCUCGAGCUCGACUUGAAAUUAAAUAAGCCCAGCUUGAACAAAAAGAAAGGCUCGAAAUUUAUUUCAAGCCGAGCUUGAGUAUUACUCGGCUCGUUCGAAUUAGGCUCGAAAAGCUCGAAAAGCUUCGAAGUAUAUAUAUAUAUAUAUAUAGUAGAGCUACUAUACUAUCGAAAGAAUAGGGGAUAAUGGAUUGCUUUCGAUUGGAUUAAUACUAUUAUUACCUUGUAGGGACACUCAAUCCUUAGGAGUAUUAUUUAAUCCUAAAGGGGACUGCAAUCAUCCAACCAUACAAUUCUUAAUCAAGAUGAACAAAAUUCGAAAACAUCAAAUCUUAUAUUUUGAUAGUAUAGUAGUUCUAUAUAUAUAUAUAUAUUAAAAAAAUAUAAUAUAAUAUAUUUAAUUAUAUAUAGGCUGAUGAAUAAUUUGAGUUAGUUAAAAUUGGGCUAAUGUUGUUGACCAUUAAAAACAAGUCCAAUAGACAAAUAAAGAGCAAAAUUUCACUAAAUUUAUACAUUUUCCUUUCUUUCUUUCUUUGACGAGAGCUCUAAAUUUUCAAUAUGUUUCCUCUUUCUCUUUUUUUUGUCUCUCACCCUAAGUGACCAAGCGGAAGCCCUCCAAAUUACAAGUAACAGCAUAUGCCGUCGUUGCUACCUUGCUAUUAAUUGUAUGGUUGAGAAAUAUAUAGAAUAUUUUUUAAAGUAGAAAAAUUAUUAUUCAUAUAAAAUUUUAAUUUUAGUUAUAUAUGAUUGGAUAGUUUAAUCCAAUAUUUAUCUGUAUAAUUUAUUUAUUUUUGACUGCAUAAAUAAAAAUGAAUAAUAUGGAGAUUGAAUACGGAAGAAAAGAUAUGUGAGGCUGAAAAGAUUAGAUAUUCAACUCAUAAAUUAUUUUUUUUCAUAUUAUAAUACAAUAUUUCAUAUAAUUAUUUUGUACUUUGAACUAUUAGACAUAUUUUUGUAUCAAAUUAUAAAUAAUAUUCUAUACAAAUUAAACUAUUGAUCGUAUGAUGUUGAGAAUUUCAAGCGGCUCGUUUAGGGCUCGAGCUCGCUCAACUCGAAAUUAGGCUCGCUCGAGCUCGGCUCGAAUUAAUUUCAAUCUAAGCUUGAGCUUAAAUUUAAACUAGAAAUUAAUUUUAAGCCGAAUUUGAGCCGAGGUAAGCUCGCACGAGCUCGGCUCGUUUCACCCCUAGAGAGGGGAGAGAGAGCGGACUAUUUGACUGACGUGGCAUGUCACUGUCGCUGGACAAAUGUGAUUCCAAAGUCCUACGUUAGUCAAGUUUGGCGUGAUUUCAUAAUCACAAAUUUUUCAAUAAAAUCUUAAUGAGAAAGUAAUGAUACAAUUCCAAAACGACCAUUCCUUUUCCCUUUUUUUUAAUUUUAUAAAAAAUAAAUUAAAAAUAGUUGUUGUUCAAUAUCAUACAAUUAUAUGUUGAGAAGAUUAAUGAUAAAGCAUAAAAAUAUGAUGUACUUAAGCUUAAGAUCUAAUUAGUGUUGGGCCCGCACUUUAGCUUAAGAUAUAUAUAGUUAUUUAACUUUUAAGAUUAAAAAAUUACAAAAAAUAAAGAAUUUUUUUUUAUAUUUUUUUAACUUUCAGUAUUUGUAGAGUUGAAUUAUUUUAAUAAUUUUAAUUAAAAAUUCAAUCAAACUUAAUAGUUUUGAUAGUUAUUCCAUAAAUAAUUUUUUUAAUUAAAAAUUUAAAGCCCAACGACUUAUUUCAAAUUGCAAAAUAGGUGGGGGUGUCUUUAUCUUGUUAAAAUUAAUUGAAGAAAGAAGAAAUUAUUAAAUGUACCUGGUGUAUAUUAAUAUAUACUACAUAUGCCACAACUUAUAUUAUAUGAUUAAUAUUUUAAUAUCAAAAUUUAAUUAAAUAUAUCUAAUCUAUACAGUUUAAUAAUUUAAAUUAUGUAUGAUUAAUUAAUUUUAAAAUUUCUAUUAAAGGGUUUUAAGCAUAUGGUCCCAGUAAAGAAAAUGCUUAGUAGAAUGUACAAAUAAUUCCAAGGGAAAUGAGAAAUCUUUGCUUGCAUACCAAUGCUUCAUACACUAUACAUAAUAUUAGAUGAUUGAUACAGUGCUUGAUAAUUAAUACUGUAAAUAUAAUACGACAUAAUAUAUAUAAUAUAAAAUAUUUAAAUAAAUUUAUUGUCCUACAAAAUUUUAUUUUUAUGUACAUUUUAGAAUUGAUUUAUAGUGCAACCUUUCAAAAUUUUAGAGUUGGUUUUAUAAUAUUGGAGUAUAGAACCUUUCUGAACUACGAAUUAUUUUGAAUAAGCUAUCCAACCUUUCAUUUUAAUUCUACUAUCCAACCUUUUUAAAUGUUAGAUUUGAGUCAAUCAGUAAUACUUUGACUUUAAAUUUUAAAUGCGUCAUUUAGCUUUAUAGAUUUAGUUAGCAAACUUUAUAUAAAUUUCACAACUAAAUUUAUUAAAAUAAGUAAUUAGUUUAAACUUCAUCGCUCUCUCGUUUAUUUUUUAUUGGACAAUUUAUAUCUAAGUGACCAAUAUAAUAAAAUCAAAAUUUAUAUUAAAUAUAUGUCUAAAAAUAUGCUUGGACCUGUGCAAAUUAAUGCUGAGGAGAUGAGAAAAAUAUUUCGAUAAUACACCACAUAAGUCUUGUGACUCGUUACCUUGGCAGUUAUCUUGAUUGUUUUACUUGAGAUAACCAUAAAUACAAUAAAAGAUUUUAGGGUUGAGCUCUGUGAUUACAAGAGGAAGAUUUGUGAUGCUUGAUCUGAUUUGUAUUGAAACGUCUGAGGCAUAUGCUAUAUUAGUUGAGUGGUGAUUUAAUUUAGCACUCCUGCAUUGUAUUUUUUUUCGUUAGGUUGCACGUUCUAUGACUUGUAUGAAGAAUAGAAUGCAUAAGAGAAAAUUGACCAUUGUAGCCAAAUAGGAGAUUGCCAUGUAGUGUGUUCAUAUUGGCCGAUUCAAAUUCAACCCAAUUCACAUAAGAUGUGGGUGAGGAUUUAUCCUAAUAAGUUAAUGAUGAGUACAAAUUAUAUAUUUCUUAUUAGUUAUAAAAUGUAUUUUUUUAAUGAAAAUCUUAAUAGAUAUUCCAAUCCUACUCUUUAUAUGGAAAUCAGAAUAUUUUAAGAAAUCAUGAUAUCUAUAUAUAGAUGAUCCCUUUCUCUGAUGUAAGAGACGUGAGAAUUAGAAAAAGGAUUUUCUCUUUCCUCUCUUCUCUCUUUACAUUCUCUCUAGAUUUUCCACCUAUGUUACUGAAGUUUUAGAGUACGGAUAUAAAAGAGAAAUCAUCCCAACAAUAAAUAUAGUAGUUUUUCAUAUAAAGAGUAACUGGGAGAAGGGCCAAAAUACAAAGAGACAUUUCAUUACAUCUUGAAUACUUAAAAAAAGAGAUACCAAAUAAAAUGUUGUAGCCAAUGCAUUUGAAAGAAGGAAAGUCACACAAAUGAACAAACUUAUGUAAAUCUAAAUUCACAAUGCCUUUUGCUGCUCAUUCGGCAAUGACGAAAAUCACACUCUUCUACUAUAUUCGAAUCAAGUAUAUUCAGAUCAGUAUUCGAUCCCCCAGCUCUGCGACGCUACCGUGGCUCUAAUUUCGAAAUGGAUACGGUGUUCACCGAUACUGCACGUGUCGCCUUCCGCUGCAGCCCGUCGGAUGCAUCGGUCUCGACCUUCUCCCUGUUUUCUGCAGUUGAGCUGUGCCAGAUGACGAAAGCGGGGGUCGACGGGGCGGGGAGGGUGACGGAGUGGCUGCUCAGCAUGAGCACGACAGACGCCAUGCUCGGCCGGUCCGACGGGUCCUCCUGGACGCACAGCAGCCCGAUGUGGAUGCAUCUCAGCACGUCCUGCGACCGGCACUGCCCCGUGAGGCUCGGAUCGAGCACCUCGUGUGCAGUCCCUUCGGUCCAGUGCUUCCACACCUAUUUAAGAGAGGGUUACAGUUAGUAGCGCGCCAUAUAAGUUUUCAUCAGGUACCUUCAAAAGUAAGACGGUAAAAAUCAAAUUUUCAAAGAUUGAACACUAUGUGGAACGUUAAUAAACCUUUAGUUUUGGAAAUCCUGGCUCUAUCGUUAUCAGUAUCUUCGAUUCAGAUCGAGGUCAAUACGUUAAAUAAUAUGAAACAAUCAUUAUUCUCUAAAAGCUAAUUAAACUAGUAAAGAACGGUGUUUAAAUAUUUUUAUAUUUAACAUAAUAUACUGUAUUUAUCCAUCUAGUAAGGUAUAGGUAAUGCUUACAUAUGAUAGAAGGCUUUCUGAAUAGUUAGGUUCUUGAGGGCGAGCAUUUCUUUGUCCAGUCACAAUCUCCAAAACCAAUACUCCAUAAGCAAAAACAUCUGACUUUGUUGAGAAGUGUCCAUGAAUUACAUACUCCGGUGCCAUGUAUCCACUACAAUUAAAAACCAAGCUUUAAGUUUCAACAUAUCUUUUUUUCUGUGAGAAAACUUUCAACAUAUGUGAAACAGAAAUUAUAGCGAAUCCUUUUCCCACAAGAAAAGUUUCAAGUGUAGAAUGUGCUUACUAUGUUCCUGCAAUCCGACUCGUUUUUCCUUCGCUCUCGUCGACGUCGAAGAGCUUUGCAAGACCAAAAUCGGAGAUUUUAGGGGUCAUAAACGCAUCCAACAAGAUGUUACUCACUUUCAGAUCGCGAUGAACGAUCUUUAGCCUUGAAUCUUCGUGGAGAUAGAGAAGACCUCGACUAAUCCCUUCGAUGAUCUUGUACCGUAUUCCCCAAUCUAAUUGUUCGCGCCUCGCAGGAUCUGCUACAUUCGAGCAAAAUAGUGUUACAUAUAUGACAUUUUUCCAACCGACCGAUAUAGUUAAUAAGGAUAUUUUCAAUCACAGAGAUAAGUUCGAAGCAGGAAACCUAUUUUAGAAGCACAAAUGACUUAUGACAAAGAUAUGUAUUAAAGUGAUAAAUCAAAAAGCAAGAGUAAUACACAAUCAUGUGAUGUUCCAUACCAAAGAGAAACUUAUCAAGGCUUGUGUUGGGGAGGUACUCAUAAACAAGAAUCCUUUCUUGCUCUUCUAAACAGCAACCAAUUAGCCUCACCAGAUUCUUGUGUUGAAGCUUCGCCACGAGCACCAAUUCAUUUUUCAACUCACCAAGCCCCUGUGCUGAGCUCAUUGAGAGCCUCUUCACUGCUAUUUCUUGCCCAUCUUGUAGUAUCCCCUGUUGUCAAUGUUACAUGCAUACAAAAGCUAAAAAUUGUUUUUAUUGUAUUAUUAUAAGUUUUUAGAAACAAACGAUCAUAAGUCGGUCAAAAAGUCUCGAGUUUGGAUAUGGAAAAAGAAUGCUGGAUACAAAAUAUUAAAACACUGUUCUUUAGCAGCUAAAACUUUCUGAUGCUAGUAAUUCUUAACUUGAACAUUCAAGAAAGGAAAAGAAACCGUUACGUAAGCUAAAUAUAUUGUCUUCUGCGGAUCAAGUAGUUAACUUGGAGCACUUAAGAGAUUAAUUUCACCUUAUACACUGGUCCAAAUCCACCUUCUCCCAACUUAUUUUCUUCAGAGAAGUUGUUUGUGGCAGCUUUUAUCGUGGCCAAAUUGAGCAACAGAGAUUCCACGCUUAUAAUUUGCUCAUCUCCUCCAUCUGCUUCAUGAAGAGUAGGAACUCGGAACAUAAACUAACGAAUUGUUUUGCUCAUUAUUAUGUGUGUUUAGAUAAAUGGAGUUGGUGUGUGGAACUCACUGAUCAAAGCAUUUCUAGCUCGUUUUCUUUGUUUCCUUCGGCAGAGAUAGAUAACAAAGAGGAGCAACAACGCAACAGCAACCACCAAAAUGGCAACAAUAAUUAUGCUCUUCGUGCUUCCAUUAUUUCCUGCACCAAGAACAAAUAAUCUUACUUAAUUAGUGUUGGCUAUUUAUUAUUAGGCUUAAAAUAUGUCAAACUUUCCACCACGUAACAGUAAAUCCACAAGACUAAUAAGUUAAGUUGGCUAUUUAUUCAGGUUGAAGCCCUUGGGCACUGUGGUUGAGCCCUUAAGUGCGAUGGGUGCACCCUUUCUAUCAGCACGUGUUAUUAAAAUAGUUAGUUAGCGCUUUCAAUCCACAUACACUUAGUUCUCGAAAUCAAACAAAAUCGAAUUUUUAGAUUAUAUUGAUUCACUUACUCUGUUGUCUUUCGCUGUAACGUGUAAUAUCAAAUCAAGUUUCAAAUUAUCAAUAAAUGGUAUAUCAAGUAAAAUGAAUCAGUUCGUUUGGGUAACUAACAAUACUUUUUAUUUAGGGAUAAUUGCGUAUGGCUCUCUAUAAAGGUAUCAUGUAGCAAAUAUAUUCCUAAAGAACUUAAGUUAUCAGAUUUAUCGCUUCAAAAGUCCUUCCAUUUGUAAAUACCUUCUUUUAACAAAAUUUAGAUAACCAUUAAUUAAAAAAGCUAAGCGCAGUUAACCAAAGGAUAAAAUGACUUUUUUACCCUUAUAUAUAUAUUUUGUAUUCUAACGUUGGGUCUCGUCAUCUUUUUCAUGCUCUCCUCUUUAUCUAUGGCGAUGGCUAGACCUAUGGCAGCAACAACAUCGAAGGCGAGGCCCUCAGUCACGGCCAAAUUGAGGUACGUCGUAUGCGCCACGUUGAAGGCAAGGAGAGAGAGAAAGAAAGAUAGUGUUUUGCAUGGCAAUUUUGUAACGGUAAAUUAAUCAUUUUAGGCACCCACCGUUAAAUAACUAACAGUGAAUCAAAUAGUAGCAACAUAUAUGAAUGAAUCUGAACUUUUGGAGGAAUAUAUUUGUAAAUUAGAAAAUUUUUAAAAGGUUAAAUUUGGUCACUUCAAUUUUGUAAGGAGAUUUACUAUUUGAUAUCUUUACAAAGAUCUAUAUAAAAUUAACCCAUAUAUAUAUAUAUAUAGAACUAGGCUGGAAUACUAUUAAUAGCACCAAGCUAUUGGUGCUAUUAGAUUUUUAGCCCUUGGAUUGAGAAAAAUGCGGUUAGGAUGAUGUGGGCUUCUUAGGGUUGAGUGGGUGGUUGACUGAAUAGUAUAAUCUAACGGGUAAAAAUAAUCAAAGGAUUAAAUUUAACGGUGGAAAACUCGAUAGCACCAAAUCCUUGGUGCUAUCGAUAGUAUCCCAGCCGAAAUAUAUUAUCAUAUAUAUAUAUAUAUAUAUAAUUAUAAUUAUAUAUAUAUAUUAUAUAUUAAUAUAUAUAUAUUAUAGUGAAUUAGGCUGGAAUACUAUUAAUAGUAAAAUGUUCUUUUUUGCUAUAAGUUUUUAACCUUGAUGAAAAAUUGUAGGGUAGGAUGAAUUUAGUUGUCGGUUAGAGUUGAGUGGCCCCUCUAGGGUUGAGUAGUGGUCCACAUUGUUUAUAGUUAUUUAUCAAUGGUUUAAAAUAAUUAUAAAGAGUUGUCCAAAGGCUAAAAACUUAGGUAACAACAAUGACAAUUUUGCUAUCUAAUAGUAGCCAGUCCAACACUCUCUCUCCUUAUAUAUAUAUAUAGAGGAGAGAGUCCGAGCUUCUAUAUUCGAUACUACCAAGUCUUUUGUACUAUGUGUUUUCUUACUGUUAGAUCUAAUCUCGUUUGAAUCAUUUACCGUUAGAUUGAUAUCUUAUUUAAACCAACCACCCACUCAACCUAGGUGGACCACUAGCAAUUUUACCGGCAGACUACUAUCAUCCUAACUGGCACAUCCUUUCAUUCCAACGACGAAAAUCAAUAGUACCAAGGGCUGGUAUAUUGAUAGUAUGAUAGCGAUAUUUUAUAUAUAUAUAUAUAUAUAGGAGAUGAGAAGCAGAGAGAGAGGAGGAGUAGGCUGCUGUGCUAUUAUGAGACAGACAGGCUGUGGCUCCAAGUAUCUUAACCGAUAAAUUUGAUGGGUGGUUAGGAUGAUAAGUGGAAGACGAAUUAGAGAAAAAUUUGGUUUCUUAAAUUUCUCUUACUCUUUGAAUUCUUCAAUUUCUUUCUUUCCAUUUACUCUAAACCCAUCAAAUUUGAUGGCACGGUCUUAAAACUUAAAAGACAAGGGUUGCUGUCUCUAACUAGCAAGUAGCCCUACUCUCUCCUUCUCUCUGCUCUUAUAUAUAUUAUAUAGUAGAGUCCGGUACUAUGCCUAUUAAGUAGCACGAAGCACUUUGGUGCUACCAAGUUUUCCGCAGUUUACGAUCUUACCCUUUGGAUCAUUCUCAGCCGUUAUAAUCAUACUAAUUUCAACAACCACCACUAAACUAGGGGGCCAAUCAUCCUAACCCAACAUCUCUUAAUCCAAGGCCAAAAAACUUGUGCAACCAAUCGGCUUGGUGCUAUUAAUAGCAUGUAGCUAAUUCUAUAUAUAUAUAUUAUUAUAUAUCUAUAUGAUGAAAGAUGUAGGCUGGAUUACAUCGUAGCCACAAAGGCUUGGUGCUAUCCAAUUUUUUAAGCCCACUGGAUGAGAAAGUGAGUGGUUAGGGAUGAUGUGGAAGCCCGCUAGAGUGAAAGUGGGAGUGUGUUGGUUUGAAUAUAUAUAUAACGGAUAAAAAGUAAUCAAAGGGUUAAAUCUAACGAUAGGAAACUCGAAUAGCACCAACCUUGGUGCUAUGUGAUAGUAUCCCAGCGGACUUUAUAUAAUGAACAUUUAAAAGUCAAGCUUGUUCAUCUUGUUCCUUUAUUUUCCCUUAUUUUUUUUUUUUUUUGACACCACGCACUAAGCAGAAGUCCACACAUUUUUGUUGAAUAGCGCAACAGCGCUAUAUUUGGGUGUAUGGUGGGCCCUUUUUUUCGGGCCGAAAACGGGCUAGGCUUAGCGGAACCGACACGGACAUCAAAUCCGGGCGAGAAGGACCUGCAACCGAAAGGAGUGCCGUGCUGGCAGCCGUGGCUCGUGGCCGCCUUUUUUAAUUUUUUUUAAAUAAUUAUAUAUUGCCAUACAAUAUAAUAAAAAUUAUUUUUAUUUAAUGAAUUUUUAGUUAAAAAUUAAAAUUUAAAAUAAUUAUAAAAUAAUAAAAUUUAAUUUAUUUUAUUAUUUAUUAAAUAUAUAUAUGAUAUUAUAUAAUAUAUAUAUAUUAUAGGGAAUAUUAGAUAAUGGAUGGAGAGAGGUGAGGCGAGGAGAGGGGAGGAGAGAGGAGGAGAGAGUCUGACUACAUAUAUAUCGAUUAGUAUCCAAGACCCUUGGUACUAUUGGAGUUUUCUUACCGUUAGAUCUUACCUUUGAUCAUUUCCACCCGUAUAGAUUAUGAAACUAUAUAAACCAACCCUCACUCAACCCUAGUAGAUAUGAUCAACUUUAAGACCGGGGACCGAACUAUCAUCUAACCGCAAAUUACUUUCGUCCAACGCGCCAAAAACUCAAUAGUACAAGAGAUUGAUUACUAUUGAUUAGGUAUUGUAGCAUAAUUUUAUAUAUAAUAUAUAUAUUAUAGGAGGAGACGAGAGAUGAGAGAUGAGAGGGGAGGUGGGCGGAGAAGGGGAGAGAGAAGGAAAGGAGAGAGGUCUAUGUUCUGAAGCACGGAGCCUUCGUGGCUUCCAGGUCAUUUUUGAUAUAUGCAAUUUUCGAAAUCGUUCGAUCAGGUCCGUUAAACUUGUCUAGAGUAUUUGAAGUACUUGGAAUAAUAAAUUUGUCUAUGAUUUUGGCGGAAUAUCAUUUUGCCUAGUUGAUCGAAGGGGCUCAAAAUCAAUAAUUUUAAAGGUUGUGGUGAGCCGUUUGCAAGUUUAACGGGUGUAGAAAUAUCCAAAUCAUGUGACAUUCUUGAUAGAAAAUCUGUUAUGCUUAUAAAUACAAGAUCAAUAUCUUUGAUCUAAAAUUUUUAAUGUCAUAUUAUCACGUUUUGUAAGAUUUUUAUUUUCAAGCCAGUUAAUUUUGAGGCCUCUUAAGUUCACUAGUGCAAAUGAUAUCGAAAAUUUGCAAAAUUUAUUUUCUAGGUUCUUCAAAUACUCUAGAUCGAAGUUUAACGGAGGCCAAUCGGACGACUCGAAAUGUUGCAACAUGAAAUCGACUGGAAGACACGGAAGGCUCGACUUCUAGAAGCACAUAGUAGCCUCACUAUAUAAAUAUAUAUAUUAUAUAUAUAAUAUUAUGAACUUAGGGUGGAAAAGGGUUAAUCUAAUUGGUGGACAAAUGGAUUAGACCCAAAUCCUUGGUGCUAUCGAUGAGUAUCCCAGCAGACUUUAAUACCCGUUAUUUGAUUAUUUUUAUUCGUUGAUUAUACUAGGUUCAACAAAUCAACCCACUGAACCUAGAAGGGCCCACAUCAUCCUACACAUUAGUUUUUCAAUCCUAAAGGCCUAAAAAAUAAUAGCACAUGGUGCUAUUAAUAGUAUAUCUAGCAUGGUUAUAUAUAUAUAUAGUAGUACUAAUUAUAUUAUAUGAUUAUAUAUCUAAUAUAGUAUAUAUAACUAGUUAUAUAUUUAGGUCGCGGGUGGGAUACUAUCGAUAGCACAAUUGAUUUGGUUGCCUAUCAAAAUUUUCUCGUUAGAUUUAACUUUUGAUUAUUUAUUACCGUUAGAUUAUACUAUUCAACUACCAUCCCACUUCAACCCUAGGGCCCAUAUUCAUCCUAUCAACAUUUUUUUUCAAUCCAUGGACUAAAAAAGUAAUAACACAUAGCUUGGUGUAAUUAAUAAUAUUCAGCCUAGUUCUUUAAUAUAAUAUAUAUAUAUAUAUAUAUAUAUAAUAUGAAUUAGGCUAGAUAACUAUUAUAGUAAAAACGCUCUUUUUUGCUAUCAAGUUUUAUUAACCUUGGAAUGGGAAAUUUGUGAGGUCAGGGAUGAUAUUAUCAGUUGGAGUUGAGUGGUCCCCUAGGAUUGAGUGGUUCCAACUGGUUAUAGCUAUUUAUCCAAUGGUUAGAAAUAAUGAAAGGUUGUACAAAGGCUAAAAACUGUAGCAACAAUGAAAUUUUGAGUAUAAUAAGAGCCCGAGUCCAACUCUACUUAUAUAUAUAUAUAUAUUAUAUUAUAUUAUGAAUAUAUAUAAACUAGACUAUCUUACUAUUAAUAGGACCAAAGUAUGGUGACUACAAGUUUUUGGCUUAUUGGAUAAGGAGUUGUGCAGUCUAGGAUGAUGUGAGCUCACUUAGGGUUGAGGGUGGUUGGUUGAACAGUAUGAUCUCUAACGGGUGAAAAUAAUCAAAGGAUAUUCUAACGGCGGAAAACUUAAGUAAGCACCAAGUGUCGUGCUAUUAUAGAUGUAGGCCGUAUGAUAUACUAUAUAUAGAGCUAGGGCUGCAUAUAUAGUCGGUAGUUACGACCCUCCUGUGCUACAAAGUUGUUUUCAAUUGAUGCCGCUUGCCAAAUCGACGAUCGGCUCCGUUAUAUUGAUCUACACUAUGAAAGUAUUUGGAAACUAAAUUCAUAAUUUUCGGUAUCAUUAUACCUAUCCAAACCGGUGUCUAAUAAAUGACGCUGAAAAUAAAAUCUCAUAAAAAAAAAAAAAAAAAAAAAAAAAAAAAAAAAAAAAAAAAAUAAUUGUGAUAGAAGAUUUGAAUUAAAGUAUCAGAGAUCUGAUAUUACUGUAAAUCAGUAAAAAAAAAGUUUUAUAAAAUUUCAUUCUGUAUUUGGAUUGUUUUACCUAUUAAAUUUACAAGAUGAUCACAUCUACAUUAAAUUGUGUCAAUUUGAGACCUUUUGAUCACUAACCAAAUGAGUCAAAAAAUUCUAAAUUUAGUUUCAAGAAUACUUUCAAUAGUGUGAUCAAGGGUAACGGAGCGAUCGUCGAUUUAGAAACGGCAUCAUCGAAAACAAAUUUGGUAGCACGGAGGCCUCGUGCUACCGAUAGUAUACCAGCCGGACUAUAUAGGAGUCGGCUACUAUGCUAUCGGUAGCACGGAGCGCUCCGUGCUACCAAGUUGUUUUCGAUGAUGCGGCUUCCAAACGACGUCGGCUCCAUUAGACUUGAUUCUUACACUAUUGAAAGUAUUUGGAAACUAAAUUUCAGAUUUUUUCGACAUCAUUUGACUAGUGAUCAAAAGAUCUCAAAAUUGACAAUUUUAAUGGCGAUGUGGUGUGUUUGUGAGUUUAACGUGUAAACACUCCAAUGCGAUGAAAUUUUAUAGAAAAUUAUUUUCACUAUUUAGAGUUAAGAUCAGUAUAUCUGAUCUUCUCAAUUUUAAAUUCUUUUAUCAUCAUUUUUCAUAAGAUUUUUAUUUUUAGCCGUUCAAUUUUAGACUACUUGUUUGAUAGUAAUGAUAUCGAAAAAUUAUAAAUUUAGUUUCUAAAUACUUUCAAUAGAUGUAGAUCAAGUCUAACGAGGACCGAUCGAUCGAUUUGAAGCCGCAUCAUCGAAAACACUUGGUAGCACGGAGCGCCGAUGACUACCGAUAGUAUAGUAGCAUAGUUCUAUAUAGCCGGGCUGCUGUCUCUAAGGAGCACGGAGGCGCCGUUUUCGAUGAUGGAUUUCGAAUCGACGAUCGGCUCCAUUAGACUUUAUCUUAGCGCAUUGAAGUUAUAGAAAAUAAUUUUUGCGUUUUUUUGAUAUUAUUUACCUAGUUGAUCGAAAGGAUUCAAAAUCCAUAAUUUUUAAUGGUUGAUAUCUACCGUUUUUCAAGUUUAACGGUAAUAGAAAUAUUCAAAUCAGAUAAAUUUUGAUACAAAAUUCUUUAUACUAUCUACAACAGAUCAAUAUUUCUGAUCGAAAUUUUGUGCUAUAUCACCACUUUUUAUAGAUUUUUAUUUUCAGCCGGUAAAAAUUACUUGAUUCUGAAUCCUUUCGAUUUGCUACGUUAAAUGAUAUUAGAAAUUGCCAAAAUUAUUUUUUUAAAUUCAAUACGUUUAGAUCAAGUUUAACGGAGUUCAAUCGUCGAUUCGGAAACUGCCAUCAUCGAAAAACGGCUCAGGAUACGGAAGGCCUCGUGCUUCUUGAGCACAGCAGCCUGCCUACAUAUAUAUAUUAUAUAUAUAUAAUAUAUUAUUAUAUAAUACGUAUAAUAGUAUUAUAUUUAUUUAUUUAUUUAUUUAUUGUAUUUAUUUUGUAAUAUUUUUUUUGAAAAAAAAUGAAUUCAACUUUUUUUUUGGUCCAAUGUACAUAAUUAUUUUGGUUUCAUUGGACUAAAAGCAUGCCUCCUAGGCAGAUCUUGGGAGGAGAUUUUCUAGGAGGGCCGAGCUCUUCUCCCCUGGAGAUCAGACUCCCAGGCAAGUCUUGCCUUGGUGCUCGCCUGGCUGGCGGGCCUGCCGUGCCAGGCCACCCGGGCGGCCCACGAAGCAUGGCUAUAGAAGGCUGUUCCGGCCCGGGCGGCCCACGAGCCGCUCGGCUUGUUGUUGGCACCCCUACCUAUGUUGGUGGCUGACUCUCAAACGUAGUAACAUAAGGGCAAAUAAAGUCACCCAUGUGGAAUUAGUCACCGCACAUGAAUUUUGUUGUUUGCUUUGCAGUAACUACACUUUCGAUGGGAACUCAAAGCUUUUCAAAAAAUUAAUUAUUUACUUCGGCUCGUGCCAAGCUUCACAUAGACAGACGAACACAUAAGGCUUAUAAAAAUGCCCGUGAUAUAUAGAUCUAAAAAUUUAUUUCAAUUUAAACUUUACUUUCGAUUAAACAAAAAGACAAAGAAAAAGAUUUUGACUUACCUCCGCUUCCCUUAACGCCCUUUUGACUGCUGCCAUUAUCCCUAUUCUGACCCGACCCUGCCGGCGGAGGCGGUGGCGGCGGCGGCAUCGGGGGCGUCGCGGAGGUACUUGCGGUCGAGGACGGCCUCGUAGAAGACAAAGGCCGCGGCAUCGCCGGAGUGCUCCCGAUGGCCGACGAAUUAUAAAACGGAGCCGACUCGAACCGGAUGUUGCAGUUAUUUCCGAAAAUCCUCCCACCGAUCCGAUUUUCGCAGCAAUUCGGGAUGCUCUUGAUGCAGUUCGUCAAGCACCCGUAGCAGUCAGCCGGCGACAGAUCCCUCGAGCACUGCACCAGUCCGUAUAUGUUUGUGAAGUUGUAGAAUUUGAUCUGCCCCGCCGCGAACAGCGGCGGCCGCCCCGACCCGUAGGCCGCUGCCGUGGACAAGUUACUCAUGAGCUGAUCGAGCCGGUCAUCGAACAGCUUCACAUCCGUGACGUUGUGCAGGUUCCACGCGAACUUCUGGGUCCAGUCGACGACGCCGAAGAAGCUGCUGUCGGAGUAGCGCAGCAUGCAGGUGUCGUUCCACACGGUGUUCGACACGCCGCGCGGGCACUCCGUGACGGCGUAUUGCGCGGCGGAACUCAAACAAGUGCUGCACUCGGGGGAGGGGACGUCGCCGCGGCACAAGGCGAGGCCGUAGACUUCGCCGCCGCCGCCGUUUUGACCGACCGUGGAGUUGUAGAAGCCGGACGGCGCGGUCGCGGCGGGGAGGGUGGACAGCAGGUGGUUGAGGUUCGACUGGAAGGCGCUGUUCGCAGUGAAGUUCGCGUCGGUGGAGCAGUUGGAGAAGAUGGAGUAGAGUUGGGAUUGGGAUUUGGAUGUGGGGGUGUGGAGGAGAACGAAGAGGAGUGCGCAGAGAAGGAACCGUGAAGGGGAAGGCUCCAUAGUUUUCUCACAAGUACUUGGGAGGAAACGAUACUGGAACACUGGGCUAAUAGAAAAGAGAGGCAAUUUUUAUAAUUGUAGGGCGCUGUAUCCAAUUAUUGUUAUCCCUUAAAAAGGAAUGAUGAUGAGAUAAUAAUUUACCAGUUAAUAAAUGGAUACAUGAAAAUGACUUUGACAUGUACGUGUUGUCCAAUUUAAUAUUGUUGAUUCCGCAUGAGACUGUUGACCACCAAUGAGUUGAAUUUAAAAUUUUCACAUUAUAUAAAAAAUUAACACCAUAACGAAUUACAAAUAUAUUUCUAUAAAAUUUAAUUUUUUUAUAUUAUUUUUAAAAAAAUCUAGUGAUAUUUAUAUUUGUCUUUAUAAUUUAUUACUAUUAGAGAACUGUUUAUUUUUUAACAGUAGAUAUUUGUCAUCACAAAUAUGUUCCUUCAAAAGCCCCAACUACCAUAAUAGUGCAGAAAUAUCUCCUAAAAAAAUUUUCAAUGAUUAUCUUCUUCCUGUUUAAAAUCCAACUCAAUUAACUAUUGUUGCAAUCUCUUCUCUCACUCCUUUUUUUCUAAAUCUUUCCUUUUGAGCAAUAUAAGAAAAAAUUAUAGUGGAAUUGAAUGGAGAAGCAAAACGUGUUCAAUAUGGGCGGAGCAACACGCAUUAUGGAUGAAUGAGAACGGAGAAAUUUUAGUUACGGGUUCAAAACUUGCAUGAAGGAGGAAGAGGAAGAUAAAUAAGAGUUUCCAUUGCUAUGGUUUUGAUUCAGAGAAGAAGGUAUAAUAUAAGAAAGGUAAAAAUAUCAAUUUAUCUCAUUUAUUAACCAGGGCUAAGUAUUCUAUAUAUGGUUAACUAAAUUUUUCUAACAGAUCCUAAUGGCAGAGAUAUAUUUGAAAAGAUUAGAACUUUUAUUAGGAUAAUAUAAGAAAAUUAAACUUUAUAGGGAUAUAUUUGCAAUUCGCUAUAUUUACAGGGAGCUGUAUGCAACUAACCUUUAUAUAAAAGUAUCAAAUCAUUAGUGCUGGCAGGUUUUCGAUCUUUGGAUGAAGAUUUGUAGGGUUAGGAUAAUAAUGGUUUCUUACGGUUUAGUAGGUAAUUGGUGAAAUAACAUGAUCUGAAAGAUAGAAUUAAUCAAAAUGAUAGAUCUAACGGUGAAAAACUUGCAAGCACUAUGUACUUGGUGUUUUUAAAAGCACCAUAGUUGAACUCUUAUAUAUAUAUGGCAAAAUUAAAUUAUUAUAAAGCGCUAGACUACUAUAUUUUCGAAGGUACGGAGGGCUUCGUGUUUUCGAAAGCACAAAAUUAAGCCUAGCUCUUGACUAUAUCUCGUAGACUUUCGAAAACACGCAGGCCUUCGUGCUUUUGAAUUAUUUUCGAUGAUCGGAUAUUUGAUACGGUGAUCGAUUUCGUUAAAAAUGAUUUAUUGUAUUGAAACUAUUUGAAAACAAAAUUUUAUAAUUCUUCGACUUAAUUUGCUUGUACAGGUAUAAAUCUAGUCAUUAGAUUAAUAUCUAAUAAUGGAAAUUUUCAUGCUUUACGAGUCAAAGCGAUAAUAACUGAAUGCUAAAAAAAGGGUUUAUAAUAAUAAGAUGAGUAAAUAUUUUGAAGUCAGGGAUGAGAAUAAUACUAUAUAUAUAUAUAUAUAUAUAUAUAUAUAUAUAUAUUCAGCUUCCCUGUUAGCAAGUCAGCUCGUGUUCAGCUCGAAAUAAGCUCCAGAUCGAAUCGCUCGUUUAAUAAAUGAACCGAUCGAGCACGAGCUAAAAUUUUCAGCUCGUCUAAUAAACGAGCUGACACUAGUUGAGGUCAGCUCGCUCAUGUUCGGCUCGAUAACAGUUCGAAUAUAUAUAUUUUAUAUUUAUAUAUAAUAAAUAAUUAUAUAUAUAUAUAUAAAAUAUAAAUUUUUAUUAUUUGAUUUUUAGCACAAUCUAAAUAUAAAACACAACUUAUUUAUAAAAUAGUUCAUUUAUAUGUACAAUUUCAACCAUUAAAUCAAAGUAUAAUGGAUAAAAUCUUAUAAUUUAUUUUCUUUCUGAUCUUUUUAAAUUUUUAUUCAUAAGCUAACUCGUAUUAGGCUCGUGUUCAGCUCGUUGAUAAACGAGCCAACGACAAGUUGAAUUUUUCGACUCGAUACUUUAAUGAGACAGCUCGUGUUUGACUCGUUUAUGAAACGAGUCGAACACAAGCUGACCUCAGCUCGCUCAUGUUCGGCUCGUUGACACCCCUAUAUAUAUAUAUAUAUAGAGAGCUAGGCUCCUAUACUAUCUAUAGUACCGGUGCUCCGGUACUAUAGUCCCGUUUUCGAUUUUCGGGUGUUUAAAUCAACGAUCCACACCGUUAAAACUUAUUUAGGGUAUUUAAAGUUUUUAGAAAUAAAAUUUUAUAUUUUUUCGACAUAGUUUACUUUAUGAUCAAACAAUUUCAAAAUUGUCAAUUUUCAAUGGUUAUUAUGACGAGUUUGGAGUUUAACGGUAUAGAAGAAUCUAAAUUUCUUCAAAUUUUGAUAGAAAAUACUUUAAACUAUAUAGAUUAAAGUUAAAUUUGUUGAUCUUGAAUUUAAAAGUCCUAUGCUCAAAUUUUAAAGAGUAUUCAAUUUCUACCGUCCAUUUUGAUAUAAUUUAUUUACUAAGUAAACGAUAUCGAAAAAACCUAAAAUUUUAUUCCUAAGAACUUCAUAUACCCUAAAUCAUAUUUAACGGUGUGGAUCGUUGAUUUGAAUACCCUAAGAUCGAAAACAACACUAUAGUACCAGAGCUCCGGUACUAUAGAUAGUAUAUUAGCCUAAUUCUAUAUAUAUAUAUAUAUAUAUAUAUAUAUAUAUAUAUUAUGCAUUUUAUUCAUCUUUAUACUGGUCUUACCAACUACUAUAUAAUAAUUCAAAUUUAAAAAAGUGUCUAAAAUUUUAUAUUGGUGAUCGAGUAUAAAAUUUACAUUCUAAUUUCAAAUAUACAAGUAGCUAGUAUUUCUCGUGAAACAAUUAAACUAAUAAUUGCUCGAAUUUGCAACCAUUGACUAGUGGACCGUUGAACUAGUAAACGAAGCUUCCACGUCACCAUCCAAUUCCAAAACGACCAUUCUUUUUCCCAUUUUUUUGUAUAAAAAAUAAUUAAAAAAUAGUUGUUGUUCAACAUCACACAAUUAUAUAUUGAGAAGAUUAAUGAUGGAGCAUAAAAAUAUAAUAUACUUAAACGUAAGAUCUUUAUAAUAUGCAACUAUUCUUAUGCGCAACCAAAAUAUAGCAAAUAACGAUGCUUCAUAUAAACUAUCUAUUAUAUCAAACUAAUUUAUUAAAUAAUAAAUUUCAAUGUUAUGCUUUAAUUUUUCAAUGCUUUAAAUUAUCAGGAUUUCAAAAAAUUCUGACGCUUCAAAACGUUAAAAUAUACUUCACCAACGCUUGACAUAAGUAUCGGUGUAUACGUGGCAGCUCUUUAUUUGCCGAAUCUUUUAGCCGACGUUUUCAAACCCAUGGUAUAUCAAGCUACGAACGAGCUAGAUUUAUAAUUCACUUUUUAAGAAGACUCUCUAGAAAUAAUAGAUUAAUCGAGAAUAUGGUUUCUCUCUCUCACAAGAUGAUUCAUAAACUACUACUAUUUUAUAAGAGAAUCGCAUGUAUAUUUAUAAGGAAUUCCAACAUCUAUUAAACAUAAUGAAUCCACAAUGUUUCUUGCCACGUGGCAAGAAACCCUUCAUUCUUAAGUUAAUAGGUAGAAAAAUUUAUUUUAGUUUUUUUUAAUAAUUCUCUCUCCUUUAAUUCCCACCCCUUCCCCUCCCCUCUCCUCUACGUUAUAUGAUCUAUUAACGUUUCAUGAAUUAAUGGUAAUCUACAUUAACGUUUAAUCAAUUAAUGGCAAUUAUAAUCAUAAUUAAUUACUCUACCAACUUUGAAUAUCUAUUAAACUUUUCAUAGCCACCAUUUCAUUCUUUCAUUUUUUUAAUAAUUCUCUCUUCUUUAAUUCCCACCCCUUCCCCUCCCCUCUCCUCUACGUUAUAUGAUCUAUUAACGUUUUAUGAAUUAAUGGUAAUCUAAUCAAUUAAUAGCAAUUAUAAUCAUAAUUGAUUACUCUACCAACUUUGAAUAUCUAUUAAACUUUUCAUAGCCACCAUUUUCUUUUUCUUUUUUUUUUUUAUAGGCAACGCGCCACCAUGAGAAGAAGUAUUGAAAGGUAAUUCGUGUAAAAAUUUGUAAUUCAUUGAAUGAUUGAGAUCGAACUUUCAGAUGAAUCGAUUACUUAUUGCGAAAGCAAAAAGAGACUUUUUUAUGAAUUCAUUCUUUUUUUUAUAUAUGUACCUUUUGAUUUUUCUAUUUUGGGUGUUAAUUUGGUGGGGUUUAUGUGAUUUGCAGGCCUGAGCCGAGAAUCUUGGAUCCUUUCUCUCUCCUGAAUGAGUUUGAAGGUAUUUUGGUUUAUCGGAAAGAUGUGAAAACCUUUUUUUUUCGAUUUGGAUAAAAAAUUUAGAAUUUUUAUCAUUAAAUUCUUCCAAAUUUUGCUUGAUUUUGCUCAACUGUUCCUUCUCUUUUAAGUUGGUUUUUUUUUUUUCUUUUUUUCACUUGAAUUACAAUUUGUUUUGUUGCAGUUUCUCCUCCCGCUAGGUUUCCUGAUUACCCUCGUAGAGGUUGGUUUGGAAAAAUGACAAUUUAUUAUUGAUGGUCUUAUAUUAUAGAGUAUUUGCUUCUGUUCAGGUGUUGUUGUAUUUAAUUAUGUUUUUUUUUUCAGGAUUUGAUACUGUUACAUAUAUACUAGAAGUAACUCAAGUUACAUAUCUCUGUUAUAAUUCAGAUUGGUUUGUAUAUAGUAGAUACUUAUAAAGUGUUCACUGAAUUAUUUCUGUGGGGUUUCAGGACUUAUUCACUCAUCAAAAUUUUGCUGGACAUAAGGGCAUAAUUAGGCCCGGAGAAGUGCAGGCUUAACUUUGUUUGGCUUUUUUUUUUUAAAUACUAAAAAAAGAUUGGUAAAAAUGUUUACUGAGAAAUCCUCUCUAGCCCAUUUGAAAUAGGCCCUCAAUUUUAUUUAAUUUUCAAUUAACACUCGCUUGAACUUUAACAAUUCCUUUUAUUUGAAUUGUUACGUGUAAUCAAUUGUAAAUUUUGUAUUUAUCCUUACUUAUAAUUUUAUUAUUUUUUUGACUGAAAUAUUGAGUUUAAUUAUAUAGAUUGUUGAGUUAAUAAGUAUAAAAAUGUCAUCUUUAAUAGUAUUUUACCGAUUUUUACAGCCCAUUUAAACUAAUAUUUUUUAUUUUAUAGAAAUAAUGAUUGUUUCGAUAAUAUCUAUUCGCCGCAUCGCGCGGGUGACUACACUAGUUCUAAUAGAUAAGUAGAAGAUUAUGCCGAAUCAGUUUAUGAUUGCUAUCCUAAUAAGAUUAAAAUAUGUCUCUAAUUAGUUUUUCAAAUUAAAAACGAAAUUAAGCCUAGUUCAAUUAGACAAUAUUCGGAUCGAGCCCGAUCAUGAGCUCACCCAACUCGGUUUUAACCGAACGCUAACAAAAGAUAUUCGUGAGACAUUUACGUAUCAUUUCCCUCGAAUCGUUCUCGAAAAAUUGUGCCCGCUUCUAGAAUUUUCAGCAUUUUUUGUUUAAAUUUUCAAUUUCAAAGGCGUUCUAUACUUAACUUUUCAGGUCUUGCCGAAACGGCCUUAUAUUUGCCCGUUUUCAGAAUUUCAGCAUUUCUUAUUUGAAAUUUUGAUUUCAAAGGCGCUCUAUACUUGCCUUUUCAGGUCUCGCCGUAAUGGCCUUAAGCUUCGUUUGGAAUUGCAGAAAGAUUGCGUUACGUGCAAUGAGAAAUUACUAAAUAAAAAUACCCUAUUUGUUUCCGUACGUAAUAUUAUAUUCCGCAUAUCGCGAUAAAUCGGUUAUUAUAUACUUUCUACGGUUCUACUUGAGAACGCAGAAGUAUAUUACUAUAUAUUUUUAUCCCAACUCCAUUUUAUCUAAUAGCCUCAGAUAAACUUCAAUACCAAACUAGGUCUUAUACUUGCUUGCUUUUAAAUUUCUCAACAUUUCUUAUUUGAAAAUUGAAUUUUAAAGGUGCUCUAUACUUCCCUUAUCCGAAAUAGCCUUUAAUACGUCCCAUCGUACCAAAGCUAAGGUGGUGUUUGGUUGUCUGUAAAAACACCCUGAAAAUUUUUUUUCCAUUGAAAAGUAAUUUUCUCUUGUUUUGUUGCUUGUAAAAGUAGUUGCCGGAAAAAAAAUUUUACGAAUUCUGUGUAAAAACCCAACUUUUCGUUUUCUGCCCACCGCGAGCGGAAAACGAAAACUUGAUCCCAAAGUCAGGGCUCACGGCGUUGAAAAGAAUGCGGUUCACGAGAAAGUCUGAUUCUCGUGGACCACGUGAGUGGUCCAACUGUGGACCACUCACCAUCUGUCCAACUGUGGACCACCCACUCACACGCAGGCCCGCGCGCGACCUGCUCCCUACGCGACAAGAGAAAGGAAGAGAGAAAAAGAGAGAGUGGAGUGUGGGAGAAGCUCCUAGAGAGAGAAAGAGCUUCUCUCACUCUCCACUCUCCAUCCCCUCAUGGGAGACUUCUUUCUCUCUCAUGAGGGGAAUGAGACUUAGGGCAUAAAACCCAUAUAAGAAAUCUCCCCAAUGACAAUUACACCUAGGCCCCUCACAAAAAUACUAUUUUGGACCUCCCAGACUUUCUGCGUGUACGGGGUCCGGACCUUGCAUUUAGGGUCUGGACCCCGAGGGCAAUUUCUNAUAUAUAUAUAUAUAUAUAUAUAUGAGAUGGUAAAAAAUAAUUAUACAUAUUUAUAAAUAUAUAUAUUUAUUAUAUAUAUAUAUAAUAUUUUAUUUAUAAAUUUGUAAUUAUUUAUUAAUAUUUCUAAAUAUAUUAUAUAUGAUGUAAUAUAUUUAUUAAAUAUAUUUAAUCUGUAUAUAAAAAUUAUAAUAAUAUAUAAAAUAUAUUAAUUAUUAUAUAUUAAUAUUAUAUAAUAAAAUAUAUUAAAUAGUUUUUCAUUUAUUUUUUUUCCUUCCAACCAAACAAGCUUCAUGGAAAACUAUUUUUUUUUCCGACAAACCAAACACUAACGACGUAAAAUUAUUUUUCCACUGAAAAUUUUUUUUCCACCGAAAAUUUUUUUUCCACAGUUUUACGUGGAACCAAACACACCCUAAAGACUUUUUGCCCAAACCACUAUCCGAAAUAGCCUUCAAUACAACUGUUCAUCGAAGCUCAAAUCUUACGUCCAAUUUCUUUUUCACCAAAGCUCAAAUCUUAUGUCGAAUCGUUUUUUUGGCACUAGGUAUUUUCUUUAGAUUCAUACUUGUCUCAAUGUCAAAAUUAGAUGUCAACACUGGCAGGACCAUUUUAUUUUUUUUUUGUUCACGGAGAAGGAGAGUGAUUCAAAGUCUCGUGAAAUUUAAGAUGUGUAAAGUAGUCUUACUUUCGUUGUGACUAUUCCCAACAUAUUUUUAGGGAGAAUUUUAUUAUUUAUUUUUUGGAUAAGUUUUAAUUAAACUUUUUUCCAGUUUAGUACAUUUUUAUCUAUGCGUACUACAAUUUGAAAAGUUAUAUUUUAGUAUUCAAUAUACUUUUUCUUAAUUUUAUCAUAAAAGUUUAUUAUUUAAUAGAAUUACAAAGUGAUAUAUUUUAGACUAAAUUACAGAAAAUUUUCUUGUAAAUAUCCGUUUUUUUACUUUUCCUUCCUAACUCCUGACGUUCAAACAUUUAUAUUUUGUCCCCUUAAAAUUACCCCUACCUCUUCUAGCUAUAAGAAAAAAAUAAUUUUUUAAUAUAUCUCUGUCAUUUUGAAGGAUAUUUUUUAUAUUAAUUAUAAAAAAUUGACGGAAUAGUUAUGAAAUCUUGACACAGGGAGCCUAAAUGUAAGAACUUAAAAUGUUGAGGAAGUAAAAUAUAGGCUUUUCAAAGUUAAAGAGAAAAAGUGAAAAGCGAUAUUUAUUUUAUGGUUUUCUAUAAUUUAGCCUAUAUUUUAUAAAUUAUAAUAUAACUAACCAUAAAAAAUUUAUAGUAUAUAUACAGUAAAUUUUUUAAAAAAACCAGUGUAAUCCUAAGAGAAAUACAACUUGUAAUAAAUGUAAAUCUUGCCAUCUUAGUCCAUCUAAAAAUGUCGAUAAUAUUUUUAGUUUUUUUUUUAUUUUGAGAGAGAGAAGGGUAGUAAGCUAUCCGGUUCAUUUAUUAACGAUAAUGAACUAAGCUACAAAAGUAAGGUAACUUAGCUCGAGAGGUUCAUUUAUUAAGGAGAAUAAACUAAUCUACAAAACGAGGCAACUUGGCCAGGCAAAAAAAAAAAAAAAAAAAAAAAAAAAAAAAGAGAUAAUAGGACCCCACACUGGAGUGUCUAAGGCCCGGCCCCUACUUAGGUAGGUCUCCACCCCAACAAACUAAGAUCUACGCUAAAAUAGUAGAGCCCAAGACUCUAAAAGAUGCACGAGAUGGUUCAAUAUCAAUGAGACCAACUUAUUACGCUGGGGGAAGGUUAUGCAUGCGUAGGGAUGCAAAUGGAUCCGGGUUGGUGGAGCUCCGCUCCGAUCCGCCCCGAAUGGGGUGGUAAGUGGGAACAAAAAAUAUAAAAAAAUAUAACCCGUCCCGAAUCCGCCCCGAUCCGCCAAGUAAAUGGAGCGGGAGGUGGGAGACUCUUUUCUUCCUUCAAUCCACCCCGAUCCGUCAAAAAUCCGGCUCCCGCCCGAUCCGCCCCGAAUGGAGCGGUAAGUGGGAGCCAAAAAUAAAAUGAAAAGUAACCCGCCCCGAAUCUGCCCCGCCCCGAUAAGAAAUGGAGCGGGAGGUGGGGGAACUCUCCCGCCCCCGGAUCCGCCCCGUUUGCAUCCCUAUGCAUGCGGUUUCUCUCGCACCAAAUAGUACACCAACACCCUGCUAGUUUGGUUAGAACCAACUUCUAUAUAUCUUUGGUCUAGAUUCGUAGUUUGCACGCAGAACUUGAAGCUCCCAGUGAAUGUCCAAAGUCAUGACUCACUACUAUUAGGCUGCACUCCUUGUUUGUCAGAAUCGUGAGUAACAUACGCUUGUUAUAGCCAUAGUACGUCGUAGAGGAGGUGAGCAGUGCUGUCAAGUUUGUUUUCGCAUAAAACACAAGUUAUGCGAAAACAAGACCCUAUUUCUUAGGAGUAGCCGUAUAAAGAUCUUCACUUUCACUAGAAUUUUGAGUUUUUCUAGAUCUAUAGAAAGGUAGGGUCCUUUAGAGCUCCGUUUAUUAAAAAGUUGUAGAAUAAAUUGUUGGGAAUCCAAUACUCGCCCCGAUACCGAAUUUUGUGAAUCCGCAACCUUUGCUAUGAAUCCGGUAUCGAUUGUUCGGAUUCUGCAACAGAAAUGUCAAAUCAAGUUUUUACUAUAAAUCUGUCUUCUCAACAAAAACUGAUACAAUCAAGAGAAAAAAAAUCAAAUAGAAAAUUAUGCUGGUAAAAUAAGAUUCGCUAAAUAAGAGAAUAUUACACAUGACUCCUCUUCUAUAUAAAGUAGCUACAAACCCGAGCCAUCUUUCUGAAUCUCUCAUACCCUUCUUUUGUCUUCUAUAAACUCACAUAAAAAGACUUCUCUUUUCUCUCUAUGCACUCGUGCACGAGGUGCAUCAACUCAUGGCCAAGCCUCUAUAGUAUGAUCCACCUAGCACUAGUGUCAUACUCUCUCUACAGGCUACUUACUCCUUAAUGCAUUAUAUAUAAUGCUCAACCAAAGAUACACACAAAUCUAAUAUAAUUAGAAUUCCUACUCUAAUUAAUAUUUAAAUUCAUAUUAAUUUAUCUCUAAUAGAUUUAAAUAUUUAUCUUAAUCUAUUUAAAAAUAAACUACAAAUCUAACCAAAUCCUAACAUGAACACACUAUUAAGUCUUUCGAUUCCGUCAAUCUCUAUCUCUUAGCAUUCUGGUCGCUCGUCACUAUGUAGCUCAAGACGAGGUUUUCAGGGGCAGCGACUCUGAGUUCGCCUGCAUCGUGACCUCCACUACACUGCCUAGGAUGAUGUCCCAAUUACAACUAUUCUGCGGGAAACAGUUGGGGUCACUUUGCAUUUAUGAAGCAUUUAUGAGGGCUCUUUACUAUGUAAUAGUCGGUGAGUUGAUUUAUGUUUAGUGGUAAGUUAGUGUGGACUAGAUUCAAUGUAUUUUAGACCUAUAAAUUAGGGGAUGGCUAUAACCAAACAACAAACACAAGUUCUAUAUUGUAAUCUUUUUUUUUUUUUAAGUAAUGGAGUGCUUAAUUUUUUGGUAAUCUUUGCCUCUCUCUCUUCUCUCCUUUUUGCAUACUCAGUUGUAGGACACGGAGGUUCAGACUAGCAAUAGAGAGUUAGGCUUGAACAUCUUCGAGGAAGAAGACGGGCACCGUAGAAGCUUUGUGAACAAAAAUGCUUAGUCCUUGACAGUAGGCUAGCCCAAAACUUUCCAAGUAAACAACACUUAUCAUUUUUGCUAGUAAAGACAUUAAAAUGAAAGAAUAAGCAAAUAACAAAUUGAAAAUGAGGCAUCUAUUACAAAUUUGCUAGCUAGGAUAUAUUCACACAAUUAAUGGAUCACCCAAAUCAUAAUUCCUCCUCCUCAACUUCAAUUAUAUAUAUAUAUAUAUAACACCACACCACACCAGAAGCAAUACACAAACUAAUCAAUCAAUCAAAUAUACAUGUGUGACCAUACACAUCAAAUUUGGGUAACAUGAAAUCAAACACACUAAAAUGUAAAAUAAAGAACAUUAAUUUACACAUAACAAAUGCCCCAAUACAAACAAUAUGUAGAAUUGUUUUCUAACUCCUCCUUGUAGGUGUUGCUCCUCCAUGUAUCACAAGAAUAUAGAGAAGUUGUGUUCCAGAUAGAAUUAUGGUGAAAGCCUCCAUAGUUCUCUGAAAAUUUGAAAAAAUAUAUAUAUCACACAGAUGUAUAUUACCAUAUAUUACAAGAGUAUUUAAAUAUUAUAAGGUUUCUCUUCGGGAUAGGAAUUUUCUUUUCAAACUUUAUACUUAACACUUCCUCUCACAUCCCGACGCUUUACUCGGGACCUCCUAUUCUGAUACUUACGAAUAUACAGUUUGUAUUAUCUUAAAAGGUUAAGCUAUUAGAGAAUGUAGGUUCGAAUUAUAUAUGAAAACGAGACCAACAAAUAGUUAUAACUAAUAGAUUCAUUGAAGUUGAUAAAAGAUUUAACAUAACUAAGUAUAAGAAAUUUAAAUUUAAAAAAAAAACUAGAAACUGAGGGAGUGUCAAUUAGAAAAAUAGAAGUUGAGGAUCAGCCUCAAAAAUAGUCUAUAGUUGAGAGGGUCUCUAUACAUUUUUACAAUUAUAAUUUGCCAUACUUUUCUCUUAUUUAAGUACUUUGUAAAGUUUACUUUUUAUUUUAAAAAAAGUUUCUGAAUAUAUGUAGUUAUAAGAAAAUUGAAUUUUGAAAAAUAGAGAACAAAAAAAAGGUUGGAGAAAAUUAAAACUCAUACCAGCUUUGCAUUUCUCCCAUGCAAGUCAAUCUCCUUGCAAGCCAAACUGCAACAUGAAUUGUACAAUAUUAGUUUCCUAUAACAAAUGUACCUGGACUGGUACUAGGACUAGAUGCAAGCAAUGUAGUCUACAGUAAUUAAACUACACCACUAGUCCCUGAACUUUUAGCGAAGUCUCACUUUGGUCCUCAAUAUUUUAGCCAAGUCUCACUUUGAUUCUCAAUAUUUUAAAUUCAACAUAUCGGCACCCUAAAUUCUUAAAAGUGUUCCACUUUAGUUUCUAUCCUUACAUACCACAAACAGAGAAAAAAAAAAAAAAAAAAAAAAAAAAAAAAAAUUCCUACACCGGGUAUGUCUCUUCAUUCUUGCACUAUGCAUCUAUCAACCACUGAUCCCAUAUCUCAUAUUUCAAUCCUGCCAUCUGUUGAUUUAUAGUUUUUCGACAAACGAAGUACUAAAAUGAAGAAAUCUCAAAUACCAAAAUUGAACUCCGAGAAAGAAAAAUGAAAUAUGACCGAAAGUUCAAGUCCACGAAGAUCGACUGGUUUUACGAGUCAGAUUACAUCUAUCCUGGUUCGGUCGGCUAUGAUAGGUUUGGAGCUGACCCGAUCUGACUUAAGAUUCUUACUUGACCUGACCUGACUUGACCUGACCUGAACCGACCGAGAUCGGCUUCAAGCCUGACACGAUUCGAAACCGGUGGAGCUCGGAGUCCAUGCAGGUCUAAACAAGCAGCCGAUCUUACCCCAUAGCAAGGAGGGUGAGAGCCCAGGCGAUGAAGGCGGAAGACACGGCGGCAGGCAAGGUCUCGUAGUUCCACGAUUGGAUGUGGUGGGAUCCGGCGAUCGCCGAAGCGGCCCCAACGACACCGGCUAAUACCGCGAAGAUCACGAAGAACCCGGUCGCGGCGUUCCCCAUAGGAAAGUAUAUUGGAGAGAAGUGAGCUGGGAGUGCUAGACCUGUAUCUGCUUGGCCCAGGAACACAAAAAUAGUUAGCUCUGGUCACUAACCAUCACAUACACAUACACACAGAUAUAUACAGAUAUACUCCUACUAGAAAAUUAUCUAUUAAAAUGUAUAUUUUCGUACUAAAUUGAGAAUUUUCAUAUUUAAUGAUCUAUAAAAACAAAAUUUGAUUCUCAUACUUCCCAGAUAUAUCAUGUUUAAUUUGUACAUGAGCUUAAAAUGGGGGAAAAACAGAAAUAUACUUAAAAGGAGUGACACAAUUAUUGCAAUUUGGAAAUUGAUACAUAUAAUUAAUUACUGUAUUAUUCAUGAAAGUAAAAUGUAUUCUUUUUAAAAUUUUGGAGACUAGGUUAUGUGCAAAAAUCGGUAUAUUCGGAAAGGGAAAUUAGAUUUUAGCCUGUGUUAUAUAUUGGCAUAAAUGGGCCAGUAUCCUGCCUUGUGGCGGGAGGCAUAGUUGGGCCGAGUCACGUUCGAAAUGGCGUGAGGCUAUAUAGGCCGAGUCAUGUUCAAAGUGGCAUGAGGCCGGAUGGGCCAAGUCACAAUUGAGAUCCGUGGGUGUUGUAUCUGUACGUUUUAAGUGAAUUGGUUGCGUAUUUCUAACCGCUCGAGCUUUUGGGAUUAAUGAUUAGCGCCAACGAUCCGACAUUAUAUACUCUUUUGUUUGCUGAAAUGUAGUCUUAAACUAAUUCAAAAUAUAAACACUAAUUCAAAAUUGAAUGAAUGAAGCCCCCAAGUUAAGAUAAUGGUAUUUUUGUAAGAAAAUGUUCUUUGCCAUAGGGAUGAGCAUUAUCUAGUUCAAAUCAAACAACUAAACCGAAUCGAUUGAAAACAGUCGGUUCGGUUUGGUUUUAUAUAUAAUUUGGUUCUAAAAGCUAAAAACCAGAAAAACCAAAUAAACUGAAUAAACCAAAACUUUAGUAAUCCAAUAUAAAUUAGUCUUAAAUUAAAAAUUUAUAUAUUAAUUUAAUUAGUAAUCAAGUAAAAGAUAUUAACUAUUAUUAUCUUAGAUUAAUAUUUUUUAAUAUAAAGUUAAUCAUGGUUAUAUCUUAUUUUUAGUAGUUUAAAAAGAUUUAAACUAAAUAAAA
rnacentral:lncRNA from 1 species